rnacentral:lncRNA from 1 species
UUUUUUUUUUUAGUUUUUAGUUAGGAUUAAUUGGCUAAGAGCUAAAAUCAAAAGAGAAACCCUUAGCAUUGAUACACCUGAACAUAAUAGACACUAGAGUGUAGCGCUGGGUCUCAAUGGUUGAUUCUUGCUAAAGUGCCUUAAAUUGUAUGUUUGUCACUGACUUGAAUACUCGAAAAAGAGUGCCUUGAUAAGUCAAUUCGGAGUGAGUCAUAUGCCAUGUGCGUGUGAGUUAUAUUAUAUUCCAUGAUUCAAAUAUGAUGCCUAGAACUUGCCAUGAGUGUUUGCAAAGAAAAAUAGUAGUUUCAUUCAGUCUUAGAAGUGAUAUAUGCAUUUUGUUUGUUGAGCCAAACAUAUAAAGUUAACCCACCUGACUGUAAUACAUAGUAGUCAGCCCCAUUGAGCCUAUAAGCUUGUUUAUUUGACAACCACAUUACAAACCUUACCCAAUUGUUUGAAUGGACGUGUGUUUUAACCCUUUAACCUCCCACAAGCACUUGAAUGGUAUUGAAAUUAUGCAAAAGCAAAAGUGUGGGGUAGUGAUUUUUGAGUGGAACCGUUGAAAUAGAGAAAAGGUGCAGUGUUUGGAGAAGUAAAAGAAUAAGCACCACCAUAAAAAAAGAGUAAAUGUAGUGAUCGAGAAGUGGUGGAUUGUUACAAUUGCACCUAUUGAAUGGGGAUGUUGUAAAUAAGAAGUGGUAGAGUGUGGUGUAGACAUAAGUUUGGUUUUGAAGGUUAAUGUAAUUGUAUUAAAAGUACUUAGGGAGGUUAGUUACUAUAUCCACAUAUAUCCUACCCAUCCCUUAGCCUACAUUACAACCAAGUGAAGGCCUAUUUAGAUUGAGUGGGCUCGAUUAGUAGAGUAGUACACUACGGGCAAGCCUAUGGUGUAUCUUUGUGGCAUGUGAAUGUUCUUUUUGAGAGUGAGCGAAUUUUUUCUAUCUAAGUUCCUAAUUGUUUUAAAUACCAUUAUAUGUGGAACUACUCUCUUGUGUGAUGUAAGGACAUGUGAUUCAUGAAGGAAAGACAAGUCUUGACUUCUGUGCAGAGUAAUUUGAGUAAAUAUAAAUAAUGCACGUCAUGUGAGAGUAGACUUUUGAGGAGAAGAUUCUUCACUACUUGGUGUAACUUAUGUGAUUUGUUCUUGGUGUGAUACGUUAGAGAAUAAUUAUUAGUGAAGGAACUUAUAUAGAGUGUGGUGGAUUGCUCGAGGACUAGCAAUGAUUUAAGUGUGGGGUAUUGAUAAUAGGCUAGAUUUAUGUAAUUUGGCAAUUGUUUAUGCCCCAACUUGGCUAUUUUUGACUGUGAGAAUACAGUUAAAUGAUGAUAAAUUAGAUCUUAUUGUGAAUUUCAAAUGUUGUAGGCGUGAGUAGCACGUAUGAGGACUUAAAGCAGUGAUUGGAGCAAAAUUGAAGCAAGAAAAGCCCCUAAGAGCUGAGUACGUGAGAAACGAGAAAAAGAAGAGAGAUGAACUGAAGACCUGGACUAGUGCGGCCACUAGCGUGCCCACUAGCGCAACCGUGCUAGCCUAGAUAGUCGAAGCAGAAUGAUAGGGAAUAUACGCAGUCACUACCGCAUCCAUUAGCGCGACCACGCUAGCCCAGUUCCGGAAAAUUAAAUUUUAGGGGUAAACUUCGAAGUUCGGGGGUAAAUCCACUUAACCUAUAGAAGGUCCAGCUCUCCCAAAGAUUGAUUAUCAAGGUUUUCAUUGCUUAGUUCAAGGCAAGGAGAGGCAAGAGGCAAGGAGGAUAAUUCAACAUCGAGUUCUUUCUUUCUUCCUUUUGUUUGUAUGAUUUAUGAUGAAUUUGAAUAUUGUUUUGAGGAACACUAGUAUGAGUAGCUAAAUAUUUAGUCUAAGAUUUUGAUAGAACCUAUUGAAGGAUGAACUUCUUGUUAUGUUAAUAUAGUUGCCUGAUUUAUCUCUAUUUGUUCCACUAUGUUUUUACUGUAGUUAAUUGAUAGGAUCCUUAAUUAGCUGUGCCUAUUUAGUGUGUAUGACUCGGGAUAGAGUGCAUAUUUAGGUAAUGUUGAUACCCAAUUUUUUCCUAUAUAAUUUUCAUAUACAAAAUACUUUAAAAAUAGCAUGUACAUGCAUAUAUAAGCAUACCCAAUUGUUUUUUGGUAUUUUGCAUAAUUUUUAAAUAUUUUCAAAAUCAAUUUAUUGUCUAUUUUAGCAGCAUAAAAUCCAAUAAUUAUUCCCAAAGAUUAUUAUUGGUGAAUGACCUAUUUUAUUCUUAUAUUUACACCAAAUAUAGCUAAGGUGAUUUUUGUAUUUUUUACAAAUUCAUUUGGUAUUUAAACGAUUAAAUUGCAUAUAAUUAUAAUUGUAGCCUAAUUUAAGAUUAAUCAUAUUUUAUAAUUGUAAAAUUGGGUUCGGUAUUUUUAAAUUAAUAUUUAUACACUAUUAAUUGUUUAUGUACUUUUAAUAUGCUUUUAAAAUCAGCUUUACUAUUUUUACAAAAAUAAAAAGAGAAAAAGUGGUUAUUUAAAAGUUAGCCCUAUUUCAUUAAUAUUUUAGCCCAAAUUGACCCCUCACUAAACCCCAUUUUCAGAUCUCAAAUCAGCUCAGUUUCAAUUUGGACCCAACCCACGACCCAAUUCCAAAUGACCCAUCCCGUUCCCUACCUACCCACUUAAAUCUGGACUAUUGAUCACUCAAGAUCAACAGCCAAAACUCACACUUCCAUAAUUAUUUCCAAACGACUACCCUAAUCCCUUAUUUCCCAUCUCUUAUCCGCCUUUGAAAACCAAUCGUCUCUCAAACUCUCCGAAACCCUAGCCUCCUUCUACCCGCUUCAACCACCACUCCACCGCAAUCCAUGGCUUCCCAGGCCAUGGAUGCUUGGUACUCACUCCCCUUCACCAGUAAACCAUGGUUGUUCGAAGCUUUGAGACCUGACCUCAAGGGUUAUCUCCAAGACCUUUUCAGAUAUGUAGACCUAUGGCUUCUUUGGCCAUUACUCCGACAUAUUAGAGCAAUAUGAGUCCUUUCGACUCAGGAUCUAACUUUCCUCAAGACCUUUAUCGUUUCUAGGAUUUUCUCUGCAAUCCUAAGUUGUCUGAGGUUCUUUACUUGAUUAUUUUUGUAGAUCUGGAAAAUAUCCAUGUUCUAUUUAACUUUUUAAAGGUUUUUCCCAAACUCUCUUUUCAAAAUGAUUUAAUUUCGAUUUUCGAAGCCUCAAGACCUGACCUCAAUAGUUCUCCUUCAGAUCCUUCUUAGAUCUGUAGAUCUAUGGCUUCUCUGGCCAUUACCCCGGCAUAUUCAAGCACUAUGAGCCUCUCCGACUCAAGACCGGACCUGUUUCCAAGCCUUUCUCAUUUCUAGAGUUUCUCCAAAACCCUAAGCUAUUCAAGGUUCUUUCACUGUUGUUUUCUUAGAUCUAUACUGUAUCUAUGCUUUUCUUGCCAUCUGAAGUGCUUUCCCUCAAAAGUUUCUUUUCAAAAUCGUUUCUCUCCGAUUUUAGGGUUUCUGAAAGAAUAUAUUGGAAAAAAUCUUUAUGAUUUUUCUUCUUCUUUGCUUUAUGUGUGUUUGUCCAUACUAUGCUCGUGUGAUUUCUUUUGUUAUGCAUGUACUAUCUUCUACCUUUUCUUUUCUACUAUACAUGUUACUCCUGUUAAUCUUUGCUAUGUUUUGUUUAGUCUUUUACUAUAUGUGUUUACCGUUAAGCUAUUUGAUUUUUGUUUAUUGGAAUCUGUUCAUGUUUUACAUGCUUCAUCUACUUUAGUUCAAGUUUGUUAUCUCCUUCUUCUGAACUUGUCUAGCUUUCGAGUUUUCUCAAAUAUGUUCUUCGUGAUUUUUCUUCCUUUGUCGUUCAAACAUGCUAUCAUAUCUGUUUUGUUGAGACUUUGAAACGAAUUGCUUGCUUUCUCACCUCCAUUUCUGAUUGAAUUUUGAAACCCUAGGAUUUGGGGGUUUCCUUUGACGAUUUUUAUUUUGUGUUCGAGUUAAGGUUCCACUUUGGAACCCUGGACUCUCAGACUCACUAUGAGUCUGCAAAUUGAACCUGUACCUUUUGCUUAUGAUUCUGAACUUUUCUUUGAUUAGACUGUCUUCUAAUUAACUUGACAAUCCCUCUUUGGUUCACAUUUGUGUGCUUUAUGUAUAAGGACUCUGCUUUGAAAAGGUUUAUCCAACUACUAAUUGAUUCUGAAUUCCUUUAAUUGUGUUUACUUGAUUGUUACUGAUUUUCCCUAAUUGAACCUUUCUUUACCCCUUUCCUGACUUGAUUCAUUCGAGUAAAAGUUUGAAACUUUGAUUUUACUAGUUGAUUUGCUUUCCUUUUUUUACAAACCCUUUAUUAUUCUACUAUGUACUAUCGGUUUGUUGCCUUAAAUAGCUUCUAUGUACUUAACCUUUAUUAUACUACUAGGAAAAUAUUUUUCAAAUCCCUUUCCUUAAUUGUAUUCUACCUGGUGGAAAUCAAAUCCCUUAACUGAAGGGAAAUUCUAUGUGAUUGAUUGAAAACUAUUUUCCUGCCUUUCUGACUUGCUUCUCUGCACUAUAAAAGGGACUACCCUCCUGCACUUUUAAGGACACUUCGAGUUCAAUACCUCGAACUUUUACUCUCAACUCACACACUUACAAUACUGCUUUGAGUUCAAUACUCUCUCAACACUCUGCUUUUCUGAGAUCUUUUGGAACUGCUUACUUACAAAUUGGCUUUUCAAGACUAAUGUUUCUUUUUACCUGUUUUCCUAAAACUGGUAUGUCUGAUUUAAUUUUUAAUCUACCUCACCUCUAUGUGUUUACUUUAUAGUUUCAAAAUUCUUGUUUACUCUGCUGUUCAUGUUCAGUGAUUAAACUAUGUAUGUUCUGUUUCUAUUGUGAAUCCCUACCCCUAUUCCCUUAUAUGUGUUUGAGUUAAGGUUUUGGCCUGGCAGUACCCAAAUUACUGCUCAGGUCUGAACUUGAUCUCCAAUGGAUCCUAACUCGUAAGAUUUGGCUAAUAGUCUGGUCAGGGGCGUGACAACAUUCCAUAUUGCUGGGCAUGACCAGAAGUCUGCCCUGGACUCCCUAAUUCCCCCAUGCACUUACACUUACUCUUAGACUCUAAGUUCUGCCCCCCUCCUAUGAGCCUUGCUUUAGGACCUUGAGUUCUCUCUGAACUUGGACAUUUGAGGGCUGGCCCUUCCAUAGUGCACUAUAAUUUGGUCCUACAAAUAUAAUUGGGUGUGCACACUGCUUGGGGUUCAUGAAGCCCCUUGGAACCUUGACACAUCAAAAAGAUGAGAAAGGCUUUAGAAAUCCGAUCUUUGGAAGUUGGUUUAUCUCAUAUUGUUAGACCUUGAGUCUGAAUUAGGAUGUUUUGUUGUAGCUUGAAUUUGUGAUUUUUUGUAUCUUUCUUGAUUCAUUCGGGUUUGUAAUAAUUUGUAAUAGCUAUGGGGUUCUAGUGAAAAAAGGAAGGGUAAUUUAUGUAUGCAUAUGGGUAGACAACAUGCUCGUAGGGAUUAGUAUUUACAAAUUCUACAUUCAUACAGAACAUAUAGAACUCUUGCCUAUAAGUUUCUGUAUAUAGAAAUCAUGUAUAAGUUUCAGUGCUUAUGCAUUUAGAAAUCCUGCCUAUAUGUUAAGCAUUACACGUAGAAAUCCUGCCUAUAAGAUUGUUUCAUUAUUAGAAACCAUGCCUAUAAGUUUCUGCAUAUUGAAAAUCAUGCUUACACUUUUGUUUCUGCACCUCUGCAUACACGUCAAUAAUCAUAGGUUUAACAAUAAUCAACCUCAUUCUAGAUACCAUGCCUAUAGGACUCCUGUACUUAUGUAGUCGUCUUAAAACCAAUAACACUUAGAAAUCAUGCCUAUAGGAUGUAAUCAGUUGAUCAACUUCAUCUAUUUCACCUAUGAGUUUAGAAUAAGUAACAAGAUCGUUCAAAAUCUGUAGAGCUUUGUUUAUUAAACCAGUAACGUUUAUUUAAAAUCAGCACGCCUUCUGAAUUGUUAGAUAUCAUGCUUACAUGCCUCAUCUAGGCAAAUCAGUAGGUAAUGAAUCAACUGCGUCAGUCACUGAUAAACUUCAACCAGACAAGGUCUAAUUCGGACUUCUCAUAUGAGAAAUAUGUGAUAAAGCAGCAUGUCCUAACGCUUUAAAUUUAAUUCAAACCUAAUCAGUACCUGUAAGUCAUGCUAAACAAUUUUUUCUUUGAAUGAAGAGGCCUAUUUGAGCCUUUAACUAUUAUGUGUUCUCCCCUUUUAACUGUUAUGUGUUCUGUUUGUCGCAUUAGAUUUUUGUUCUUUUAAAACUUUGAAAAGCCAAUAUCCCUUCCCUUUAGGAUUAGUAGUCCUAACUAUCUUCGGGACUUAUAGGAUUGGGGCGGGUAGUGGCAUGCAAUAAGUAACAAGACCAUUCCGUGAUUUAGUACCUUAACGUGGUGAGAAAGGGUAGACAUGGAUAUAAUGAUCACGCGAUAACACCCAGUGUAUAAAUGGUUACCAGGUGUUGCGUGGGGUGAUCCAUGUUAUUCAUAAACCUAGGACCCCCUCCCUUUUUAUGUGUUUACUUCUUCUUCUUUUUUUUUAGAUUUUUUUUUAAAUUUUCAGUUUUCAGUUCUUUUAAACCCCUUCUUUUACUUUAAUCAUUUAAAAUCUCUUUCAGUUAUUUAAUUUUCAGUACUGUUUAUUUUCCAAACUUCCGCCCCAUUUCAUUCUUUUGUUUGAUUAUUUGUACCAAUUAUUUGACCCCCAUUUUUCUUCACAUGUGUAUUCUUUAAAUAAUUAUGAAAAAUCGUUUGUUCCCAAUUUCAGCAUGUUUAUUUAACUUUUACACUUCCCUUUAUUUGCAAUCGUUACGUGAAAGUUUUCUUGUAUGUUUAUUUGUUGUACACAUUUAAAGUCAUAAUUAUAGUAUGGCCGGGAACCACACUGGUGGAUCUUGGGGGUGCCUAACACCUUCCCCCGAGAUAAUUUCUAGCCCUUACCCAAACUCUGGUUCUUCAGCUCAAUCCCUCCUUAGUGUCCUAAUGCACUUUAAUCAUUAGGUGGCGACUCUUCUAAGUCUCAAACCCAAUUCCCAAAAGGAAAAGAGUUGUCCACCCAAAUGUCGUAAACCCGAUUUCGCCUUAAAAAGGGGGCAUCGAUAACAUGGCGACUCUGUUGGGGAUUUUGUUUAGGCUUUUACCAUUUCAUGUUACUUGUGACUUUACUGCUUCUUUACUACCUUUAUUUAAUAUCUUUAUCUCUUUUCUACUAUGAAACUGACGUGGCUCUUUGUUUUUCUUUAAUGCUUUCUUUUACCGUUUUCCUUCGAUAUUGUUAUUGUAAUCAUGAACGUGCAAAUAUGUGACCACUUGUUUCAUUCUUGUAAUUACACAUUCAACAUCAUAUUCCACCCGUGCCAAAAAAAUAACCAUAGCAAUGAUAAUAAUAAGUGGUUGCGCCCUUCUGAUAUUAUCACCCCCUAAGUUUGGAAAAGGCAUAUUUAUGGUAAAGCCAGUCGAUCAGCGGUGCAGUCGACGGUUCCGUGCCUUUCCCUCUUGAGUUGUUCGCUUAUGGGUACCAGUCUAGCACCCCAUAGAAACCUUACUCUGUUUAAUUGUGCAUGCAUCACUGUCAAACCUAGCCGAGUCGCAUAUGCUAUCCGCAUAAUGACUCUUUAAGAUAGCUUUGUCCAAAAUUCCCAUGUUCCCUUGGAACCCAAAUGGACACUACCACGUUUUGUGCAUUUAUUUGGAGAACUAAAUUCUUGCUAUGCCAAUUAUUUAUAUUUAAUAGUCGAGUCCGACAUGGGUAAGGGUCUAACACUUUCUUUUGAAGAAAAUUAGGCACGAAGUCUUCAGAUUCGGCAUGGUAACCAAUAUCCACCCAAGGUUGCUAAACAGGUGGGAAGACCUUCACUCCAGUGAUCAGACCCUCGUCCACAAAUAUUUGGUGAAUUUUCCUUCUCUUAUGGAAAUCCAACCCGACAACAAAAUCAUAGAGGCUGCAACUCUAUUUUGGGAUGGCGAUAGGUUUGUGUUUCAUUUCAGGGACCUUGAAAUAACACCUCUGCUUGAGGAAAUAUGAGGACUAGCUGGUAUCCCCUGAGAGACUCCGGGUUUGCUUAUGUCAGAAAAUCGUAAGGGUACAGGUUUUCUCAAAAUGAUGGGACUAAAGAAGAACACAGACUUGACCUACUUGAAGAUUCCUACAUUCCUUUAGACUAUGUGUAAAGAACACAGACUUGACCUGCUUGAAGGAUUCCUACAUUCCUUUCGACUAUGUGUUUGAGAGAUACGGCCAUAGCAAGUCCUACCACAGUUACCAGAUAAAUUCUCCCUUACAUCAUUGGGGCAUAUCCACAAAAGAGUCUUCGUCUUUAUGUUAUGCUUUUUGGAGAUGAUAGUAUCUCUUAUGAAGAAGGCUAGGAUACAUACUAGACUUGCCAUGGUCACCAAGACAUUAAUAGAAGGAAUUGGCGGGAAGCCUUUUAGCAUAGUACCUAUGAUUGUUGCGGAGAUAUACCGAGCCCUGGAGAACUAUCAAUGAAUGGCCAAACACUUUGAGAGUAACUUACUGCUCCAACUCUGGCUCAUGGAGCACCUCGAAAUGGGUGAAUAUCGGCAAGAGAUUCUGUAUUGAGACUGGGAUGAUCAGAUCGCCUUCCAUCAGCCAAGGCGAAUGAACUAUAUGCCUGACAUGUUUGCCCAACCAGAAGAUGCCAAAGGGUGGGUAGAGUUGUUCGAAAAUAUGAAAGAGGACCAAGUGCAAUGCAUGUUCGAGUGGUUCCCUACUGUAGAGUUCAUUGUCCAAUCUCGGGAUACACCGUUUCUUAUACUCAUCGGUCUGAGAGGAACUUAUCCUUAUGUCCCUCUCUGAGUCGUGAGGCAGGCAGGGAGAAAGCAGGUUAUACCAAGGGUCGUCAAAAUGAGUCACUUCAGGGCUGACUUUCGAGAUGACGAUAGUUCAUACAAGUGUCAAGCUCAGCAUAUGUGGCACUGCAAAAUCGUCAUGGGAAAGGAUUCCAUAGAACCAGACAAGUACCAUGCUGGUUAUAUUCCAUACUAUCCAAGCUGGUUGGAAGAUGAUCAUAGUGUGUUAGGACAACCCUGGCUUGUUAGAGGUCAUAGGAUCAUCGAUGAAAAGGCUGAAGUACAUGUUAAAUACAACCAAUUGCAUAAGAGGAUUCUAGAAUGCGAGAGUGAGCACUGGGAAAGUCAAGAAGCCCAUCAAAAACUGAUUGAAGAGUGGAAAGAUAUGGCUGUCAGCACCAACAAGCGACUGGGGUAUUUGGACCGGGGUUUAGUGGAGCUAGAAGGGAAGUUCAUCCAGAGGAUUGAAAACUGCCAGAAUGCUGAUGGAAAUGAAGGAGGUCACUUGGCUAGAGCCUACUUGCUGCUGGGACUACAUGAGCUGGUGAAGUUGUUCGAUGGAGCUGAAGAUAACGAGUUUGGGGAAGGUCCUUCUGGGACCAAGUAGUUAGGAGUCUUUUCUUUGCUUUAAACAUAAUAAGGCCAAUGGCCAUCAGUGACAUUUUAUUUUUUGCUAUUUUACUGUCCUUUUGGGAUCCAUCUUACUUUUAUCAAUACAAUGAGACAUUUAGCAUUAUAAGUCCUCCAAAUCAACUUGUCGCUAGGCCUACCUCGGGCAUAAAGAGGCUCCAAAAUUAGGAUACUACUAUGUGUUUAAAUAUUGCAACAUUUUCUUCUCACGAUCCUCACUAACUUGUUACCUUGCUUUGUUUUUACUUUUGUUUAUUCCCUUCACCAAAGGUUAGUUCGUGCACUUUGGCAUCGUCAUCUUACUCCACAAGAUCUAAGGGCCCUCCAUCUCCUAUUUCUUCGAGCCCUAUCAGAAAAAACAAGGAAAAAAUGAAAGAUUUGAGCAACAUCAGAAAGGAGAACUCAGUUGAAAGGGUAGAGGCUCCUCAGGGUACUCAGGUUUCCAAGGAAAGUGCCUCCCAGCUCGAACAGAAGUUAUUGAAAUUUCAGGAAGAACUGGACCAAGUUUGGAGCUUGGCAAGCUUGUUGUUUUCCCUCACUACCCCAGAUGUCAACUUCCCCAACACUCAAAAUCCCACACCACCAUAGAACAUCACGAAACCACAAAACCAACCCGCUCCCCAUCACCACUGUAACACAUGCCACACUUCAAACAACACCCACUACUCAUCACUGAACCACUAAACUCCACAAAUGAUUAUAACCACAACACCUCCAUCUAUGUAGAAACCAUACCACACCCCAUUCAGCCCGCCUAGAGCAUACCUGAGUCUGAUGACAAAUACUCUCUUAUAAGAAAUCUGGCUGCAGAACUCAAGAAGCUGACUAGACGAGUUCAGGGUGUUGAAGGAAGCAAGUGGAUCGCGGGACUGAAUUACAAAAACCUUUGCAUUCUAUCGGAUGUUGAACUGCCAGAGGGGUACAAACCUCCCAAGUUCGAAAUGUUCGAUGGCACUGGGGAUCCUAAAGUUCAUUAGAGGACAUACUGCGACAAGCUGGUCGGAGUAGGAAAAGAUGAAAAGAUUCGCAUGAAGCUCUUUAUGAGAAGUCUGAAAGGGGAUGCUCUAUCUUGGUACAUUAGCCAAGACCCAAAGAAGUGGUCGAACUAGGUAUGUAUGGUGUCCUAUUUCAUGGACAGGUUUAGAUUCAACACGAAAAAUGUGCCAGAUGUGUUCUACAUCUGGAACUUAAAGAAAAAGCCUACAUAGACAUUCUGCGAGUAUGCUACUCAUUGGAGAUUAGAAUCUGCCAAGGUCAAGCCGACUUUAGAAGAAGAGCAAAUGAACAUAUUUUUCAUUCGGGCUCAAGACCCACAGUACUACGAAAGGUUGGUACUGAUUGAAGACUAGAAAUUUUCUAACAUCAUCAAGCUAGGGGAGAGGACCGAGGAAGGUAUUAAAAGUGGUACGGUCACUAACUUUGAAGCAUUAUAGGCUACUAACAAGGCUCUACAAUCUGGUGGCACGUCCAAGAAAAGGGAUGUGAGUGCCGUGAUGGUUGCACAGAGAACAAAAUCCCCAAAAAAGUACCAAACCUACCCAAUACCCCCACUUACCUAUCAACCUAUCUCAAUUACUAAGCACCUUUGCCCUCUUACCAAGAUCUACCAUCUACUUAUCAAUCAUCUACAUCUCCCACGUAUAAGUCUACUUCACCCUAAUACUCCAACCCACGCACGUCUACCAAGCCUACAACACCCAACAAGCCCACUAACAAUCACCUCCCCCCUGGCCAAAAUUUCCUUGUACCCCGACUAACCCUCGACCGUAGACUCCCAAACAAUAUACCGCCAUCGACAAACCAAUCGACCAACUGUAUGAAAGGCCUAAAACUGCUGGUUACGUCACCUUUUUCCCUACCAUAACCCCAGAAAAUCCUUCCCAAGGGGUCAAGCCAAACAAAACCUGUGCAUACUAUUCUGGCAUGAAGAGACAUACCAUUGUUGAAUGCCACUAUCUGAAGGAUAAGAUCCAAGCUUUGAUUGACAACAAGAUCAUCGUGGCAAAGAAGCAUGCUCCAAAUGUUUGCAACAACCCUCUACCAGACCACAAGGGUAGAGGUGUUCACAUGAUUGAUAAAGAAGGUGAUUGCGACCCCAAAGGAUCGAUCAGAUUGAUCGCUCAAGGUGACGAGCCAUGGAAUCCAACAGUCACAUUUAAUUCUAUUGUAGUCCAGAUCCAGCCUUCUGGAGACACUAAAGUGAAAAUGUCCAUACCACUUGAGUUCGAAGCGCCUUUUUUGCAAAAAUGUCAGGACUGAUUAAGGUCAAGUUUGGGUCCCCAAAGGCACCUACGCCAUUUGAAGUUGCUGUGUUACCUUUCAAAGCAAGGGUGCCCAUUCCGGUAGCAAUGUCGACCAUAACACUAUUCCAUACGAAGGCCAUUGCUUGGGAUUACACAGCCGAGGUGAGAAGAAAAGGGAUAGCCAAAACCGGAGAAGUUGUUGUAGCACAAGGCAUGACAAGAACUAGCAGGGUUUAUACUUCAGAAAAUUUAGCUGAAUCGAGUAAGCAGGCCUCUGGACGGCCGACCGAAAUUGGGCCCGAUGAUCUCUAGAGGAAGAUACAAGCAAAGAAGUACUCAACCAUUGAUCAAUUGAAUAAAACACUGGCAUAGAUCUCCAUCCUAGCUCUGCUAAAGCUCCGAUGCAUAUAAGAAUGCCUUAUUGAAGGUGCUAAGUGAGGCAUAUGUACCCCGCAACAUAACUGGAGGAGAAUGGAAAACAUGGUAGAGCAAAUAUUGGAGAGUCACAAAAUCACUUCCCACGAAGAUGAGCUACCACCUGAAGGUUUAAGCCAUAACAAGGCAUUGCACAUCACUAUACAAUGCCAGGAUUAUUCCUUCUGAUUGACGGAGGGUCCAACCUCAAUAUUUGUCCAUCGGUACUCUCAGAACAUUGGGAAAGAGCCUGCAUGAGAUUAAGGAUAGAUCCAUCAAUGUCAAAACUUUCGAUGGUUCCCAAGGAUCCACUAUUGGGGAAAUCAGUUUAUGUCUACAAAUGGGACCUACUUGGUUUGAUGUCGACUUUCAGGUAAUAGACAUCCUAGCAUCUUACAACUUGCUAUUGGGACGGCCUUAGAUCUAUGCCGCUGGAUGGGGCAUCAACCCUAUAUCAGGUGGUGAAGUUUGAGUGGAAUCACCAAGAGGUGAUUAUUUAUGGCGACGAUAGCAAUCCCAUAUAUAGUCACCAGACCAUCCCAGCAAUCGGAGGAAGAAUAAAGAUAGGCGGAGAAACCUACCACAAAAUUGAGCGAGUAAACGCCAUGGACAAGGACAAAUGGUGGGAUAACAAAAUCGAAAGCAUAUUGAACUAGUGCAUGUAUGAACCUGGAAAAGGACUUGGCAAGAAUCUCCAAGGAAUCACUAAUCCUAUCAAGCUCAAGAAGCAUGCCACCACCUUCGGAUUGGGAUAUGAGUAUACCUGAAAAGAAUUCAAGGACUGGUCGUCACCCUGGAAUGGCCCUUACUAUCCAUUGGAGCAACCGAUACCCCGUCUGGAACAGAAUUUUCAACCAGCCGAAGUCAACUAUGGGUCAGAAGAAGAGGAAACAUUAGUAGCAAUAAGGAAUUUGUUCUUAGAAGAGGAUGAUAGGGACUGUUAUGUCAUUUUGAGGAGGAGGGGAGGAAGGUCCUUCUAUACAGGCUGUAAACAGAGGAGCACACCUCAAUAACUGGACUUUCAGAACUACCAGAGCUCGGCGUGCCUCGCGGUAACAAGGUUGAACAAAGCACCACGCGUUAUUUUGCUUUACUAGUUUAGUUUCCUUUCACAUUUUUUAUUUUUCCCAAGAAAGAGCUCCAAUGUUCAAAACACUUAUGGAAUUUAUUAAAGUAUUUCAAUUUUCUUAUAAAUCUCUCUCUUAUUAUUUCCUCUCAUUACGUCAUUUAAACAUCAUAACUAUUACUUACCUUGAUGAACCAACGAUAGUGACAUGCAAAGAGACAAUAUAACAAAAGGAUAUAGAAUCAGAAGAAGAUGAUAUACCGUAAGAGGUUGUUAAAGAGGUUGAGGAUUUUGAGAAUAGACCUAAAUCCAACCUGGACGAGACUGAGAAUGUCAAUCUACGAGAUGUAGAGAACACCAAAGAGACAUGAGUCAGUGUUCAUUUGUCACAAUCUAAAAAGGAAGAGUAUACGAAAUUUCUAAGGGAAUAUGAGGACAUAUUCGCAUGGUCAUAUGACGACAUUACUGGUCUAAGCAUGUCCAUUGUGGCUCACAAAUUACUGACUGAUCCGGCCUGUUUACCAGUGAAAUAGAAGCUCAGAAAGUUCAAGCCAGACAUGAGUUUAAAAUCAAUGAAGAAGUCACUAAGCAGCUCAAAGCUAAGGUCCUCAGGGUAGUAGAGUAUCCAACACAUCUAGUCAAUAUCGUGCCAGUACCGAAGAAGGAUGGGAAGGUCAGAAUCUACAUCGACUACCGGGAUCUUAACCGGGCCAGUCCAAACGAUGACUUCCCCUUGCUAAAUGUACACAUCUUGAUUGACAACUGCGCCAAGCAUGAGCUGCAGUCAUUCGCUGGGUACCAUCAGAUAUGGAUGGAUAAAGAAGAUGCUGAGAAAACAACUUUCAUUAUGCCGUGGGGGAUGUAUUGCUACAAGAUGAUACCAUUUGGGUUAAAGAAUGGAGGGGCUACCUAAAUGAGGGCCAUGACUACCAUUUUUCAUGACAUGAUACAUAAGGAGAUCGAAGUGUAUGAAGACAACAACAUCAUCAAAUCUAUGAAAGCCAUUAAUCACAUGGAAGAUUUGAGGAAAUUCUUCAACAGACUGAGAAGGUACAACCUGAAAUUGAAUCCCAUGAAAUGUGAAUUCGGGGUUCCAGCGGGAAAAUUGCUCGAGUUUAUUAUGAGUCGCCGAUGGAUAUAAUUGGAUCCAUCAAAGGUCAAAGCUAUUCAGGAAUUUCAACCCCCAAAUAACAAGAAAGAAGUAAUGAGUAUCUUGGGAAUACUUAACUAUAUUAGCCGGUUCAUAGCACAAUCUACUGUCAUCUGUGAUCCAAUCUUUAAAAUGCAAAAAGAAGGCCGCCACCGCUAAAUGGACCAAUGACUAUCAGAAAGCCUUUGACAGAAUCAAGGAGUACUUGCUAACACCAAGAGUUUUUGUCCUACCUGAGCCAGGUAGGCCCCUACUACUCUACCUUGCAGUAUUGGAUGGAGCGUUUGGUUGUGUUCUGGGCCAACAUGAUGAAACAGGGAGAAAAAAGCAGGCCAUCUAUUAUCUCAGCAAGCAGUUCACCCCGUACGAAGCCCGAUAUUCUUUAUUAGAACGCACCUGUUAUGCUCUAACUUAGGUAGCUCAGAAGUUAAUGCACUAUUUCUAUGCUUACACCACGUAUCUUAUAUCAAGAAUGGAUCCAUUGAAGUACACAUUCCAGAAGCCCAUGCUCACCGACAAGCUAGCCAAGUGGCAGAUCCCGCUGAGUGAAUUCGGCAUUGUCUACAUGACUCAAAAAGCAAUCAAAGGACAAUCACUAGCGGAUCACCUUGAUGAAAACCCUGUGGAUGGAGAAUACGAGCCCCUAAAGACAUAUUUUCCGAAUAAAUAGGUAUCAUUCAUAGGAGAAGACAUUGCAGAAUCCUAUGACGGGUGGAGAAUAUUUUUCGACAGACCAGCAAAUUUCAAAGGAGCCGGCAUAGGAGCAGUCCUAGUAUCAGAAAUUAAUUAUCAUUAUCCGGUGUCGGCCAAACUCAGGUUCCCAUGCACCAACAAUAUGACCGAGUACGAAGCCUGCAUAUUAGGGCUCAAGAUGGCUAUUGACAUGAACAUUCAAGAAUUGCUAGUUUUGAGCAUGUGAUUUUUGCCUCGUUAAAAUUACUCCUACAGAAUUCUCAAACUUAGGAAUUUUCCUUUAUUAUUUAUUUUCAGGAUUUAAUUGCGCAUAAUAGUGUGCCGUUUUCAUUGAUGCAUGCAUGAAAAGUCAUUAAAAUAUAAAAAAAUAAUUAAAUUACAAAAGCGUUUAAAAUUUAAUUUCACAUAUUUUGUUAAAAUUAAUUGGUAACUAAGGUUUUAUUCUACAAAAUAUAAAAAAUCACAAAAAAUAAGUAGUUUAUUUUGGCAUUUUAUUGUUAAUUUUCAUUUUUGGCAUUUUAUUGUUAAUUUUUAUUUUUGGCAUUUUAUUGUUAAUUUUCAUAUUUGUUUAUGUUUAAGUAGUUAUUAGUAUAAUUUAGUCUAAUUAGAAGUUUAAAAUAAAAUUAGGAAGUUUGUAAAAAAGAAAAUGAAAACAAAAAAAUAGGAUUAAAAUAUUUUAAACCAGGCUGGCCAAAAUUGGGCCAAGCCUGGGUUGCCCAAAACCCGUCUCUACCCAAGUCCAUAUAAGAGACGCCCCAAAACGACGUCAUUUUGGGGCGAUCAAUCUCAACCAUUCAUCCAUAUUGAUCCAACGGCCCUGAAACCCCCUUCCUAAAUCCAAUAUAUAUGUCCAAACGCGUGGAUAUACUGAGAGACAAAACUUUAUCUUCCUCGUACACACAUACACUGGUGUAACGCCGCUUGUCAACCACCACAGACCCACCGUCCGCCGCUGGCCAGAAAUCGUCUCUGCCGGCAUCAAAGCUCAGAUCCCGACAAAAAAUACACCCCUGACUCCACACAUCCUCCUCUUUCCGAUGCCCUAGAAAUCAAACCUCGAAUAUAAUCCCAUUGUCUCGAAUAUUAGAUUCUUUGGAUGCCGCCUCCACCGUCCUCAGCGGCACCGUCGCCGGAAACCUCCCAAAAUAAUACCCUAUACUCCUCACCCCACCCCAUAACAAAUCCGUGGUUGUCUCCCUCCAAACACCUACCCAUCGUUUCGAAUUUUGAAUCAAAGCUCUGACCCAAUCCCCAACCUCACUGGAAUCCCUCAAAAAUGGUCCCAGGUGACCUCCUCACCUUCCCAUCCACAACUCCAUGACCAACAACCUUUGAAUACAACCAGGCUUGGCCAAAAAUCGAAUCAAAAUGGCCUGAAACCGAGACUCCAUCCCAAGCCAACCAACCCUAGCUUGAUACCCUCUCCCCCUCUUCAAUAAAGAUACAAAGGUCUCAGAGGGCCAACAGACCCUCCAAGAAAUGGUCGAGAACCUUGAGAUUUGAAGAGUCCAAUUUUAGGGUUACAGCGUUGAGAAAAGCUAAGUUCCUUUUGUUUUGAUUGCUUUAUUUUCCUUUUAUUGCUUUUAAUUUUUCUUGUUUUCUUUUCUAAUUGUUUUUUAUCUUCUUUGUUUUCAUUUUUAAGUACAUGAAGUUUUCUAUAUAUUGCUGAUCCCAGGUGACCUCCUCACCUUCCCAUCCACAACUCCAUGACCAACGACCUUCGAAUACAACUAGGUUUGGCCAAAAAUAAGAUCGAAGAUGAAUUGAAACCCAGACCCCAUCCCAAGAUAACCAAUCCUAACCUGAUACCCUCUCCCCUCUCCCGUAAUGAUACAAAGGUCUCAAGAGACCAAAGACCCUCUCAGAAAGGGUCGAAAAACCUUGAGAUUUGAAGGACCCAAAUUUUUGUGUUACAUUGUUAAAAGCUAAGUACCCUGAAUUCUUUUGAUUGCCUUUUAACUUUUCUUUUGUUCUUGUUUGUGUAAGUUCAUGACUGUCUGUUUGCAUCUGUAAAAAAUUUUCUAACGAAGUAACUUUGUUUCCAUCUGCUCAUCUAAAAAAAUUUUCUGAUUUAGUUACUUUGUUUCCAUCUACUCAUCUGUAAAAAUUUCUGAUUAAGUUACUUUGUUUCUAUUUCUGAUUAGUUGCUUUGUUUUCAUUUGCUCAUCUGUAAAAAAUUUCUAAUUAUGUUACUUUUCUCCAUUUCUGAUUAGUGCUUUGUUUUCAUUUGCUCAUUUGUUAAAUUUUUCUUAUUCAGUGACCUAAUUUCCAUCACAUGUUUUCUGUUUUAUGUCUUGAUAACCAGCUUCUGAUUGGUUCUCUCAUCAUGUGAAGUCAUAGUUGUUCUUUCAACUUAUUUGAAUUAUCAUGCUAAGCUCAGAAUUGUUCAUCUCUAGUUUAAAAUUGAUCAGUGUCCUGUGUUUCUGAAUUUUGUGCUAUUUAGCUUUAUAUGUGCUUUUGAGUAAUUUAGUUUCACAUCUUGAUAUUUUCCUAUAUAUAUGAGUUGCAUUGAUUUUUUUAAAUUAAACUUUGACCCUUGGUUGUUUGCUUUUACAUAGUAUAGUAUAGUUUCCAAUUAAAUAGUUGGCCAUGGCCAGCUUUUUCAAAAUUUGGUCCACAACUGAUAAUAUAACCCAGGUCGAUGACCUGAAGAAGUUAACUAGGGUCAGUUUCUGACCAAAUAGACAGGAACCGGGGAUAAAAACACUUAGGCUAGUAAUUUAGAAAAGAAGAUAGGGAUAUUGGGUGUAUUUGAGCAUAAGAAUUUUGUAACAAACUCCUGGAACAUUCUAGUGAAGGGUCAAAAUAUAAUUUCUGUUAACUCUGCUUCAAAACUUGAGGCACAAGUUAGAAAAUCAAGGAUCAUUUACGCAAAUCUGAAAAAUGGGUAAAGGUAUAAAAGGAAAACAAAAAGAUUUUGUUGCCCUAAAGCUUUGGUUAUAAAAUAGACGUCUGAUUGUUUAAAAUAGGGAGACAAUUUUAGAUAUACAGGGGAUACACUUUAGAUACAUUUUUGAGAUGUACAUUCUGAAGAAAAGGUUGAGAACCUUUAGCUGAAAAUCAGUUUUAAGUUUUCCUGGCAAAAUCUUCUAUAAUAAUCAAAAAUUCCAUUCAUUAGAAGUUGAAUAUAUAACUUGAAGCAUAGGCAUUAAGGAUCGAAAUUUGUGUUGCUUCUCUAAAUUUCCAGAGUUCCUGAUACAUUCCUGGGUUUAUUAGUUAAUUUGGCUGUUGUCGCUUGCUUGCUUCUCGUUUAACUUGCUCAUAGGAUUCCUUUUUUGGCGGUGAUUCCAGGUACUACUCUCAUUCCAAUUUUGGGAAAUGCACAGCUGUAUACUCGUGACCAUGAUUGAUAAUGAAGAUGUUUUCGUUUUUAUAUCAUGUUGUAAAUAUCAUUAGUUCAGUAAUAUUUAAGAUGUCUAUCCCAUUUUUGUACUAUAAUAUGCAUAAACAUGUAAUGAUGCUAGACUGUGCCUGGACUAUGACUCUAAUUUGUUUUAAUUUCAGCAGGUUUAAAAUAUGGUAGUUAAAUAAGAGAAAUGAAUCAGUGUUCAUUUGUCACAAUCUAAUUUCAGCAGGUUUAAAAUAUGGUAGUUAAAUAACCUGCCUGAUUUUAUGAUUGAUUCUGUAGUAGGGAUUAGAUGUUUGUAUAUGUACUCUAAUUGACAAAUAUAUCAUUUUUUUAGAUGCUAGAUCUGAAACUUGAGUGGUAAUUUAUUAGUUUACUAAUAUAAAAUCAUUACCAGAGGUAUCUUUGUCAAAUGCCUUCAAUAUGUUUAGCGAUGAUCAAUUACAUAAUGUCAAAAAUUAUAGUGUAACAAUCUGAAAAAUGCUUUCAUUAUUCUCUAUGAUUAAUUUGUAAUCCAAUGUUUUCGGGCUCAAUUGAAGGCCUAGAUCAUUGUAGAUUGUGAAGCAUGAGGAAACACACUGCUGGGCUGUUUAAUUUCGUGGAUAAGGCCGAAAUAUGUUAUACAAACACUAAAAAUGUGCAUAUUGAUUGCUUCAUUUGAAUAAGCUAUCAAUAUAUGAAAUAGUUAGGACUUCUCCUUUAGAGACGCGUAUAGUAGAAAACUAUAGUUUCUUUAGGUUGCCCUUCUAAAAAUAAUAAAUUAAGUGAAUCGCCUAACAAAAUCAUGCACUACGUGGGCUCCUUAACUGUAAUAAAAUGCAUAGAAAUCUGGAGGUGUUGUUUAGCAAAUUUCACGGCCCACCACGAAUUUCAAAUGCGUAGUUGCUAUAGGCGCGGUAUUUUAAUAAGAUAUCUUCCUAAAUUCGGGUGCGCAUUUAUGUGACCCAAAUCCAAGUCUCAACGAUGUUAAAAUGUGUCGAGAACCCGGGCACAUUUAUGUGACGUGGUUCGAGACGUAUUUUAAUAACGUUGCAAAUAUUUCUAAAAUGACAUAAAGGUGUUAAUAAUUUUAAAAUUGCAUUGUAGGAUGAACACGUAUAAAAAUCAGGAAAUUAGCCAUUUAUAAUAGUUUAAAAGAGCAUGGGGAUUCGGGGGUGCCUAACACCUUUCCUCGGGUCAACAGAAUUCCUUACUUAGAAUUUCUGGCUUGCAGACUCCAAUUGGGUAGUCGAAAAAUUUCCUCGAUUUGGGAUUCUAAUUAAACCGGUGACUUGGGACACCAAAAGCCAAACCUAUCCCAAGUGGCGACUCUUAAUUAAUAAAUAAUCCCAUUUUGAAUAAUGUCACUUUAAUUGGAAAAACUCCAUUAUAUGUUUAUCUUUCGGGGUAGCCGUGUGAAAAAGGAGGUGUGACAGCUCUGGCGACUCUGGUGGGGAGACGAACCCAUGAUCUCUGGUUUAGGGUUCAAGAAUUCGAGCUUAGAAUAACUGUUACAUUUGGCUUCUUCUGAUUUGCUUACAUGUUCUGUGCUAAUUGCUAAAUGCUUUACCGCUUUGAUAUUAUUUGAACAGUACAUAUAAAAUGCUAGGAAACCCUUGACUUCUCACCUCCGGCGAUGUGCUUACUGGUCGAGACUCCCUAUUCUGUUAGUGUCAUACCUGAAUAUAGGAAAGAGGUCGGAUAAGUUACUAUGCCGGAUGGCCUUUUGGUUUCCGAUACGUAUCCCCCUCCUCGACUCGAGUUGUCCGCUCGGGUGCACAGUCUAGAACCUGUACCAAGGUGUUUAACUUAGAAUAACUUGACCUCUUGCUGGAUCCCUAGUAGGAACACUUAUUUGCAUCAUGCAUUUGACUUAGGGAACUCAACAAAGGGGUUGGGUCCGUCUAGGACAGGUAACCCUAAAUGAAAAGACCAUCCCGAUGCAUAUUACAUGCUACUUGUGACUUCAUUUGCAUUGGAUUCGCAUGUUGAUCAGCUGGCACAUGGGAAAUUUAAGAGGUUUUAAGAUAAAUCAUUGCUCAAAUAGCAUCGAAAUGCUGCCGAAUUCUUCAAAAAAAAAAAUACAAAACAACAAAGGAAAGAAAUUGGGAAAGUUUUUCAAUAAUAUUUUUGAGUUUUUUGAUAAAAUUAUUUUGCCGGAAUGCCAAAACAAAAAAAAUGUUCGACUUUGUCCACAUGUUCCGAAAUAAAUCGGGUGAUACCAUUAUUAUCGGAAAUAGCUGAAUGUUACUGCAAGGGACGCCAGAAGGUUGGUCUUGCACAAAUGGCCACCUCUGAGUCUUCUUUUGACCGGCAAGCGAGCACAACCUGAAAACACUUCCUUUCAGAAGUGUUACAAGGCCGUAUUCGCAAAGCCGGGCCCUGAUUUUAAUAAAUGAAUUUCAUUAAAGUACUAGUUUUAAUAUUUUUGGAUACUAAUUCACCUUAAUUAAUGUGCAGAAUGAGCACGAUAAUGUUCAUGAACAAAAUUUCCCUGGAAUUGCGACUGUGGUGGAAUGAUCUGGGGGAAGCAGGGCAAAAAGGGUCAAUACGCAUCUGGGAGGCCUCACUGGUUUGUUGAAAAUUAACCCAAGGGGAGACAUCAUAAAAUCAUUAAUCACAUUAUGGGACCCGGACCACAAUGUCUUCCAAUUCUCGGACUUUGAACUCACCCCGACAUUGGAUGAAAUUACCAGAUAUAUAGGGACCCCUACAAUUCCUUUGAGACACCAAUACCUGAUUGCACCAAGAACCCUUGCCAUGCACAAAUUCCUAGACUCCUUUAAAAUCAGUAGGAAAGUUCACAAUCCCGACUUAUCAGCUGGCUUUUGCACCCCGCAAUUUAUAUAUCAGAGGUAUGGACAUAUCGGGAGAUUCAAUAAACCCGAAAAUCAUAUUUGUAGCAAAGGAAAUCAGCUCAAAUGGGAGGAACAUCGAUGUUUUGCGUUUAUGGUAUAUUUCUUGGGUCUUCUGGUGUUCCCGCGAAAGGAUGGGAAUAUUGACAUAUGGAUAGUAGGGGUCGUUAGCACAUUAAUAACCCAGGCUAAAAGUAUCCUCGCUCCAAUGAUCUUGUCCGAAAUAUUCCGUACUCUUACCUCCUGUAAAGUAGGAGGAGACUUCUUCGAGGGAUGUAACUUGUUGCUGCAAAUAUGGAUGAUCGAGCAUAUAUACCACCGGCCUCGGUUCAUGAAUUAUGGGUCGCCAACAAAGAGCUGCAUAGAAGAAUUCUGCAACAGGAUUGAUAGGUUUAGAGUACCUGAGGGUGUCACAGAAUGGGUGUCGAAUCUCCGGGUCAUCACUGCAAAUCAGAUAGAGUGGACAUUCGGUGGCUCCCUAUAGAUGAAGUUGUGUAUAUGCCAGCCACCGGGCCUCAUUUCCUUCUGAUAGGUCUCCGUAGUAUCCAGCCCUAUGCGCCAUAUAGAGUACUAAGACAAUUGGGUACAUUCCAAAUGAUCCCCAGGGACGAGGAUGUUAGUCGUCAUGCGGUUGAGAUAAGCCCAAAUGGUCAAUUCCCUGAAGCCGUUGUACUUCAAAUCUAGAGUGAAUGUCAAUACUUGACAGCAGAUACUCGAGUGCGUGACAUAUCUAAAGGUGAGGUCGCACCGGGUAUGUUGCUUGGUACAAAAGAGAAAUAGAGCCUGGAAGGCCGGCUAAGAGACCACAUCUCCAAGAAUUCGCUGAGACAUCACAAGAGUGGUGUGAUUGGUUAGACAAGGAAAAUGAAAAUAGGGCCACUAUAGGAAGGUUGAUAAAGCAAAUCCAAGAGCUGCAAUUUGAAAAGAGUUUGCAAGUUGCAGCCAAUGAGGGAGAAAAAAAGAUAUUAACCAAAGAAAACAAAGCAUUACAAGCCCAAAUCCAGAAAAUGAAGGCAGCCACAGAAAAUCCCUCCAGAAGUACAAGAGAUGAAAAACUCAUAGAAAAUUUGCAGCGUAAAGUAACCGAGUAUGGGUUCGACCUGAAUAAGGCAGAGGGUGAGCUAUCUAGGGUUUGGAAGAAAUUGAUUAAAAGUGUAGAGGAAUCAGCCCGCAUCCUUGAACAAUUAAAGAAGGAAUAACGAUGAGAUUGUUGGUUUAAAGCGGAGGAUCAUCAUGACUGAAAACAGAAUGACCAAGCAAGCCGGGGAAUUCAAAGCCGAAAGAGAGCAUUGUUAUGCAGUAAUAACAAGAUUAGAAAGGGAUUUGCGGCAAUUCCAAAAGCUGAAUCAGGUAGCAGAACGAACUCUAGAGGCAAGGGCCGAGCAAAUUGCGCGUUUGCUGCAAGAAAAAAGUGUUAUCAGGGAAAGGAUACGGGCAAUCACAGAUUAUAUUAGCACAAAGUGCAACCAUUAUCAGGAUAUGACAAAAUCCAUGUUCUUUGCUACCGCCAUGACAUUUGUUCAUCAAGUGAUGGAAGACCUCCACCACCUCCAAGGAAGUUUAGCACGCAAGCCUGCAGCAAGGCCGAACGAUGCCCCACAAGUUCCAAAAGCAGUUGAAGUCUUACUGUAUUCAUAACUUUUGAAAAUUUGUAUUAAAAGAGUCUGUCCAUCUGUAUGUUCUUUUACGUACCAUUCGAGUAUGUAAGUCGUGUACAAGUUUGGUAGUCGCCUUACUUUGUAAUCAAAAGUUUGUCUUUAUAAAAAUGGAAAAUCCCAAAAAUAUCCUGUUAUUUCCAUCACAUUUUUCCAUUAACUAGGCUCGGUCUGAUUCAUGCAGCGUCAUGAUACGUAGGCAAUCUUCAUAGGAUUCGACCAUAUUAUUUAAAAAGGGGAAAUCUAAAAGGAAAUAAGAAGUGGAAAUCAAAAGGAAGUUCAGAAUAAAUGUCUGGAUGAGCAUGCGACCAUUGAAAUAUAUAGAAACUCGUUAACUACGUAGGUGCAUCAUACCCAACAUGUGAUUUCCUUUUUGUUAUCUAUCCCAACCUAACCGUUUGUAAUUCCAGUGUCUAGUCCAGGUUUUUAGAGAACAGUGAUUGGUUUGUGGUAAGCUGGCAUCGCAUAGAUACUUUACUAUAUUAAAAGUAAGAACAAAGAUGUCAUCUGAAAUGACUCUACCGGCAGUUCCCAUUCCAGAGACAACCUGAUUGCGCGGAUCCUAGCCUCAAAAUUGCAGCAGCUGAAGAAAAUAGGAUCCUUCGACUCAGAGUUAUGGAGAUGUGGGAGGCUUGGGCAAAUGGAAAAUAACCCCCAAGUGCCAUCCCCUGAUUUCCUGAGCUUUUCCCAAUGUCGGGGGGGGGGNNNNNNNNNNNNNNNNNNNNNNNNNNNNNNNNNNNNNNNNNNNNNNNNNNNNNNNNNNNNNNNNNNNNNNNNNNNNNNNNNNNNNNNNNNNNNNNNNNNNGGGGUACCUCUACUAUCCCCAUCAAUCACCCGAAUAUCCUCUUGGGGCAGCCUACCAUAUCAGCCAACUUCAUCGGAGCACCCUAUGAAGCCCGUCCUCCGAUGUUCACAUCUGGCUUACUCCAAAUAUUUUUAUGGCUCCUACGUGUGCAUCCACCACACAGCCUGCGGUGCCGAGGCCCACGGUUGAUCCUACAAUUUUCAUAUUUCAAACUCCCAACUACCAAACCGAGCCUCCCCCAUACCCCGCAUACACUUAGCCUCAACCAGCAUACGAACUCACACCGGUGCAGGACAAAACCCCUAAGACACCCGAACAUGAUGAAAUAACAAGAAGGAUGAAAAGCCUUGAGCAGAGUUUGAAAAACAUGCAAGGAUUGAGUGGUAGAAGAGCGUGUCUUACUUGGACUUGUGUAUGUUCCCACACGUACAUCUUCCCCUGGGAUUCAAAAUGCUCAAGUUUGAAAUGUACGAUGGCCAUGGGGAACCCAUCGCUCAUUUCAAAAAAUACUGCAAUCAACUGCAUGAGGCAUGUGGAAAAGAAGAACUAUUGAUGGCAUAUACGGGGAAAGUUUAGUAGGCAUCGCUUCUGAAUGGUACAUAGACUAGGAUAUCACUCGAUGACAUAUUUGGGAUUAUCUCGCCCGGGAUUUCGUAAGGCAGUUCCAGUAUAACAUUGACAUUGCCCCAGAUAGGAAUUCUUUGGCCAACUUGAAAAAGAAACCUUCAGAAAGUUUUAGAGGCAGAUUAUUUUCAAAAUAUGAUGUUAGCAAUGGGCAAACCUUUUGCGGAGGCAAUUAAGAUCGGCGAGAUGGUAGAAAACGGCCUAAAAACAGGAAGAAUUAUGAGCCAGUCCGCCAUAAGAGCAACCUCCCAGGCCAUCCAAGGUGGGGCAGGAGGGUCGCAAAAAAACAAAAAGAAAGAGGAAGUGUCAAUAACAGCCUCCGGAAUGAGAAGACAUCAUACUCACAGACUUGUAUUCUCAGAAAGGGCCUCUCAACACUACUAUCCCCAUCAAGACAUGCAUUAUGUUCCCCAACCUUAUUCAGUCAUGAAUGCCCACCAAUUUGCUCGACCACAACAACAGGGCAACAAAAACCAGGUCCCGAGAAAUUAGCCUCCCCAAAACCACUAUAAUCCCCGCCCUCCACAAAAUAAUUUCCGUCCCAGGGAGCCACCCAGGAGAAAAGAAAUUACACCAAUAGGGGAGUCUUAUGUCAGCUUAUUCCCAAAACUAGUCCAGCUGGGUCCCUUGCAGCCCAUGCCCCCGAAUAGGCAAAACCCUGAGUCACCUUCUAUCAACGGGGCGUAUGCUGUGCUUAUCAUUCAGGAGCCAAAGGAUAUGACACCGAAAACAUUUGGACUCUGAAACGAGCUGUGGAGGAUUUAGUAGAACAAAGGAAAAUAGUGCUGAGAGAUGAAGAUGUCCCAAACGUAUUCAAUAACCCAUUGCCGGCUCACAACAAUGGGCUAGUCAUCGGAAUGAUUUGUGAGGACAAAGAAUUUGACCCUGCCCUAAAAUCCAUAAUAGCCAUUGCUGAUGCAGACAGAAAACCAAAGGUUACCCCCGAGAAGGUUGAACAAAAAUAAAUGAGUGAAGCCAAGCAUCCAGAAGCAGAGAAGAAGUCUGAAAUUAAAACUGAGACGACACCCACCAAGGAAACAAUACUUCGCAUCCCACGGGGGCGUCAAGAAAAACAAUCCACUUUGAGUCCCCCAAGAAGGUUUGAGUAGAACAAAACGAUGUAUGUACCCAAGGGAUCUUAUGUGGUACGGGGACCGAUUAAACCACCAAGGCUGAAUGAGCCCGUGAUAACCGGUCGCGCACCUCAGAAGCCAAUGACAAACCCUUCUGCAGUCCCAUGGAACUACCUAGAAACCAUAGUCACAUACAAGGGAAAAGAGAUCAUUGGGGAAACUCAAAAGACCAUCCCACAAAGAAAUAUUCAGAUAUGGAAGAAGUGAACACUGCCACCAAACGGAGACUUCCACCUUAAAAGCCCGUAAAUGCUGAAGAGGUAGAGGCCUUCUUUCAAAAAAUGAAAAUGCUAGAAUAUGAGGUAAUGGACCAGCUCCGAAAGUCUCUCGAGCAGGUCUCUUUAUUGUCAUUGCUGAUGAAAUCUCCAGAGCACCAGAAAGUGUUUCCUAUGACCUUGAAUGAAGCUUAUGUACCAGUUGGAACCUCCGUCGAACAACUGGAGAAAAUGGAGGAAAGAUUCUUUGCUAUUAAUCAGGUUACAUUCAGAAAGAAUGAUUUAUCUCCAGAAGGAGUUGCCCACAACAAAAGCCUUGCACCUCACCGUCAAAUGUGAAGGCUAUUAUGUCAAAAGAGUAAUGAUAGACAGAGGUUCUGGGGUAGAUAUAUGCCCACUGUCAACAUUGCAAAGAAUGGAGAUUGGAACAGAGAGGAUCCGACCCAACAAUGUGUGUGUACGAGCCUUUGAUGGAAUCAAGAGAGACACCAUAGGGGAAAUUGACUUAGUAUUGACCAACGGUCCGGUUGAUUUUGAACUGACAUUUCAAGUAUUGGACAUGGACACAUCUUACAACUAUCUCCUAGGAAGACCUUGGAUUCACGCGGCAAGAGCAGUGCCUUCUAAUCUGCACCAAAUGCUGAAGUUCGAACAUGAGAACCAGGGGAUUGUGGUCUACGGAGAAGAUGAACAGUCAAUUUACCGUGAUCCCUCUGCCCCUGCCUUGAAGCCAAAGAGGGAAGUGAGCAUAUAGAUUACCAGGCUUUGAAAUUGUGGUAGCCGAUCAAUAUAAAGAAGACGAACCAUUCCCCCAGACUUUCCUCUCCAAUUCCUCAAUCAUGGUGGCAAGAGAGAUGACACACCAAGGGUUUAAGAUAGGCAAGGGACUCGGAAGUUCUCUACAAGGCAUAACUUAGCCGGUCGCUUUUCUUGCCGUAGAGAAGUUUUUUGGGCAAGGUUUCCGUCCGGCGCCGUAGGACAUCAUCUGGCCAACCGUAGGAAACGUCGUGUAUGGGCUUUACUAAAACCCCUACCCCACUUGUACAAAACAUUUGUAAAACCAAAAUACAGUGAGGAAGAGGAAGACGAUACCUUCACAGCGGAAUAAAUUAAGGAGAUAUGUGGAGCCAUAAGGAAAUUAUUGUAUGAAGCCAACAUGGUCCAGCUGGGAGAAGACUCAAGCACUGCUAAAGUGCUCUAUAUGGGACCGGAUGACAAGUUGCAAAAUUGGAAGGCCACACCUUUCCCAGUCAGGCGGGAGGCCUGGUAAUCCUUCCUUGCCACCUUUUCUUGCAUCACGAGUUAUUUCAGGGUGUAGCUCAGGUGUUGUCCUUUUUUUUAGUAUUUUGUCCUUUAAAUUCUAGAUGUAAACCUUGUUAUCUUACAUUUUCAAAGAAAUGAAAUCAACAUUUCAUCAUUUGCACUUCUCCAUUUUUGCAUUAUUUUUUCUUUUAUUUCAUUUUUCUUUCAGUCCCAAUAAUGCGGCUUUAAAUAAAAUGACAUGCUCGCGGACUUCAUGCCCCGACCNNNNNNNNNNNNNNNNNNNNNNNNNNNNNNNNNNNNNNNNNNNNNNNNNNNNNNNNNNNNNNCCUAUGCUCGCGGACUUCAUGCCCCGACCCGAACAUGCUGCCCAUUUGUGAAAUAAUGAACCAAGAACCGGAAUAUGAUGAAGAAGUGGCUUUUAGGGAAAUCAAUCAAGAGUUGGAAAAUUUUGAAAAUAAACCUAAGACGAACUUAAACGAUAUCGAACCGGUUAACUUGGGCGAUCCCGGCAAAAUUGAGGAAACUAAAAUAAGCACCCAUGUGAGAAAAUAAAUCCGGGAUUCACUGGUUCAACUUCUGUUAGAAUUCAAAGAUGUAUCUGCUUGGUCUUACGAUGAUAUGCCUGGGCUGAGUGUUGAUCUGGUGGUUCAUAAGUUGCCAACAUACCCCGAAUGCCCUCCGGUCCAACAAAAACAAAGAAAGUUCAAACCUGAUGUCAGCGAUAAGAUCAAAGAAGAGAUCACAAACAGUUAGAGGCGGGGGGGAUUCGAGUGGUUCGGUACACCACAUGGCUGGCAAAUGUGGUCCCGGUACCGAAGAAAGACGGAAAAACCCGCAGUUAGAGGCGGGGGUGAUUCGAGUGGUUCGGUACACCACAUGGCUGGCAAAUGUGGUCCCGGUACCGAAGAAAGACGGAAAAACCCGAGUAUGUGUAGACUACAGAGAUUUGAACAAGGCGAUUCCCAAAGACAACUUCCCUCUACGUAACAUCCACAUCCUUGUUGACAACUGUGCCAAACACGAGAUACAAUCCUUUGUAGAUUGCUACGCAGGAUACCACCAAGUGUUGAUGGAUGAGGAAGAUGCUAAGAAAACUGCCUUCACCACACCUUGGGAGACUUACUGUUACAAAGUUAUGCCUUUCGGUUUAAAGAACACUGGGGAAACAACCGAGAAAACCGCCUUCACCACACCUUGGGGAACUUACUAUUACAUAGUUAUGCCUUUCGGUUUAAAGAACAACGGGGAAACAUAUAUGAAGGCCAUGACCACCAUUUUCCAUGACAUGAUGCAUCAGGAAAUAGAAAUGUAUGAAGUCCAAUACUCAUGGUGAUCAUGUAAGGGACUUAAGAAAGUUCUUCGAAAGGCUUCGCAAGUGUGAUUUGAAAUUAAAUCCAGCCAAGUGUGCAUUCGGAGUCCCGUCAGGCAAACUUCUGGGAUUCAUUGUCACCCGAAGAGGCAUCGAGUUGGAUCCGACCAAGAUAAAAUCCAUUCGAGAGCUACCUUCUCCAAAGACUAAGAAGGAUGCAAUGAGCUUACUGGGAUGACUGAAUUACAUCAUCCGAUUCAUCGCCCAGUUGACUUCCACAUGCCAUACCAUAUUUAAGCUAUUCAAAAAGGAAGCGGCAGUCAAAUGGGCUGUUGAAUGUCAAGAGGCUUUUGACAGAAUCAAACACUACUUGUCCAACCCACCAGUUUUGGUCCCGCCGGAACUGGGAAGGCCACUAUUUCUCUAACACUCAUGGAAAGAUCUUUUGGUUGUAUUCUCGGGUAGCAUGACGCCACAGGAAAGAAAGAGCAAGCCAUCUAUUAUUUGAGCAAGAAGUUUACCGGUUACGAGGUCAAUUACACGCUGCUAGAAAGAACCUGCUGCGCCUUGACGUGGGUGGCCCAGAAGUUGAGGCAUUACCUGCAAGCUCAUACCACCUACCUCAUAGCCAGGCUAGAUCAAUUGAGGUAUAUAUUCCAAAAACCGAUGCCCACAGAGCAGUUGGAAAAAUAGCAAAUCUUGCUCACGGAGUUCGACAUAGUUUUGUUACUCGUACUGCAAUGAAGGCUCAAGCAUUAGCAGAGCAUCUGGCCGAAAAUCCAGUUGAUGAUGAAUAUCAUCCUUUGAAUACCUAUUUCCCUGAUGAAGAAGUGAAUUCGGUGGAAGUAACAUCUGAAGACAUUCCCACUUGGUGAAUGUUCUUUGACGGAGCGGUAAACGGAAAAGGCGUAGGAAUUAGGGAAAUUUUAAUCUCACCCACGGGUCGGCAUUAUCCCGCUACAGCCAGACUCCGAUUUUUCUGCACCAAUAAUACAGCUGAAUACGAGGCUUGCAUCAUGGACAUGAACAUGGCCAUUGACCAAAAUGUUGAGGAAUUGUUAAUCAUGGGGGAUUCAGACUUGAUCAUACAACAGGCUCAAGGAGAAUGGGACACAAGAGACGUUAAACUCAUCCCCUAUAGACAGCAUGUGGAGGACCUUAGCAAAUAGUUCAAGUUGGUACGAUUCAAGUACAUUCCUCGUUGUCAUAAUGAGUUAGCAGACACACGCAACUCUGGCUUCCAUGUUGCCUUACCCCGGAAACGCCUACGUUGAUCCUUUGAAAAUACAAAUCAAAGAAAGGCAUGGGUAUUGUAAUAUGACCGAAGCAGAGUCCAGCACACAGCCUUGGUAUUAUGACAUCAAGAGAUUCCUGAAAACACAUGAGUAUCUCUAACAAGACACCAGGGAGCAAAAGAAAACCAUCUGACGACACGUGAGCAAUUUCUUCUUGAGUCGUGAUACUUUAUACAAAAAGACCCCAGAUCUCAAUUUGCUGAGAUGUGUUGACACCGAGGAAGCCGGAAGAAUUAUGCAUGAAGUGCACUCAGGAGUGUGUGGACCUCAUUUGAACGAGUACGUACUGGCAAAGAAAAUACUCCGAGCCGGGUAUUAUUGGAUGACCAUGGAGAAAGAUUGCUUCAGUUUCGUUUGAAAAUGUCAUCAAUGUCAGGUGCAAGGUGAUUUGAUUCAUGCAUCGCCAACCAAAUUGCAUCCUAUGUCAGCACCCUGGCCAUUCGCUGCCUGGGGCAUGGAAGUCAUUGGGCCGAUUGAGCCAAAAUCCUCAAGUGGACAUAGAUUCAUAUUGGUUGCUAUUGAUUACUUCACAAAAUGGGUUGAAGUUAGUCUGUUACCAAGAAAGCUAUCAUUUGUCGUUUUGGGAUUCCCGCAACUAUCAUUACAGAAAAAGCAGCCAAUCUGAACAGUCGUCUGAUGGGAGAAUUGUGAACAAUUUAAGAUAACACAUAGAAACUCCACCCCUUAACAGCCCAAAGAUAAUGGUCCCGUCAAAGCAGCUAACAAGAAUAUCAAGAAGAUCUUGAGAAAACUGAUCCAAAGCUCAAGACAAUGGCAUGAAAAGUUGCCUUUUGCAUUUCUGAGAUAUCGCACCACAGUGAGCACAUCGGUAGGAGCAACUCCAUAUUUACUGGUCUAUGGGAUUGAAGCUGUCAUACCCGCAAAGGUAGAAAUCCCUUCACUCCGAGUAAUUAUCGAAGCAGUAAUUGAGGAUAAUGAGUGGGUCAAAACUUGUUUAGAGCAGUUGUCAUUAAUUGAUGAAAAACGAAUGGCUGCGGUUUGUAAUGGGCAAUUGUACAAACAACGAAUGGCCCGCGCUUACAACAAGAAAGUGCGCCCUAGGAAUUUCAAAAUCGGACAGCUGGUAUUGAGGCGUAUACUUCCUCACAAUUAGGAAGCCAAAGGAAAGUUCGCUCCGAACUGGAAAGGUCCGUACAUUAUCAGAAAGAUAUUACCCAAAGGAGCACUUUACAUGGGUGAUGUUGAAGGAGACGAGCCCGAAGCAGUAGUAAAUGCAGAUGCAGUAAAAAGGUAUUACGUUUGAACUCCCUAUUCCAAUGAUUCUGGCUGGUGGAAAUAAGCACUGUACAUGGGUGACGUUGAAGGAGACGAGCCCGAGGCAGCAGUAAAUGCAAAUGCGGUAAAAAGGUAUUACGUUUGAACUCCCUAUUGCAAUGAUUCUGGCCGGUGGAAAUGAUGAAGGCUUUCUUUCCCGCUACCCUAAAUGCUACCAAUCCCUUUCAAACCCUUUGCGCCGAUCGCGUUCUUUGUUCACCCUUUUUGGAACCCGAAAGUGCUAUUCAAAAAAAAGAAAAAAAAGAAGAAAAUAAAAAGAAAAAUAAAAAAUAAAAAUGAAAAAAAAGAAGAGAAAAAAAGAGAGAAACAACAAACAAAUUAGUUUAGGAAAAACUUCCUGAACUACGUCUGACUUGAUUCCGAAAGGAUGUGUAGACAGCCUCUCCCUGAGGUUCAGUCAUAUCAAAAUAAAAACCCCAAUUCCCCAAAAAUGAAACUGGGUCAGAUAAUAAAAUGGUUCAGCCAUGAACCCGCCAGAAUGUUUCCACCCCAGUUUCCCAAGAAAAUAAAACUGGGGAAGAAAUGUAUUGUUUCGGUCAUAGAUCCGCCCGAACGGUUCAGAAAUUGUAAAUUUCCAUCAAUAACCUGGUCCAAGUUCUUCCGAUCAAUUGGACAAAUCAGGGACAUGACAAACACUAUUGUUGGGAUUCGGCACAACUCUAUUUGAGCGAAAUAAAAUGAGAGAGUCUUAUCGGUGAAAACCUUCGGGCACCAUAAGGCGAUGGUGAGCAGAGAAAAAAAAUGAGAGAGCCUAUUUAAUGAAAACUUGCAAAGAACGCUAUCGUACGACGGGAGAAGAGAAAUGAGAGAGGCCGAUUGGCGAAAACCCGUAAAAGGGCAUCAUCGGCCGAAAAGAGGAAAUAUUGCCACUCAAGCCUGAACAAGUUUCCAUGAUUUUGAAAGAUUGAAAUCAAAAACAGAAAUGGAUCAAGGCCGGGUAUUUAGUCCAAGAAGCAUGUCGUUUCCAUUUAAAGUCGGCACGCAUUUCUAGAUAAGUCCUCCCUUUUUCUCCAAAAGAGACAUACCUCUCUAAAUUCAUGUUUUUUUUUAUUGUUUUUCCCACUCCUUUUUCCUUUAACUUUUAUGUCCUGACCAUUCUAAGAAGGAAGGUAGCAGUACCGGCCUCACGGGUUUUCUCCUGGAAAGAACUAAAAGAAUAUCUGAUAUCAGCGAGCGCAUUUAGCCAAUCCCGGCUGAUUAUGACGGCUAACGCUUCAAAAGCAGGAAAAUAGAAAGAAAAGAAAUUCAAAGUUAAGAGCCCACGAAGGCGAAUCAAGAUCUGAAAGGUUAAGCCCAAGUAGGAUAAUGGUUCCUGCCAAAGAUCCCAAAGGCAAGACUGAAGUGGAAAUCGGGACAAAAAUCAUAACCAAGGGCCUAGAAAACAUAAACCGACCUGAAAGAUGAGGACCCCCCCCGAUCAACCUACGAGGCAAAGAUCGGAAGUCAAGGGUUUUUCCUCCAAUAGAAAUGAGGCUGAAAGCAAGCAAAACAAGGCCACAAACCAAUCACUGUUCAAACUAACAAAUUGCUCUGAAUUGGAAUUUGACACAGGUGUAACCUACAAACAAUAGGAACACGUGACUAAUGCAACCGAAGGAAUGGAACAAGAGCUAAGAAUGGUGUUGCGUCAAUAACAAAAGGGGAAGUUUCCUUUACAUUAUUUUCCUGCAAAUUCAUAAAUAAACAUGAUAGCAUAGGACUCUGAUCUUUAACUUCUUUCCCUAGACUUAGGGCCAUAUCCCUAGCUUCCCCCGUUGCAACUUGUGGACUUCCUCGGCAUAACCCAAGGAUCACAUUCCACUCUCCCUGGCACAGAUCGAGAAAUUUCCUUCCUUCGCUCCCAGGCAUAACCCGGGAGGUUUCUCUUUAUAUCCCCAGUAUAACCUGAGGACCCUAUUUUCCCACCUUUUACUCCCCAGCAUAGUAUGAGAGUUAAAGCUCUUCUAUCCAUUGCAUAACCUAAGGGUUUUUCCUUCCAUUCUCUAUCCCCAGCAUAGUCAAAAGGAUCUCUGUGGCCCUUCACUUCCAUGUAAUUCCUGGCAUGACCCAGGAAUUCUCCAUUCAAUCUCUGCAUAACCUGUGGAUCUCCCUAGCACAACCUAGGAGUUUUCUUUCAAUCCCGGCAUAACCCGCGGAUUCCCCGAGCAUAACCUAGGAAUUCUCCAUUAAAUCCCAGCAAAACCCGUGGAUCUCCCUAGCAUAACCUAGGAUUUUUUCUUUCAAUCCCGGCAUAACCUGCGGAUUCCCGUGGCAUAGCCCGGGAAUUCUCCAUUCAAUCCCGACAUAACCUGUGGAUCUCCUAGCAUAACCUAGGAGUUUUUCUUUCAAUCCCGGCUUAACCCGCGGAUUCCCCUGGCAUAAACCAGGAACUUUCCAUCCAGUCCCGACAUAACCCGCGGAUCUCCCUAGCAUAACCUAUGAUUUUUUUCCGAUCCCGGCAUAACCUGCGGGCUCCCCUGGCAUAACCCAGAAAAUUUCCAUUCAUCCUGGCAUAACCCGUGGAUCUCCCUGGCAUAACCCAAGAAUUUUUCAUUUAAUCUCGACAUAACUCACGCAUCUCCCUAGCAUAAUCUAGGAGUUCUUUCAAUCCCGACAUAACCCGUGGAUUCCCCUGGCAUAACCUAGGAAAUUUUCAUUCAAUCUCGGCAUAACCCGCGGAUGUCCCUAGCAUAACCUAGGAGUUUUUCCAUUCAUCCCGGCAUAACCCGUGGAUCUCCCUGGCAUAACCCAGGAAUUUUCCAUUUAAUCCCCGCAUAACCCGCGGAUCUCCCUAGCAUAACUUAGGAGUUUUUCCAUUCAUCCCGGCAUAACCCGUAGAUCUCCCUAGCAUAACCUAGGAGUUUUUCCAUUCAUCCCGGCAUAACCCGUGGAUCUCCCUACCAUAACCCAGGAAGUUUCCAUUUAAUCCCGGCAUAACCCGCGGAUCUCCCUAGCAUAACCUAGGAGUUUUUCUUUCAAUCCCGGCAUAACCCGCUGAUUCCCCUGGCAUAACCCAGGAAUUUUCCAUUCAGUCCCAGCAUAACCCGCGGAUCUCCCUACCAUAACCUAGGAGCUUUUCUUUCAAUCCCGGCAUAACCCGCUGAUUCCUUUGGCAUGACCCAGGAAACGUUUAUUCUUCCCGGCAUAAUCCGUGGUUUUCCUUUUAUCCCCAGUAGAGACUCUUCAUUCCUAUCCCGGCAUAACCCGCGGAUCCUUCUCCUACCCCCAGCAGGGACCCUUCAUUUUUAUGUCGUCAUAACCCGUGGAUCCUCCUCCUAUCCCUCGCAGGGACCUUUUCUCCUUUCCAGCAUAACCUGGCAAUCAGUCCGAAGGAUACGCAAUCCUGAAUUUUAUUGUUUUCAAUAAAGAAAUAGCUUUGAUUUGUGUUGCAGAUAACUCAUGAAAUUUUCCCGGUGAAAAAAGGGGCAGAAAAUUUCGUUCGUUUGUUUGUUUUGGUGUCCGAGAUGGUUGUAUUUCAAGGCACAAAAUUUGAGAUGACCGGGAGUGGGAGUUUCAGCUCAGAAUAAGGAAAAGAAGAAAAGAACAGACUAGAAGUGAAUUCAAAAUGAUGAAGCGGACUGAGAUAUGGACUGCUCAAAAUUUGAUUGAAAUCACAAGACCCGCCUGUCCCGCUUUGUUCCAAAAUUGGAGAGUAAACCAGCGGCUGCACUAACGAGCAUCAAGGUUCAGAUUGAAGUCUGCUAGAAGAGUUAGCCAAGACUCAAGAUCCAGUUUCAAGAGACUCAUGGAUAGGGAUCUUGCAACUCAUAAUUGAUAGGCCUAGCUAGUUUAGCUGUUGAUUCUCUUUUGUGUAAUAAAGAGUCGGUAAGCAGUAGCAGUAGCAACAGCAGUGAAACCACUGCCCAUGGUAGUCCCAGCUACAAGACACUCCAGAACUACACUGACCUGAUUCCUUUAUAGCCAAGGAUAUGUAGGAAACCUUUGAAGCGAGGUUCGGUCAGAAACUUUUCAAAGUGCUUCACACGGAGUAUUUAGUCGGGUGAAAAUCGCUCGUGUUUGCUCACUUAUCUUUGCACGAAAACCCUUCGUGUUUCCGAGCAAAGAGGGGCAGUUGUGAGCAUGUGAUUUUUGCCUCGUCAAAAUUACUCCUACAGAAUUCUUAAACUUAGGAUUUUUCCUUUUAUUAUUUAUUUUUAAGAUUUAAUUGCGCAUAAUAGUGUGCGUUUUCAUUGAUGCAUGCAUGACAAGUCAUAAAAAUAUAAAACAUAUUAAAAUAAAAAGCAUUUAGGAUAUAAUUUCACAUAUUUUGUUAAAAUUAAUUGGUAACUAAGGUUUUGUUCUAAAAAAUAAAAAAAAUCACAAAAAAUAAGUAGUUUAUUUUGGCAUUUUAUUGUUAAUUUUUAUUUUUUGGCAUUUUUUAUUAAUUUUCAUUUUUUUUGGAAUUUUAUUGUUAAUUUUCUUAUUUGUUUAUGUUUAAGAAGUUAUUAGUAUAAUUUAGUCUAAUUAGAAUUUUAAAAUAAAAUUAGGAAGUUUGUAAAAAAGAAAAUGAAAACAAAAAAAAUAGGAUUAAAAUGUUAUAAACCAGGCUGGCCACAAUUGGGCCAAGCCUAGGCAGCCCAAAACCCGUCUGUACCCAAGUCCAUAUAAGAGACACCCCAAAACGACGUCGUUUUGGGGCGAUCAAUCUCAUCCAUUCAUCCAUAUUGAUCCAACUGCCCUGAAACCCCCUUCCCAAAUCCUAUAUAUAUGUCCAAACGCCUGUAUAUACUGAGAGACAAAAAUUUACCUUUCUCGUACACACAUACACUAGUGUAACGCCGCCUGUCAACCUCCACAGACCCACUGUCUGUUGCCGGCCGCAUAUCGUCUCCGCCGACGGCAAAGCUCAUAUCUCGACCAAAAAUACACCCCUGACUCCCCACAUCAUCCUCUUUCCGAUGCCCUAGAAAUCAAACCUUGAAUAUAACCCCAUCGUCUCAAAUAUUAGAUUUUUUGAAUGCCACCUCUACCGUCCACGGCGCCGUCGCCGGAAACCUCCCAAAAUAACACCCCAUACUCCUCACCCCACCCCCAUAACAAAUCUGUGGUUGUCUCCCUCCAAACCCCUACCCAUCGUUUCGAAUCUUGAAUCGAAGCUCUGACCCAAACCCCAACCUCACCGGAAUCCCUCAAAAAUGGUCCCAGUUGACCUCCUCACCUUCCCACCCACAACUCUAUGACCAACGACCUUACAACUAGGUUUGGCCAAAAAUCAAAUAGAAGAUGAUCUGAAACCCAGACCCUAUCCCAAGAUAACCAACCCUUACCUGAUACCCUCUCCCCUCUCCCAUAAUGAUACAAAGGUCUCAAGAGACCAAACAGCCUCUCAGAAAGGGUCGAAAAACCUUGAGAUUUAAAGGACCCAAAUUUAAGGGUUACAGCUUUAAAAGCUAAGUACCCAAAAUUCUUUUGAUUGCCUUUUAACUUUUCUUUUGUUCUUGUUUGUGUAAGUGCAUGAAUGUCCAUUUGCAUCUGUAAAAAAUUUUCUGAUGAAGUUACUUUGUUUUCAUCUGCUCAUAUAAAAAAAUUCUGAUUAAGUUACUUUGUUUCCAUCUGCUCAUCUGUAAAAAUUUCUGAUUAAGUUACUUUGUUUCCAUUUCUGAUUAGUUGCUUUGUUUUCAUUUACUUAUCUGUAAAAUAUUUCUGAUUAAGUUACUUUGUCUCCAUUUCUUAUUAGUGCUUUGUUUCCAUUUGCUCAUCUGUUAAAAUUUUCUGAUUCAGUGACCUUAUUUCCACCACAUGUUUUUUGUUGUAAGUCUUGAUAACCUACUUCUUAAUGGUUCUCUCAUCAUGUGAAGUCAUAAUUGUUCUUUCGACUCAUUUGAAUUAUCAUGCUAAGCUCAGAAUUGUUCAUCUCUGGUUUAAAAUUGAUCAGUGUCCUGUGUUUCUGAAAUUUGUGCUGUUUAGCUUUAUAUGUGCUUCUAAGUAAUUUAGUUUCACAUCUAGAUAUUUGCCUGUAUAUAUGUGUUGCAUUGAUUUUUUUUUAUUUAUCAAUUUUUGACCCGUGGUUGUUACAUAGUAUAGUAUAGAUUCCAAUUAAAUAGUUGGCCAUGGCCAGCUUUAUCAAACUUUGGUCCCCAGCUGAUAAUAUAACCCUGGUCGAUGACCUGAAGAAGUUAACUAUGGUGAGUUUCUGACCAAAUAAACAUGCACCAGGGUUUAAAACACUUAGGCUAGUAAUUAAAAAAAGAAGACAGGGGUAUUGGGGGUAUUUGAGCAUAAGAAUCUUGUAAAAUAAUCCUGGAACAUUCUAGUGAAGGGUCAAAAUAUAAUUUCUGUUAAUUCUGCAUUAAAACUUGAGACACAAGUUAGAAAAUCAAGGAUCAUCUAGGAAAAUCUGAAAAUGGGUAAAGGACUUAAAGGAAAACAAAAAAAGUUUGUUGCCCUAAGGCUUUGGUUAUAAAAGAGACGUCUGAUUAUCUAAAAUAGGGAGACAAUUUUAGAUAUACAGGGGAUACACUUUUAGAUACAAUUUAGAUAUAUUUUUGAGAUAUACAUUUUGAAGAAAAGGUCGAGAACCUUUAGCCAAAAUCAAUUUUAAGUUUUCCUGGAAAAAUCUUCUAUAAUAAUCAAACAUUCUAUUCAUUAGAAGUUGAAGAUGACUUGAAACAUAGGCAUUAAGGAUCAAAAUUUGUGUUGCUUCUCAAAAUUUCCUGAGUUCCUGAUACAUUCCUGGGUUUAUUGGUUAAUUUUGCUGUUGUCGCUUGCUUGCUUCUCGUUUAACUUGCUCAUAGGAUUCCUUUUUUGUCUGUGAUUCUAGGUACUACUCUCAUUCAAAUUUGGGAAAAUGCACAGCUGUAUACUCGUCACCAUGAUUGAUAAUGAAGAUGUUUUCGUUUUUAUAUCAUGAUGUAAAUAUCAUUAGUUCAGUAAUAUUUAAGAUGUAUAUCCCAUUUUUAUACUAUAAUAUGCAUAAACAUGUAAUGAUGCUUGACUGCGCCUGGACUAUGACUCAAAUUUAUUUUAAUUUCAGCAAGUUUAAAAUAUGGUAGUUAAAUAACCUGCCUGAUUUUAUGAUUGGUUCUAUAGUAGGAUUCGAUGUCUGUAUAUGUACUCUAAUUAACAAAUAUAUCAGUUUUUUUAGAUGUUAGAUCUGAAACUUGAGUGGUAAUUUAUUAGUUUACUAAUAUAAAAUCAUUGCCAGAAGUCUCUUUGUCAAAUGCCUUCAAUAUGUUUAAAGAUGAUCAAUUACAUAAUGUCAACAAUUGUAGUGUAACAAUAUGAAAAAUGCUAUCAUUAUUCUCUAUGAUUAAUUUGUAGUCCAAUGCUUCUGGGCUCAAUUGAAGGCCCAGAUCAUUGUAGAUUGUGAAGCAUGAGGAAACACACGCUGGGCUAUUUAACUUCGUGGAUAAACCCAAUUACUGAAAUAUAAUAUACAAACACUAAAAAUGUGCAUAUUGAUUGCUUCAUUUGAAUAAACUAUCAAUAUAUGAAAUAGUUAGGACUUCUCCUUUAGAGACGCGUAUAAUAGAAAACUAUAGCUUCUUUAGGUUGCCCUUCUAAAAAAAAUAAAUUAAGUGAGUCGCUUAACAAAAUCAUGCACUACGUGGGCUCCUUAACUGUAAUAAAAGGCAUAGAAAUCUGGAGGUUCUUUUUAGCGAAUUUCACGCCCCUCCACGAAUUUUUGAAUGCGUAGUUGCUAUUGGCGCGAUAUUUUAAUAAGAUAUCUUCCUACAUUCGGGUGCGCAUUUAUGUGACCCAAAUCCAAGUCUUAGCGAUGUUAAAAUGUUUCGAGAACCCGGGAUCAUUUACGUGACGUGGUUUGAGACGUGUUUUAAUAACGUUUCAAAUAUUCCUAAAAUGACAUAAAGCGGUUAAUGAUUUUAAAAUUGCAUUGUAGGAUGAAUAUGUAUAAAAAUCAGGAAAUUAGCCAUCUAUAAUAUUUUAAGCGACCGUGGGGGUCCGGGGGUGCCUAACACCUUCCCUUGGGUCAACAACAUUCCUUACUUAGAAUUUCUAGUUCGCAGACACCAAUUGAGCAGUCGAAAAAUUUCCUCGAUUUGGGAUUCUAAAUAAACUGGUGACUUGGGACACCAAAGGCCAAACCUAUCCCAAGUGGCGACUCUUAAUUAAUUAAUAAUUCCAUUUCGAAUAAUGUCACUUUAAUUGGAAAAACUCCAUUAUACGUUUAUCCUUCAGGGUAGCCGUGUGAAAAAGGAGGUGUGACACUAGUAAUUGGAGAUUCAAAUUUGCUUAUACAUCAGGUACGAGGAGAAUGGGCAACCAAGAACUCCAAGAUACUCUCGUAUUUUCAUCAUGUACAUGAGCUGGGGAAGAGGUUCACAAAGACAGAGUUUAGGCAUGUCCCCAGAAUCCAGAAUGAGUUUGUCGAUGCCUUGGCCACUCUAUCAUCUAUGAUUCAUCAUAUAAGAACGUCGUAGACCCUAUUCCAGUAAAGACUCAUGAUCAUCCAACUUACUGUGCUCAUGUCGAGGAGAAAGCAGAUGGAAAUCCUUGGCUACGCGACACCAAGGAAUAUUUAACCAAAGGAGAAUAUACAGAGCUUGCAAAUCCCACUCAGAAGAACACAUUCCAGAUAUUAUCUAACAAUUUCUUUCACAGUGGAGAAAUCCUCUAAGGAGGACUCUUGAUUUGGGAUUACUAAGGUGUAUCGAUGCAAAGGAAGCAUAUAAACUGUUAGAAGAAAUCCAUGCUGGGACCUGAGCUCCACAUUUGAACGGUUUUGUCUUGGCCAAAAAGAUACUCCGAGUAGGUUAUUUUUGGAUGACUAUGGAAACAGACUGUAUCCAGUAUGUCUGAAAGUGACAUCACUGUCAGAUAUAUGCAGACAUGAUAAAGGUACCUCCAAAAGAGCUUACUGUAAUAGCUCGCCAUGGCCGUUCGCCGCUUGGGGAAUAGAUGUCAUCAGACCUUCGAGCUUGCCGAGUCAAAUGGGCACAGUUUCAUUCUAGUGGAAAUUGAUUAUUUCACCAAAUAGGUUGAAGCAAUAUCUUACAGAACAGUGACCAAGAAAGUCGUGGCAGACUUUGUCCGCGAUCGCACUGUUUGUCGGUUAGGAAUUCCGGAAUCAAUCAUCACUGAUAAUGGUUCCAAUCUCAACGUGACUUGAUGAAGGCCAUGUGUGAAACCUUCAGGAUCAAACACAAUAAUUCUAUGGUUUACAGAACUCAGAUGAAUGGAGCCAUAGAAGCCGCCAAUAAAAUAUCAAGAAGAUACUAAGGAAAAUGAUAGCAAAGCAUAAACAGUGGCACGAGAAGCUAUCAUUUGCUUUAUUGGGAUACCACACCACAGUUCACACAUCAAUCGGGGCAACUUCUUAUAUGUAGGUUUAUGGUACAGAGGCAGUCAUUCCCGCCGAGGUAGAAAUUCCCACGUUGAGAAUCAUACAUGAAGCUGAACUCGACGAUGUAGAAUGAGUAAAGAGUCGCUAUGAGUAGUUAUCCCUCAUAGAUGGAAAAAGAAUGAAUGUAGUGUGUCAUGGUCAACUUUAUCAGAAUAGAAUGUUCAGAGCCUUCAACAAAAGAGUCAAGCCAAGACAAUUCACACUAGGACAGCUGGUAUUCAAUAAAAUCUUCCACAUCAAGAUGAAGCCAAAGGAAAAUUUUCUCCCAACUGGUAGGGUCCAUACAUGGUUCACUGAGUUCUAAUAGGAGGAGCCCUGAUACUUGCAGAAAUGGACGGAGAAGUUUGGCCGAAGCCAAUCAAUUCAGAUGCAGUAAAGUGAUACUAUGCGUAGCACUUUUGAUUUCUUUAUAUGAUGUAAUUUAAAAUAUGUUUGACCUGAUUCCCACUUAACAUGGGAUAUUUAGGCAGACUUAUGGGUUCGGUCACAAUUCAAUAAAAUUUUCAUUUCCCCCUGCAAUUGGAAACGGGGGCAAAAUUUGAGGAGGACCCUCAAAAUUCCGAAGUAAUUUCAGCCGAUCAUCAUAAGCAGCCGUCAGAAGCAGCAACCCAGUAAAUUGGGGCAAAAUUUUGAGGAGGACCCUCAAAAUUAAAAGAGGUUGCAACCUCUUGAACCACAUCGCAGUCGUCGGUUCAUCUAAAGAAAAUUAUUUUAUACUUUACAAAAUCAUGCAUAUCUAUCCUCAAAUUACUUUGUUUAGCGAUGCUACCCCAAUGAUACACAACAUCGCUGAAAACAGAGCCAAGCAGGACAAGCGAAGUCUACGGGGAAUACGAACUAACCUUUUCCCUGUAAAAACUCACAGUUUUUCUUUGGAUACAUGCACCCAAGUUGAAAAUCACCAAAUACAUUUAUACACUCAUACUUUCGGGAAUACGAUCCUCAGAACCCUCACCUAUUCACCUUUUCUAUCUGUAUACAACAUCUUCGGCAACCACAAUAUUGCAAUCAGCUAUUAGCUAUCAAGCCAUCAGCUAAGAAAUUUUACUACUGUUCGCAUUUUCUGUAUUGCAUAAGGCUACUAUUCUGCCUUACGAGGUUAAGCUCUACCUCCGUCUAUAUUUUUUGCAUUGCAUAAGGCUACUAUUUGCGUUCCGAGGUUAAGCGCUAUCUCCAUCUGCAUUUUCUCUAUUGCAUAAGGCUACCAUUCUGCCUUCCGAUGUUAACCUCUACCUCUAUCUGUAUUUUCUGCAUUGCAUAAGGCUACUGUUCUGCCUUUCGAGUUUAAGAUCUACCUCCAUCCGCAUUUUCUGCAUUGCAUAAGGCUACCAUUCUACCUUCCGAGGUUAAUCUCUACCUCUAUUUGCAAUAUUUUUUUCAUUGCAUAAGGAUACCAUUAUGCCUUCAGAGGUUAAGCUCUACCUCCAUCUGCAUGGUUGAAAUAUCUCCACUUUUGUUUAAAUCCUGCAUCGGCUGAAAUAUCACCAUUAUUAUUUAUGUCUUGCAUUGGCUAAACUAUCGCCACUUCAUUUAAAUCUUGCAUUGGCUGAAAGAUUGCCAUUUUACUUACAUUCUGCACGGCUGAAAUAUCGCCACCUUUAUUUAAACUCGACAUCGGCUAAAAUAUCGCCACCUUUAGAUUCCGCAUCGGCUGAAAUAUGGCAACAUAUAUUUAAAUCUUACAAUAUCGCCAUUUUUGUUUAUGUAUUGCAUUGGCUGAAAUAUCCCCACUUAAUUAAAUCUUGCACCGAAUUGAAAGAUCGCCACAUUUAUUUAAAUCCUGCAAUAUCACCAUUUUUAUUUAUGCCUUGCAUUGGCUAAAAUAUCGCCACCUUCUGCAUUUCAUGGGCUGAAAAAUUGCCACCUCCUGCAUUUCAUGGGCUGAAAAACCGCCAAAUUGUUCAAGGGCAUCAUUCUUCGGAGGCACCAUGUUCAUAGCCCGAGAACGCCAUGCCAUGGCCUGAGGACUCCUUUAUCUCUUGCAUAUCAUUGUUCAAAGGCAUCAUGGUUCAGAGGCCUCGUUCUCAUACGCCUAGAACAUCAUUUCAUAACCUGCAAAUCCUUUAUCAUACACUUCAUGCUCCAGGACGUCAUGGUCUGAGGACGUCAUCGUCCAAAGACAACAUUCACGGUCCAACGGGAACUUGCAUCAUGUUUAAAUUUAUGCACAACAUAUGCGCUUGUGUUGUUCAUCUGCAUGUAAACCGACUAGCAAUGAUCGUAUCAGCGAGAGCGAUCUCGCUCCAGUUUUUGAGCUCUGUUAAACUCGCUACCCCAAUCUGAAUAUCCCAUACGUUCUUGAAAAAAAUCUCCAUCGGCAAGUUCUGCCGACGGAUCCCGAACUACAUACAACCUGAUUCUUGUAAGACCAAUGAUAUAUAGGCGGCUCAGGAACCAGAGCUCAGCCAAAGUUCUUCAAAUUAUUUUGUUCGGUCAAAAUUGGCCAUCAUAUCUUUACCCGACAACUCUUUCAUCCUUCCAAGUGAAGAGGGGCAGCUGUUGAUACCCAAUGUUUUCUUAUAUAAUUUUCAUAUACAAAAUAAAAAUAGUAUGUACAAGUAAUAUGGUAUUUUACAUAAUUUUUAAAGAUUUUGAAAAUCAAUUUAUUAUUUAUUUUAUCAGUAUAAAAUCCAAUAAUUAUUCUCAAAGAUUAUCAUUUUGGUAAAUGACCUAUUUUAUUCUCGUAUUUACACCAAAAUAUGGCGAAGGUGAUUUUUCUAUAUUUUUACAAAUUUAUUUGGUAUUUAAAAGGCUAAAUUGCAUAUAAUCGCAAUUGUAGCCUACUUGAAGAUUAAUAGCAUUUUAUAAUUGUAAAAUUAGGUCCAAUAUUUUUAAUUUAUUAUUUAUACACUAUUAAUUGUUUCGGUAUUUCAAUUUUCUAUUAAAAUUAGUUUACUAUUUUUACAAAAAUAAAAAGGGAAAAAGUCAUUAUUUAAAAGCGAGCCUUAUUUUAUUUAAAUUUUAGCCUAAAUUGACCCCUCACUAAACCCCAAUUUCAGAUCUCAAAUUGCCCCAAUUUCAAUUUGGACCCAAUCCAUUCUCCACCUACCCACUUAAAUCUGGACCGUUGAUUACUCAAGAUCAACGGCCAGAACUCACCCUUCCAUAAUUAACUCCAAAUGACUACCCUAAUCCCUCAUUUCCCAUCUCUCAGCCGCCUUUGCAAAACCUCUCGUCUCGCAAACUCUCCGAAACCCUAGCCUCCUUCUACCCGCUUCAACCACCACUCCACCGGAAUCCAUUGCUCCCCAGGCCAUGGAUGUUUGGUACCCACUCCCCUUCACCAGUAAACCAUGGUUGUUCGAAGCCUCGAGACCUUCUCAAUGGUUCUCCUUCAAAUCCUUCUCAGAUCAGCAGAUCUAUGGCUUCUCCGGCCAUUACCCCAACAUAUUCAAGCAUUAUAAGCCUCUCCGACUCAAGAUCGGACCAGUUUCCAAGCCUUUCUCAUUUUUAGGGUUUCUCCAAAACCCUAAGAUAUUCGAGGAUCUUUCACUAUUGUUUGCUUAGAUCUAUAUCGUAUCUAUGCUUUUCUUUCCAUCUAAAGUGCUUUCCCCAAAGAGUUUCUUUUCAAAAUUGUUUCUUUCCGAUUUUAGGGUUUCUGAAAGGAUUGUUUUGGAAAAAAUCUUUUUGAUUUUUAUUCUUCUUUGCUUUAUGUGUGUUUGUCCAUACUAUGCACGUGUGAUUUCUUUGUUCAUUCAUGUAUUUUCUUCUACCUUAUCUUUUCUACUUUACAUGUUACUCCUGUUAAUCUUUGCUAUGUUUUCUUUACUCUUUUACUAUAUGUGUUUACCAUUAAGCUAUUUGAUUUUUGUUUACUGGAAUUUCUUCAUGUUUUUACAUGCUUCAUCUAUUUUUGUUCAAGUUUGUUGUCUCCUUCUACUGAACUUGUCCAGGUUUGGAGUUUUCUCAAAUAUGUUCUUCGUGAUUUUUCUUCCUUUGUCGUUCAAACAUUCUAUCAUAUCUGUUCUGUUAAGACUCUGAAACGAAUGGCUUGCUUUCUCACCUCCAGUUCUAAUUCAAUUUUGAAACCCUAGGAUUUGGGGGUUUCCUUUGACGAUUUUGAUUUUGUGUUCGAGUUAGGGUUCCACUUUGGAACCUUGGACUCUCAGACUCACUAUGGGUCUGCAAAUUGAACCUGUACCUUUUGCUUAUGAUUCUGAACUUUUCUUUGAUUAGACUCUCUUCUAAAUAACUUGACAAUCCCUCCUUAGUUCACAUUUGUGUGCUUUAUGUAUAAGGACUUUGCUUUUAAAAGAUUUUGCCAACUACUAACUGAUUCUGAAUUUCUUUAAUUGUGUUUACUUGAUUGUUACUGAUUUUCCCUAAUUGAACCUUUAUUUACCCCUUUCCUGACUUGAUUCAUUCGAGUAAAAGUCUGAAACUUUGAUUUUACUAGUUGAUUCCCCUUCCUUUUUUACAAACCGUUUAUUAUACUGCUAUGUACUAUUGGUUUGUUGCCUUAACUAGCUUCUAUGUAAGUCUUUAUUAUACUGCUAGGAAAAUAUUUUUCAAAUCCCUUUCCUUAAUUGUAUUUUACUCAAUGGAAAUAAAAUCCCUUAACUGAAGGGAAAUUCUAUGUGAUUGAUUGAAAACUAUUUUCUUACCUUUCUUACUAGCUUCUCUGCACUAUGAGCCUUGCUUUAGGACCUUGAGUUCCCUCUGAACUUGGACAUUUGAGGGCUGACCCUUCCUCACUGCACUAUAAUCUGAUCCUACAAAUGUAUUUAGGUGUACGCACUGCCUGGGGUUCAUGAAGCCCCUCGAAACUUUGACACACCCAAAAGAUGAGAAAGGCUUUGGAAAUCUGAUCUUUGGAAGUUGGUUUAUCUCAUAUUGUUAGACCUUCAGUGUGAAUUAGGUUGUUUGGUUGUAGCUUGAAUUUCUGAUGUAAUUUUUUAUCUUUCUUGAUUCAUUUGGGUUUUAAUAAUUUGUAAUAACUAUGGGGUUCUAGUGAAAAAGGGAGGGUCAUUUAAGUAUGCAUAUGGGUAGACAUCAUGCUCUUAGGGAUUACUAUUGACAAAUUUUGCAUUCAUGCAGAACAUAUAGAACUCUUGCCUAUAAGUUUCUGUAUAUAGAAAUCAUGUAUAAGUUAUUGCGCUUAUGCAUUUAGAAAUACUGCCUAUAAGUUAUGCAUUACACGUAGAAAUCAUGUCUAUAAGAUUGUUUCAUUAUUAGAAACCAUGCCUAUAAGUUUCUGCAUAUAGAAAAUCACGCAUAUAGUUUUGUUUCUGCACCUCUGCAUAUGCGUCUGUCAUUAGGCAAAUAAUCAUAGGCUUAACAAUAAUCAACCUCAUUCUAGAUACCAUGCCUAUAGGACUCCUACACAUACGUAGUCGUCUUAAAACCAAUAAUGCUUAGAAAUCAUGCCUAUAGGAUGUAAUCAGUUGAUCAACUUCGUCUAUUUCACCUAUGAGUUUAAAAUCAGUAGCAAGAUCAAUUAAAAUCUGCAGAGCUUUGUUUAUAAAACCAGUAACCUUUAUUUAAAAUUAGUAUGCCUUCUGCAUUGUUAGAUAUCAUGCUUGCAGGCCUCAUCUAGGCAAAUCAGUAGGUAAUUAAUCAACUACGUCAGUCCCUGAUAAACUACAACCAGACAAGGCCUAAUUCGAACUUCUCAUAUGAGAAAUAUGUGAUAAAAUAGCAUGUCCUAACGGUUUAAAUUUAAUUCAAACCUAAUCAGUACCUAUAAGUCAUGCUAAAUAAUUUUUGCUUUGAAUGAAGAGGCAUAUUUGAGCCUUUAACUGUUAUGUGUUCACCCAUUUUAACUGUUAUGUGUUAUUGUCGCACUAGAUUUUUGUCCUUUUAAAACUUUGAUUAGCCAAUAUCCCUUCCCUUUAGGAUUAGUAGUCCCAACUACCUCGGGGACUGAUAGGAUUGGGGCGGGUAGUAGCAUGCAAUAAGUAACAAGACCAUUCCGCGAUUUAGUACCUUAACGGAGUGGGAAAGAGUAGAUAUGGAUAUGAUGAUCACACGAUAACAGCACGGGUAUGAAUGGUUACUGAUUGUUGCAUAAGGUGAUCCAUGUUAUUCAUAAACCUAGGACCCCCUCUCUCGUUAUGUGUUUUCUUCUUUUUUCAGAUUUUCUUAAACUGUUAGUUUUCAGUUCUUUUAAACCCCAUCUUUUACUUUAAUCAUUUAAAAUCUCUUUCAGUUAUUUAAUUUUCAGUACUGUUUCUUUUGCAAACUUCCGCCCCAUUUCAUUCCUUUGUUUGAUUAUUUGUACCAAUUAUUUGGACCCCAUUUUUCUGCACUUGUGUAUUCUUUAAAUAAUUAUGAAAUUGCAUAUUCCCCAAUUCAGCAUUUUUAUAUAACUUUUACACUUCCCUUUGUUUGCAGUCACGCGAAAGGUAUCUUGUAUGUUUAUUUGUUGUAUACAUUUAAAGUCAUAUUUGUAGCAUGGCUGGGAACCACACUAGUGGACCUUGGGUAGUGCCUAACACCUUCCCCUCGAGAUAAUUUCUAGCCCUUACCCAAACUCAGGUUCUUCAACUCAAACCCUCCUUAGUGUCCUAAUGCACAUUAAUCAUUAGGUAACGACUCUUCUAAAUCUCAAACUCAAUUCCCAAAAGGAAAAGAGUUGUCCUCCCAAAUAUCAGAAACUCGAUUUCGCCUUAGAAAAAAGGGGGCAUCAAUAGGUAAUUGUUGGACAACACCACUCCCAAAGUAUAUGAGGGAUCAAUAAUUAAGGGUCUAAAGGCGGGAUUAGGAACAAAGAAGCUAUGGCUGCAAUAUAAAGUAAGCUGUAAUAAACAAAGCCAGCUAGCGUAUCUCGAGAGAGUGCAUAUAUUAAAUUAUCGUGAUUACUCGGGAGAGAUUUACGGUAUAAGAGUGCUCAUGAUUUAAAGAGAUGAUUAGGCAAUUCUAUGUGAAACAUAACCAGAAGGCAUUCCAUCAAUAAGGAAAAUCAUAACCUUAGAACCUUCUCUUAAUUGUUUACAACUUAAUCAUAGUUAGUUCUCAGUUGCUUAUUUAUAUUCAUUUUUGGUUAGUAAAAACAUCAUCAAUUAUUUAUUCACAUAGUUUGGGAAGUUGAUUCCAUGGAAUUUAGUAAGUCUAACUAGAGUAAUUGAUCAGUUAAUUCCUUGUGGGUUCGACUAAGGGCUUGUUGAUAUCCAAUUUUUCCCUAAGUAUUUUUUAUACUCAAAAUAUUCUCAAAAUAGCAUGUAAAUGCAUAUAUAAGCAUACCCAAGAGUUUUGAUUAUUUUUUUAUUUAUUUUUAAAGAUUUUAAAAUCAAUUUAUCGUCUAAUUUAAUACUACAAAAUUCAAUAAUUAUUCCCAAACUAGCAUGUUUUAGUGAGUAAUUUAUUUUCACUCUCAUAUUUACACCAAGAUAUAAUUAAGGUAAUUUUUAAAUAUAUUUAUAUAUUUAUUUGGUAUUUUUAAAGCUAAAUUGCAUAUAAUUGCAAUUAUAGCCUAUUUUAUUUUAUUAAAUAUUUCAAAAGAUUUUAAAAAAAAUUAAAGGUACAGGGUUGAUUAAUAAUGUAUAAAUAUUAAUCUAAAAACAUUACAAUUAACAAUACUUUAUAAUCAUACAAUCACUUGUAAUGUUUUUAGAUUAAUAUUUAUACAUUAUUAAUCAACCCUGUACCUUUAAUUUUUUUUAAAAUCUUUUGAAAUAUUUAAUAAAAUUAUAAAAGAGGAAAAUUUGGCUAUUUAACAAACAACCCCUUAUCAUUUUAAUUUUAGCCAAUUUGGCCACACCCUAUCAGAUUUUUAUUUCCCUAGAACAAUCCCUAAUAUAACCCGGCCUAAUACCCAAACCAACCCAACCCAAUCCCUAAUUGAUCUGUGUUGAUCAAAUAAGAUCAAUGGCCCAGAUUACUAUUACCAUAAUUAAACCCUCAAUGAUCCCCCCCCCCUAACCCCCCAUUUCUUUGAGAUUCUCUCUCUCUCUCUCUGUCGUCUCUCCCUCUCACUUCUCUCUAGAACCUUCUAGUUCCCUCUUCUCCGAUGACCUCCGUCGUCUCCGACCACAAUCCCAACGGAAUCUAUGGCUUCUCUGGCCAUAAAUGACAUAUGCUCACUUCCUAUUACUCCUGUGUGUCAGAUGCUUAAAGGAUUCGAGACCAGACCUUCGUCGGCUUGAGGUUUCCGGCCAUCUCCGGCUUCGCUCCGGCAUAUCUUAGCCUCAUGGUCCUGAUUCUGACCUUAUCCCACCUAGAUCGGACCUUUUCCAAAGCAUUUCUCGCUCUAGGAUUCCUCUGAAACCUUAGCUAUUUGAGGUUUUUCUUCGAUUCUUUUUAGAUAUGUUGUGUAUCUAUGCUAUGUGUGAGUUUUCAAAUGGUUUCCCUAAAGAUUUCUUUGAAAAUUAUUUUUUUUAAUACCUUUCUUGGGCGAUUUAGGGUUUUCUGGAAAUGUUUAGGAGUUCUCUUCUUUGUGUUGUCCUCUGCUAUGUUCUCGUAUCAUCUUUGUAAGUUUCUUUUACUGUGUUUUUUUCAUAUGGUCAUGUAGAUUUUUUUCUACUGUAUUUUAUCAUGUUCUUACAUGUUUAUCAUACUGUGUUGUUCCUAUAUGCUUUCUUGCUAUUCAUUUCCCGGCGAUUCUUAUGUUUUCUACUAUAUUUUCUGGCUAUGUUCUUAUGGUCUUUUAUCUGUCUUCUAUUGAGCUUUGUUUAGGAUUCUGCUAUGUGUAUUCCUCCUAUUAAUCUUUGCUACGUUCUCCUAUACCUUUCUCGGUGAUUCUUAUAUUUUCUACUGUAUUUUUCUGGCUAAGUUCUUAUGGUCUUUUAUCUGCCUUCUAUUGAGCUUUGUUUAGGAUACAGCUAUGCGUGUUACUCCUGUUAAUCUUUGCUAUUUUCUCUCUACUCUUUUACUAUGUGUUUACCAUUUUUUAUUUAUUGGACUCUGUUCAUGUUCCUACAUGUUCCAUCUUUGUUCAUGUUCUUACAUAUUCCAUCUGCUUGUGUUCACGUUCGCAUUAUCUCCCUUUUCUGAACUUGUUCAAGCUCCAACUUUUGCUUAAAACGUGUUUCUUGUGUUUCGAUCAGUUUCUACAUUCUAUUUUCCUAGAACCUACUACUGUGCCUGUAUGUUUUCUCAUGAGACUCUGAAACAGGUAUCUAAGCCUAUUUAGUUAUUUGUCUUCUCUUCUCUGUAUUUGACUCAAGUAAAAAGAACCCCAAGAAUGGAGGUUUUUGGCAAGUUUGAUUGUAUGAUUGGACUAGGGCUUUACUCCGAAUCCUUGACUCUCUCAGACUCAUUCCGAGUCUAUGAACUAAAUUUGAACCCUUUUUUCUUAUGAUUUUGAAACUUUCUUGCUAGUCUUUUCUAAUUAGCACAACAACUCUUUCUUGUUUGACAUGUCUAUGUGCUUUACAUAUAAGAACUUUCUUUCAAAAACUUUUGCCAACUUCUAAUUGAUUCCGAAUUCCUUUAAUGUUGUUUACUUGACUGUUACUGAUUUUUCUCUAAUUGAACUUUCCUUUACCACUUUUCUGACCUAGUUCAUUCGAACAAUGCUUUCAACUUUAAGUUUUACUGGCUGUUUGAUUGAUUUCCUUUCCUUAUUUUUUCACAAACCAAGUACAACUGGACUUUUGCCUUAAAUAUAUUUUAUGUAUUUACUCUUCAUUGUACUGCUUGGAAAAAUGUUCUGAUCAACUCUUUCCUAAUUGUCUUUACCCGUUUGAUUUCAAUGUUAUUUUCUUACCUUUUCUUACUUGCUUGCUGCACUAUAAAAGGGCACGACCCUUAUAUACUUUCACAAGAUCACUUACUGAACAUUUCGAAUUGCAUACUCUUACACAUGCUCUUCUUUGCUCUUUUCUGACAUCUUUUAUAUUGCUUAAAAAUUUGGCUUUCAAGAUUUCUGCUUUCAUUCAUCUACGUCCUUGAAACAGGUAUGUCCCAAUUUUGAUUCCCAGUAUCACUCCAAUGUGUUUAUUUACAAGUCUUUAUAUCUAUGUCUGUACCUACAGAAUUUGACAUGUUCAUAUGUUGUGUUUACUUUACUUUCAUGUAAAUGCUUGAUCCUUACCCCCGACCCUCUAUAUGUUUAUAAAUGGGGAAUUAGGGCAUGGCAAUUUGAUUUGUUGUCCAUGAACUAAACUUUGACCCCAAGUAAAAGGUGUGUUAGCAUGCUUCAUUGCUGAUCAUGCCCUUUGCCCAUCUUCCUUUGUCUUCUGUUUCUGUUAUGAAUCUCAUAUCAUAUUCCCCUAUAUGUGCUAAGUAAAGGUAUAUCCUGGCAGCAUACAAAUUGGUAUCCAUUGUUGAACCUGACAUUCAACAGGUCUUAACUCUUCAAUUUAGACUGACAAGCUGGUCAAGGGUGUGCCAGCACCUCAAAAUUGCUGGGCAUGACCACCAGCUUGCCUUUUCCACUUCUACUACACUUGCACUUACUCUUAGACCCUAAGUUCAGCCCCCCUCUUAUGAGCCCUGUCUUGGGAACCUUGAGUUUCCCUCUGAACUUGGACAUUUGAGUGCUGACCUUUUCACACUGCAGUAUAAUCCAAUUCUGCAAUAUAUUUGGGUGUAAACACUUCCCGGAAUCCAUAUGAGAUUCUUAGGGAACUCUGAUACAUCCCAAAUAAGAGAAAGGCAUUAGCAAUCUAAUCUUGGGAGUUGGUUUACUUCAUGCUUCCGACAUAAGUCUGAGCUAGGCUAGCCUUGGCUGGGAUCAUUUAGCUUUCUAAUGUAUUUACUUUUCUUUAUUCAUUCGGGUCUGUAAUAAUCUAUAAUAAUUGCGGGGUUGUAGUAAAAAAGGGAGGUUCAUUCAUGUAUGUAUAUGGGUAGACAUCCUGCUUUAGGUAUUUACUUUACAAUCACAGCCUGCUCUUUUGCUUACACAUUGCAUGUAGAAAUCCUGCCUAUAAGUUGUUUCCCUUUUGCAUUAGAAACUAUGUCUUUAAAUAUCUACAUUUCACCAUAUAGAUACCACAUUAAUAGGAAUUGCUAUUUUUGAGUUUCUGCAUUUCACCACAUAUAUACCAUGUUCGUAGGAAUCACUACUCCUGAAAUUCUGCAUUUCAUAUAGAUACCAUGUCUAUAGUGAAUUACUAUUUUUGAAAUACUGCAUCUAAUAUAGAUACCAUGGCUAUAGGUUUUCAACACUUCAUAUAGAUAUCAUUCCUAUAAGUCAUCCCUGAAAUUCUGCAUAUAGAUGAUAAGCCUAUAGGACUUUCGCAUUUUUGCAUAUGCAUCUGUCACUAGGCAAGCCUGUUAUAGGAUUCGAAUAACCAAUUGCAUAUACAUGACCUGCCUAUAGGACUUCUGUAUGUUAAUGGCACUUAAAAAUCAGUAACGCCUAGAAAGCAUGCCUAUAGGAGCUAUCAGCCAAAUCAAAAUCGGCGAGUCUAAAAUCAGUAGCAAUAACGUCCCUCCAAUCGGAAGCUCUUUUCUACAACUAGUUUAAUUCUUUCUGAAUGGAUAGACAUCAUGUCUAUAGGUUCCGUUUAACACCUAGUUAAGCUUUUGGGUAAAAAUUAUGACUACAUAAGUCUACUAAUCCCUGCCAGCAGGCAGGUCUGAUUCCGGUUUCUUAUCUGAAACAUGUAACAAGCCAGUUUGCCUCCUUAAUGUUUAAGUUUUAAUUAAGACCAUAACCAGUAUGUGUAAGACGUGCUAGACUAUGUGCUUUCCUUUGAUUCGAGAAGGUUUAUUUGAGCCGUAUCGGCUUAAUUACUUUCCCUGUACUUGAUGUAUAUGUUUUGUUUGUCGCCUUAGAAUUUUGUCCUCUAAAAACUCUCAAAAGCCUUCACUCUCUCCCUCCUAGGAUUAGUAAUCCCACAUGCCUACGUGAUUGAUAGGAUUGGGAUGGGUAAGAGCAUGCGAUAGGUAACAACACCAUUUCUUAUUUAAUACCUUAACAGGGUGGGAGGGUUAGAUGCGGAGAUGAUGACCGAUGUACUAAUAUCUCAUGUAGCCCCUCUUCCGGUGAAUGAUUACUGGAUAUUGCAUCUAUGUGAUCAAAAUUAGUCAUAAGCCUAGGACUCCCCUCCCUUUUGCUUGCCUUUUUAUCCACUUUCUUUAAGGUCUUAAAUCUAUUCAUGAAUUUUGUACCUUCUCUACUUUCCCUUAAAAGUUUCAACUUAUCUGUAAUGUUACAUGCAAGUCCCUCUAUUUGAGCCCUUAAUUGCUUAUUUGAUUAUGUGAAGUCACAAUUAUAAUAUGGCCGGGAACCAGACUAGUGGAUCUUGUGGGGUUCCUAACACCUUCCCCUCGAGAUAAUUUCUAGCCCUUACCCAAAAUCCGGUUCUUCAAUCUCAAACCCUUUAUACAUAACAUAUCAACUCAUAUAAUAAGUGGUUGCGCUCUUCGGAUAUUAUCACCCCUAAAUUUGGUAAAGGCGUAUUUGCGGUAAAACUAGUCGAUCAGCGGUGCAGUCGACUGUUCCGCGCCUUUCCCCCUUGAGUUGUCUGCUCAAGGGUACCAGUCUAAUACCCCAUAGAAACCUUAUUCUAUUUAAUUAUGCAUGCAUCAUUGUCAAACCUAGCCGAGUCAGUUAUGCUGUCCAUAUAAUGACUCUUUAAGAUAGCCAUGUCCAAAGUUCACCGGGUUUCCUUGGAACCCAAAACGGACAAUACCACAUUCUGUGCAUUUAUUUGGAGAAGUACAUUUGUCCACAUAAUGACUUUUGAAGAUAGCCAUGUCCAAAGUCCAUCGGGUUUCCUUGGAACCCAAAGCGGACAUUACCAUGUUCUGUGUAUUUAUUUGGAGAACUAAAUGUCGUUAUGAUAAUUAUUGGUUGUCGAGUCCGGCAAGAUGGGGGUCUAACACUUUGUUUUGCAGAAAAUGAGGCACGAGGCCCCCAGAUUUGACAUGGUAACCAACAUUCACCCAAGGUUGCUAAGCUGGUGGGAAGACCUUCACUCCAGCGAUCAGAUUCUCGUCUGCAAAUAUCUGGGAAUUUACCUUCUUUUUUGGAAGUCUAGCCCGACAAAAAAAUCAUAGAGGCUGCAACGUUAUUUUGGGACAGCUAUAGAUCAGUGUUUCGCUAUAGGGACCUAGAAAUGACCCAUUUUCUUGAAGAGAUAGGAGGGUUAGCUGGUAUCCCUUGGGAAACUCUGGGUUUGCUCAUGCCAGAAAAUCGCAAGGGUGGGGAUUUCCUCUAGAUGAUGGGACUGAAGAAAACCCCAAGCUUGGUUUGUUUCAAGGACUCUUACAUCCCUUUCGAUUAUCUGUACGAGAGGUACAGCCAUAACAAGUCCUACCACACCUACCCAGACGAAUUUGUCCUUACCUCAUUGGGAUAUAUUCACAAGAGAGUCUUCGUCUUCAUAUUCUGCUUCUUGGGGAUGAUAGUAUUCCCCAUAAAGAAGUCUAGGAUCCAUACCAGACUGGCCAUGGUCACUAAGACUUUAAUGGAAGGAAUUGAGAGAAGCCUUUUAGCAUAGUACCUACGAUCGUUGUAGAGAUAUACCAAGCCCUGGAUAAUUGUCAACAAGGGGCCAAGAACUUUGAGGAUUGUAACUUAUUACUCCAACUCUAGCUCACAGAACACCUUAAAAAGGGUGAAUAUCGGCAAGAGAUUCUAUGUAGAGACUGGGAUGAUCACAUAGCCUUCCAUCAGCAAAGACGAAUGAAUUAUAUGCCUAAUAUGAUUGCUCAACCUGAAGAUCUUACGAGGUGGGUAGAGUUGUUUGAGAAUCUGAAAGAGUUCAUCGUCUGUUCACGGGAUGCACCAUUUCUUAUACUUAUUGGUCUGAGAGGAACUUAUCCCUAUGUCCCUCUCAGAGUCAUGAGACAGGCAGGAAGAAAGCAGGUUAUACCAAGGGUCGACAAAAUGAGUCACUUCAGGGCCGAUUUCCAAGAUGACGAUAGCAAUACAAGAGUCAAGCUCAACAAAUGUCGCACUGUAAAAUCAUCUUGCAAAAGGAUUCUAUAGAACCAGACAAGUACCAUGACGGCUAUACUCCAUACUACCCAAGUUGGUUAGAAGAAGACCAUGGCGAGUUAGGACAACCCGGGUUUGUUUGAGGCCACAGAGUCAUCGACGAAAGAGUUGAAAUGCAGGCUAAGUACAAUCAAUUGCGCACGGGGAUUCGAGAAUGUGAAAGCAAGCACUAGGGAAUUCAAGAGGCCCAUAAAAACCGAUUGAAGAACGGAAAGGUAUGGUUGUCAGGGCCAACAAGCGACUAAAAGGAAUUUGGAGCGAGGUUUGGUAGAAUUAUAAAGGAAUUUCAUCCAAAAGGUCGAAAAAUCUACCAGAAUGCUGAGGGAAAUUAAGGAGGACGCUUGGCAAGAACCUACUUUAUGCUGGGACUACAUGAGCAAGUGAAGCUGUUCGAUGAAUCUAAAGAUGCAGAAUCUGGGGAAGGUCCAUAUGGGACCAAAUAGUUAGGAGUCGUUUCUUUUAUUUCGUAAUAAGGCAAAUGGCCAUUAGUGGCAUUUUUAUUUUCUACAAAUUUUAGAGUCGUUUUGGGGAUUCGUCUUAUUUUUAUCAAUAAAAUGAGGCAUUUAGCAUUAUAAGUUCUCAAAAUCAACUUGUCGCUACGCAUACCUCGGGCACAAUGAGGCACCCAAAUUAGGACAUGAUUUAUAUUCUUUCACUAUGUGUUUAAAUACUGCAACAAUUUCUCCUCACAACCUUACUAACUUGUUACCUUUUGCUUUUACUUUUUUGUUUUAUUACCCUUCCCCGAAGGUUAGUCCGUUGCACUCUGGCAUCAUCAUACUCUACAAAUCGAAGGGCCAUCCACCUCCUCCUCCUCCAAGUAAAAUCAGAAACGGGAACAAAGGAAAAAUGGAAGACUUGGGUAACAUCAGGAAAGAGAAUUCAGUUGAAAGGGUAGAGACCUCCCAGGGUAUGCACGUCUCCAAGGAGAGUGCCUCCCAGCUUAAACAAAAGUUGUUGAAAUCUUAGGAGGAACUAGACCAAGUUCGGAAUUUGGCAUGCUUGUCGUUUUCCCUCACCACCUCGGGUGUCAACUUUUCCAACCCUUAGAACCCUUUACAUCCAAAAAUAUCCCAAAACCACAAAAUCAAUCCGCUCCCUAUCACCACUGCAACACAUGCCACACUUCAAAUAACACCCUGUUACUUGUCCCUGAACCACUAACAUCCACAAAUGACCAUUCCUACCAUCACAACAACCCCAUUUAUGUGGAAACCAUGCCACAUCCCAUUCAACCCAUUUCAAACACACCUGAGUCUGAUGAGAAAGACUCUCUCAUCAAGAACCUGGCCGCAGAACUUAUGAAACUUACCAGUCGAGUCUAGGGUGUCAAAGGAAACAAAGGUAUCGAGGGGCUGAAUAUGAGGACCUUUGCAUCUAGACAUUAAGAGCCUGGCCGCAGAACUCAAGAAACUUACCAGCCGAGUCCAGGAUGUCGAAGGGAACAAAGGUAUCGAGGGGUUGAAUUAUAAGGACCUUUGCAUCCAACCAGCUGUUGAACUCUCGGAGGGGUACAAACCUCCUAAGUUCAAAAUGUUUGAUGGAACAGGAUCUCCCAGAGUCCAUUUGCGGACAUAUUGCGAUAAGUUAGUCUGAGCCGGGAGAGAUGAAAAGAUCUGCAUGAAGCUCUUUAUCAGAAUCCUAAAAAGGGACGCUCUAUCUUGGUACAUUAGCCAAGACUCCAAGAAGUGGACAAAUUGGAUUGAUAUGGCGUCUGAUUUCAUGGACAGGUUCAGAUUCAAUAUCGACAAUGCACCAGAUGUAUUCAACAUCCAGAAUUUGAAGAAGAAACCUACAGAAACUUUUCGUGAGUAUGCUACUCGUUGGAGGUUAGAGGCUACAAAAGUCAGGCCAGCCAUAAAAGAAGAACAGAUGAACAGGUUUUUUGUUUGGGCUCAAGACCCCUAGUAUUAUGAGAGGCUGAUGUUGAUCGAGGGCCAGAAAUUUUCUGACAUCAUCAAGUUACGGGAGAGAAUCGAAGAACGUAUUAAAAGUGGUAUGGUCACUAACUUUGAAGCAUUGCAAGUCAUCAACAAGGCUCUACAGUCUGGCGGCACGUCAAAGAAAAGGGAUGUGAGUGCCAUAAUGGUUGCACAGAGGAAAAAAUCUCCAGUCAGAUACCAAACCUACCCAUUACGUCCACUUACGCAUCAACCUAUCCCAAGUUACCAAGCACAUUCUUUCAAGCCCUACCACCUACUUACCAAUUAUCUCCACCUCCCACAUAUCAGCCCACUUCCCCCAUACACUCCUAACAAGCACACGUCUACCAAGCCUACAAUACUCAACAAGCUCUCUAUCAAUCACCUUGCCAAAAUUUCCCUAGGCCCGACCAAACUUCGCCGAAGACCUCCCAAACAGUACACUUCCAUUGAAGAACAAAUCGACCAAUUGUAUGAAAGGCCUAAAGACGUUGGCUACAUCACCCCUAUCCCUGCCAUAACCCUAGAAAAUCCUUCCUAUUGGGUCAACCCGAACAAAACCUCUGCAGACCAUUCCAGCAUGAAGGGUCAUAUGAUUGAGGAGUGGCGCUCCCUGAAGGACAAGAUUCAAGCUCUAAUUGACAAUAAGAUCAUCAUGGAAAAAAAUCCUGCUCCCAAUGUCUGCAACAACCCUCUGCUUGACCACAAGGGCAUGAGCAUUCACAUGAUAGAGAUAGAGGAUGAUUGAGACCCCGAAGGGUCGAUCGAGUUGAUUACUGAAGGUGACAAGCCAAAGAAACCGACAGUCACACUUAACCCGAUCAUUGUCCAGAUUCAGCCUUCUGAAGACACUGAAGUAAACAUGUUCAUACCACACUAUCUUGAAGCACCAUCUCCCGCAAAGGUGCUAGAACCAAUUGAGGUUGAGUUUGGAUCCCCAACGACACCUUUUGAAGUUGCUGUGUUACCUCCCAAAGCGAGGGUACCCAUUCCUGUAGCAAUGUCAGCCAUAACACUGUUCCAUACACAGGCCGUUCCCUGGAACUACACCACCGAGGUAAGAAGGAAGGGGAAAAUCGAAUCUGGAGAAGAAAUUGCAGCACAGGGUAUGACUUGAAAUGGUAGGGUUUAUACUCCGGAGUAUAUAGCUGAAUCAAGCACAUAAACCUCUGGAUGGCCUGUUGAAACAAGGCUCGAUAAUCUUUGGAGGAAGAUACGGGCGAAAGAGUACUCAGUCAUUGAUCAAUUGAAUAAAACACUGGCACAGAUCUUCAUCCUAGCUCUACUGCAGAACUCCGAUAUGCAUAAAAAUGCCUUGUUGAAAAUACUAAGUGAGGCAUAUGUACCCAGCAACAUAACUGGAGGAGAAAUGACAAACACGGUAGGUCAAGAAUUGGAGAGUCACAAAAUCAUUUUCCACGAAGAUGAACUACCACCUGAAGGGUAGAGCCAUAACAAGGCCCUGCACAUCACUAUGCAGUGCGAAGAUCAUUUCAUCACCAAGAUUUUGGUCGACGGAGGAUCCAACUUCAAUAUUUUCUUGUUGGAAACUCUCCAAAUAUUGAGUAAGAGCCUGUAUGAGAUCAAAGACAGGGCCAUCAAUGUCAAAGCUUUCGAUAGAUCCCAAAGGUCCACCAUCGGGGAAAUUAGUUUAUGUCUACAAAUAGGACCAACUUGAUUCGAUGUUGACUUUCAAGGGAUAGAUAUUCCGGCAUCCUAAAAUAUGUUGUUGGGAGGACCUGGAUCCAUAUUGUUGGGACUGUAACAUAAACCCUACACCAAGUGGUGAAAUUUAAGUGGAAUCACCAAGAGGUAAUUAUUCACGGCGACGGUAACAAUCCCAUAUACAGCCGCCAAACCGUUCCAACAAUCGUAGGAAGGAGAAAGGUAGGUGGGGAAACCUACCAUCAUAUUGAAACUAUACUGAAUUGGUGUGGAUACGAACCUGGCAAGGGACUAGGCAAGAAUCUCCAAGGGAUCGCCAAGCCGAUCAAGCUAAAGAAACAUGGUGCCACUUUCGGCUUAGGAUAUGAGUACACCUGGAAGGAAUUCAAAGAAUGGUCGCCACCCUAACGCAAUCCUUACUAUCCAUUGGAGCAUCUGAUACCUCGCCUAGGGCAGACUUUUCAGCCAACCGAAGUCAUUUAUGGGUCAGAAGAACAUAAAGCAUUAGCAUCAAUGAGAAACUUGUUCCUGGAGGAUGAUAACAUGGAUUGUUGUGUAGUUUUCAAGGAGGAAUGAGAGGAAGGCCCUUCCAUAAGAGCCGUGAGCCGAGGAGCACGCCUGAGCAAUUGGUCUGUCAGAACCACCAGGGCUCGGAGGGCUUCGGGGUAGCAAAGCUAAACAAAGCACCAUACAUCACCUUUUACUAUUUUCUAGUUGGUUUUCUUUCCGGAUUUUGAUUCUGAAAUAAUAUCUCCAAUGUUCAAAACACUUAUGAAAAUUAUCAAAGCAUUUCUGCUCCUUAUAAAACUAGCUCUCAUUACCUUUUUGCUGUUUAUUUUAUUUACACAGCAUUACUAUUACUUGUCUUGAUGAACCGACGAUUGUGACUUCCAACGAGGCAACGCGACAAAUGGAUAUAGACUCAGAAGAGGAUGAUAUACCAUAAGAGGUUGUUGAAGAAUCUGAGAACUUUGAGAAUAGGCUUCAGUCUAACUUAGACGAAACUGAGGUUGUCAACUUGGGUGACACAAAGAAUGUCAAGGAAACACGCAUCAGUGUUCAUUUGUUACCAUCGAAAAAGGAGUACACAGAGUUUCUAAAGGAAUAUGAAGACAUACUUACCUGGUCAUAUAAUGAUAUGACUUGUCUCAGCACAUCUAUUGUAGCGCACAAAUUGCCAACAGAUCCAGCAUGUCCGCCAGUAAAAUAGAAGCUCGGGAAGAUCAAACCUGACAUGAGUUUGAAAAUCAAAUUAGAGGUUACCAAGAAAGUCAAAGCCAAGGUUCUCAGGGUAAUAGAAUUUCCAACAUGGCAGGCCAACAUUGUGCUAGUGGCAAAGAAGGAAGGAAAAGUUAGGGUCUGGGCCGACUACCGGGAUCUCAACCGGGCCAGUCCGAAAGAUGACUUUCCCCUACCAAACGUACACAUUCUAAUUGACAACUAUGCCAAGCAUGAAUUGCAGUCAUUCGUCGAUUGUUUUGCUGGGUAUCAUUAGAUAUGGAUGGAUGAGGAAGACGCUGAGAAAAUGGAUUUUAUUACGCCAUGGGGAAUGUAUUAUUACAAAAUGAUGCUGUUUGGGUUGAAAAAUGAUGGGGCCACCUACAUGAGGGCCAUGACUACUAUUUUCCACGACAAGAUAUAUAAAGAAAUCGAGGUAUAUAUAGAUGAUGUCAUCUUUAAAUCCGAAAAAGCCACUGACCACAUGGAAGAUUUGAGGAAGUUUUUCAACAGACUAAGAAGGUACAAUCUAAAGCUGAAUCCUGCCAAGUGUGCAUUCGGGGUUCCCGCCGUAAAACUACUGGGGUUCAUUGUGAGUCGUCGAGGAAUAGAGCUAGAUCCAUCAAUAGUUAAGGCCAUUCAAGAAUUGCCACCGCUAAAGAACAAGAAGGACGUGAUGAGCUUCCUGGAAGACUCAACUACAUCAGCCGUUUUAUAGCUCAGUCCACUGUCAUUUACGAACCUAUCUUUAAGAUGUUGAAGAAGGAUACCUCUAACAAAUGGACCGAUGAUUGUCAGAAAUCUUUUGACAGAAUCAAGGAAUACCUGUCAAUGCCGCCAUUUUGGUUCCGCCCAAACUAGGUAGACCCGGAUUGCUCUACCUAGCGGUAUUGGAUAGAGCAUUCGGUUGUGUUUUGGGACAACAUGACGAAAUGGGGAGAAAGGAGCAAGCCAUCUAUUACCUCAGCAAGCCAUCUAUUACCUCAGCAAGAAAGGCCCGAUACUCUCUAUUAGAACGCACAUGUUGUGCUCUGAGUUGGGUAGCUCAAAAGUUGAGGCAUUAUUUUGUGCUCAUACCACCCACCUCAUAUCAAGAACGGAUCCGCUAAAUUAUAUUUUUCAGAAGCCCAUGCCCAACGGCAAGCUAGCCAAGUGGAAAAUCUUGCUAAGUGAGUUCGACAUUGUUUACGUAUCUCAGAAGGAAAUCAAAGGACAGGCCUUGGCAGAUCACCUCCCGAGAAUCCUGUAAACAAAGAAUACGAGCCUUUGAAAACAUAUUUUCCUGAUGAAGAGGUAUCUUUCAUAGGAAAGGAUAUUGCAGAAUCCUAUGAUGGUUGGAGGAUGUUCUUCGACGGAGCAGCAAACUUCAAAGGAGUCCGUAUAGGAGCAGUCCUGGUGUCAGAAACUAGUUAGCAUUAUCCGAUGUCCGCAAAGCUCAGGUUCCCAUGCACCAACAACAUGUCCGAAUAUGAAGCCUGCAUCUUAGGGCUUAAGUUGGCCAUUGACAUGAACAUUCAAGAGUUACUAGUAAUUGGGGAUUCAGACUUGCUCAUACGGCAGGUUCGAGAAGAAUGGGCGACCAAGAAUUCCAAGAUACUCCCGUACCUGCAUCAUGUACAGGAGUUGAGGAAGAGGUUUACAAGGACAUAAUUCCAGCAUGUACCCAGAGUCCUGAAUGAGUUUGCCGACGCGUUGGCCACCUUGUCAUCUAUGAUUCAGUGUCAAGAUAAGAACUUUAUUGAUCCCAUCCCCAUGAAAAUUCGACCUUGUGGGCAUUCUACCCUCAUACCCCAUUUCACACAUGUUACAACCUCAAGUCACCACAAUAUCCACCAAAAUUACAAACCACGUGAAGCAACACGUCACCAAUCCAACCACACACAAACACUACAACUUAUGCUACAAGUUUUGAUUAAACAAUGGCACGAACAACAACUACGCAGAUACAAAAAUAAAAAAUAAAAAAUAAAAAACUAAAAUCAGAAAAAAAUAGAAAAAAUGAAAAAAUAAUGGUAGCUAGGAGUCAUACCUAUAGUGGGAGAUUAUUAGGAGAAGCAAGGAUGAGGAGAGGGGAGUGUGCUUGAGAGUUAGGGAAGGUUGAACAAGAUGAGUUUUUGAAGAAGAAGGGGUUGGGGCUGGGGAAUUUUCGUUCAAUGUGGUGGAAUGGGUGGGAUUUGGGAUUAAAGAGAGUAAGGGGGGUUAUCAUAAAGGGAGGUAGAUAAGGCUAUGAAAAAAAUUAAAAUGAAAAAAAUAAAAUAAAAAACCAACACAAAAUGCACAAAUAUGGGCGAGACUAGUGCAGUCAUAGCGUUGUCCUAGCACGGUACAAGCGCGGCCGCGCUAGCCCAGGCAGAAUACUUGCACAUAUGCGCGGCCAAUAGCGCGGCCUCUAGUGCGAGCGCGCUAGUAGGCGGUCACUAGCGCGUUUACUAGCAUGGACGUGCUAAUAUUUUUUAUCCAAGUAGAAUACUUUCCCAUAUGCGUGGCCCAUAGCGCGACCUGUAGCACAGGCACACUCCUGGGCACGAUGUUUUUCAUAUUUUUCACUUGUUCUUACCACUUUCGAUGAACUUAUCACCCAUCCAUUGUCACCUGCAUUAGUUAGUACUUCUCAAAACUCAAAAAAAAAAAUAACUACUACUAUCGUUGGGUUGCCUCCUAACCAGCGCCUUAGUUAAUGUCGUAGCACGACUAUUACAAUUAUUCAAUGGGUUACCUCCCAUGCAGCACCUAAUUUAAAAUCGUGGCAUGAUGCAGACAAGUGCAUUUAAGGCUCUCUCGACCUAUGAGGUUCUGUUAGGUGGGUAUCUGACACCCCCUUUGGUUCUUUCAUGCCUAUAUAUAGCUUUAAUCUCAGCGCAUUGACUCUAAAUGUGUGAGAGUCUUUCUCUAAGACAACCUCUACAGCCCCUGAAGGGAAUACUUCAACCGCUCGAAAUAGACCAGACCAUCGUGACUAGCUCCCGGAAAUAGCCUUAAUCUUGAAUUAUAAAGUAGUACCAUGUCUACGGGGCUGAAAUAUAUGUUCUGGUCGUGCAAUCUUUUCAUUUUUUCUUUGUACAACAUUGUGCUCUCAAAAGCCAGGUAUCGGAACUCGUCAAGCUCAUGCAAUUCAGUGAUUCUCGUUGUGCUUGCAGCCUCAAUGUCAAGGUUCAACUGUUUUAGUGCCUACCAAGCUUUAUGUUUUAGUUCCACUGGCAAGUGACAGGCCUUCCCGAACACCAACUUAUAUGGUGACAUACCAAUUGGUAUUUUAAAAGCAAUUCUAUAAGCCAAAGUGCAUCAUCUAGCUUUUUUACCCAAUCAGUUCUUGUGUCAUUUAUUGUCUUGGUCCAUACACUCUAUCUCUCUAUUGGACUCUUCCAUCUAUCCAUUUUGUCUGCAGAAGAUACGGCUUACCACCUUGUGACGCACAUCAUACUUCGCGAUCAACUUCUCAAAGGCUCGAUUACAAAAAAGGGUACCUCCGUCACUGAUAAUCACUCUCGGGUCCCAAAAACGGGUAAAUAUGUUCUUUUUCUAAAAUCCCACCACCACUCUUGCAUCAUUAGUGGGCAACGCUAGUGUGUCUAUCUAUUUUGACAUACAAUCCACAGCAACAAGUAUGUACUUAUUGCUAAAGGAGCUGACGAAGGGUCCCAUGAAGUCAUUCUCCUAGACAUCAAACACUUCCACCUCUUGAAUCAGGUUCAUGGGAAUCUCAUGGCGACGGGAAAUGUUCCCAGUUCACUGACAUUCACUACAGCCAUUCACCCAUUGAUGUGCAUCUUUAAACACUGUUGGCCAAAAUAAACUGGCCUCUAGCACUUUUGCAACUGUCCUGACUCCUUCAAAAUACCCUCUAUUCCUUGAUGCAUGACAUGCCUGCAAAACAAAAGAUUAUUCUAUCUCGGGGAGAUACCUCCGGAUCAUAUUGUCAACACAUAUUCAAAACAGGUAAGGUUCCUCCCAAUAAUACAUACAAUAGUCACGAUAAAACUUUUUCUUUUGUACAAAGGAAAGGUCAUAGGGAACUAUACCGCUGGCCAAGUAAUUUGCCAACUCUGCAUACCAUGGCACUUUCUCAAGACUAGUAGCAAGCAGUUGCUCAUCUAGAAAAGUUUCUAGAAUAUCCUCAACCUCAACUGAUUUUUUAGCUCCCUAAAGUCUGAAAGAUGGUCAACGAUUUGAUUUUCUGUGCCCUUACGGUCAUAAAUGUCGAGGUGGAAUUCUUGCAGUAGCAGCACCCAAUGAAUCACGCGCACUUAGACUCCUUUUUCUCAAUCAAGUACCUGAGAGUUGCAUGAUCAGUAUAUACAAUUACCUUAGAGCCAAUCAAGUAUGAUCUGAACUUAUCGAAAGCAAACACCACAGCUAACAUCUCAUUCUCAGUCACAGUGUAGUUUAGCUGGGCUCCACUCAGUAUUCUACUGGCAUAAUAGAUUGGAUGCAUCAGCUUGUCUUUUCGCUGUCCCAGCACUGACCCCACUGCAUAGUCACUGGCAUCACACAUGAGUUAAAAUGGUUGCUCCCAGUCAAGGGCAAUUAUAGGUGUUGUUACCAGCCUCUUUUUUAGCUCCUCGAAUUCUACCUUGCAAUCAUCAGAAAAUAAGAAAGGGUGAUUUUUUUUCUAACAACUUACAGAGAAGGUUGGAAAUUUUUGAAAAGUCUCUUAUGAAUCUUCGGUAAAAACCGCCAUGCCCGAGGAAGCUCCUAAUAGCCUUGAUUGAAGUUGGAGGUUGCAGCUUUGCUCAGUCUCAAUUUGAAUGUUAUGUUCUUCCUAAGCAGGCUGGACUGUCACCUCUGUCAGUUUCGUUAACUCACCUAGCUCAAUGGGCAUUGGUAUGAGUGUCUCCACGUCCAAAUCUCUUCCAUUAUGUAGACUCACUGCCAUCUGUUGCUCUGGGCCUUGAUCUUUUUGAUUUAUUUGGGUGUCUACAGGUGUUAUCCCAGGAGGACGACUAUUUAGAGACAUUGAAAUCUAGCCCAUCUAUACAUCAAUUCUUGAUAGUUGAAUCAUGUGCAUCUACUCUUUCACUAAUUUACGCAUUAGACCCAAUAACCUGUUGCAUCAUUACCUCAAGUCUAGCAAACCCAUCUUCCUGUCGCCCACGAUGCUAUUGCUGAGGAGGAGGAUACCCCUGCUGUUGAUUUUGAUUAUUACCAUGUGGCCUUAGAUAAGGUGCCAAAUUAUUAGGAGGUCUCACACCUCCCAUGUUUUCAUUGUUGAACUGUGGCUGGACUUGUCUGUACGGCUGAUUUUGCUGGCCCUAACUCUGACCACCCUAUCUCAGGGCUCCAUAAUUAGACACAUAAUUCAUGUCCUCAGGGUAGUGCUGAUGAUCAUGUUCUGCAUUCCACUGGUUAUCAAUUGGCUGACUAAUGCAAGAUGUGCACAAUCCCUCAUUGGUAGUAACUACAAUGUGUACCUGCUGCAUAUGCCCUAACUCAUCCACCUUUCUGGUAAGUAUACUCAUCUAUGUCAUUAACGUGGCCAUAUAUUCAGCAAGAGUAUUGGACGGAUCUAAGGGAACCGAGUGAACCACUGGAGUGAUAGGUGCAUUUCUUGUUGUCCACCCUGAAUUAUGUGCCAUUAUAUCAAGCAGACUCUUGUCUUCUCUCCAUGUUUUGCUCAAAAAUGCUCCACCAGCUAAAGCAUUAAAAUUACCCUUCAUGGCAUCUGACAAUCCUAUGUAAAACAACUGCCCCAACAUCAGAUCUGGAAUACCGUAGUGUAGACAUAUAACUAGCAUCUCUUUGAAUCGUUCCCAUGUUUCAUGCAGUGUCUCCAUUGAUCUCUGUUUGAAACUCAGAAUUUCAUCAAUUUGUUGAGCAGUCUUAUUGGGUAGGUGGAGCUUGUUCAUGAAUUACUUGACUAACUCCUCCCAAGUUGUUAUGGAACUGAUGGGGAGUGAGUUUAUCCAGGUCUAGGCAGCUCCUGUCAAUAAGAACGGAAACAAUAAUAGCUUGAUUGCUUCCAGGAUUACGUUGGGCUGCCUUUGGGUUUUGCAGAUUGGUAGGAAAUUCUUCAAGUGAUGUUAAGGAUUUUCGACUUGUGACCCCGAGAAUAGUACCUUGUUCUGCAAUAAGUGUAGCAUGUAGUUUGUGAUUUGAAACGAUUCAGCCUGUAUCUGCGGGACUAAAAUCAUUGUGGCCACAUUUUUAGUUGCGGGUUGUGCCCAGUCAUUGAGAGCAGCCUUUGGCACAAGAGGUGCCAAAGGUGCUAUUGGUACAACUAGGUCUUCUUUGUGAUCUCCCAUGUCUAGUUCGAUUUGUUCAAUUAUUUGUUGCUGUUUGCUUUUUCGAUUGGCCCGAUUCAAGGCCUUAAAAACUUUCUCUGGAUCAAAUAAAGCUUCGAAUAUUUCACCAGUUCACGAUGAGUUUCUAGGCAUGCACCUCUAAUACCAAGUCAACAAAUGUUAAAAUUGACUAUAUUAUCACUGGGAGAAGGUGUUAGGCACCCUUCAAGAUCCACUAGAGUGGUUCCCAACCAUGUUAUAUUGUGACUUCACAUAAUCAAGUAAGCAAUUAAGGGCUCAAAUAUAAAGGGUUCACAUACAAUAUUGCAAGUAAAUCGAAAGUUGAGAAAAGUAAUGAGCGCAGAAAUUUUAUGAAAUAUUUAAAUAAUUCUACAUAGAAAUUGAUGAAAGAAAGUAAGAGGGUAUGGGGGGGGGGGUCCCAGGUUAACUAUUAAUAUGCAUCACUUCAAUACAAUAACCAGCAAUCACUCCUCAAAAGAGGGGUCACACAUGAUAUUAGCCAUCGGUCAGCAUCUCCAUAUUCUACCCUUCCUACCCUGUAAUGGUUAUUUAAGAGAAGGUACAAAAUUCACGAAAAGAUUUAAGACCUUAAAGAAAGUGGAUAAAAAGGCAAGUGAAAGGGAGGAGAGUCCUAGGCAUAUGACUAAUUUGGAUCACGUCGAUGCAAUAUCCAGUAUCACUCCUCAGAAGGGGGCUACAUGAGAUAUUAACUCAUCGGUCAUCAUCUUCGCAUCUACCCUUUCCACCCCGUUAAGGUAUUAAACGUGGAAAGGUGUUGUUACCUAUCGCAUGCUCUUACCCGUCCCAAUCCUAUCAAUCCCCGAGGCAUGUGGGAUUACUAAUCCUAUGAGGGAAGGAGUGAAGGCUUUUGAGAGUUUUCAAAGGACAAAAUGCUAAGACGACAAACAAAAUAUAUACAGCAAGUACAGAGAAAGCAAUUAAGCAAAUACGACUCAAAUAAACCUCAUCGAAUCAAAGAAAAGCACGUAGUCUAGCAUGUCUUUCACAUACUGUUAUGGUCUGAAUUAAAACUUAAACAUUAACGAGGCAGACUGCUUGUUACAUGUUUCAGAUAAGAAAUCAGAAUCAGACCCGCCUACUGGCUGGGAUUAGUAUACUAAUGUAGUUAUAGUUUUUACCCUAAAGCUUGCCUAGGUGUUAAACGGAACCUAUAUGCAUGGUGCCUAUAAAUUCAGAAAGAAGUAAACUAGUUGUAGAAAAGAUUUGCCGAUUGCAGGGUUGUUAUUGCUAUUGAUUUUAGACUCGCCAAUUCUGAUUGGGCUGAUAGCUCCUAUAGGCAUGCUUUCUAGGAGUUACUGAUUUUUAAGCGCUAUUAACAUAUAGAAGUCCUAUAGGCAGGUCAUCUAUAUGCAAUUGGUUAUUCGAAUCCUAUAAUAGGUUUGCCCAGUGACAGAUGCAAAUGCAAAAAUGUGAAAGUCCUAUAGGCAUAUCAUCUAUAUGUAGAAUUUCAGGAAUGACUUAUAGGAUGAUAUCUAUAUGAAGUGCUAAAAACCUAUAGCCAUGGUAACUAUAUGAGAUGCAGUAUUUCAAAAAUAGUAAUACCCUAUAGACACGGUAUCUAUAUGAAAUGCAUAAUUUCAGGAGUAGUGAUUCAUUUGAACAUGGUAUCUAUGUGGUGAAAUGCAGAAACUCAGAAAUAGCAAUUCCUAUGAACGUGGUAUCUAUGUGGUGAAAUGUAGAAAUUUAAAGACAUAGUUUCUAAUGCAAAAGUGAAACAACUUACAGGCAGGAUUUCUACAUGCAAUGCGUAAGAGAAAGAGCAGGUUGUGAUUGUAAAGUAAAUACCUAAAGUAGGAUGUCUACCCAUAUACAUACAUGAAUGACCCUACCGUUUUUUACUAUAACCCCCCAGUUAUUACCGAUUAUUACAGACCCAAAUGAAUAAAGAAAAAUAAAAUAUAUCAGAAAGCCAAAAUAAUCCCAGCCAAGGAGAGCCUGACUCAGACUUCUGACCUAAAGCAGGAUGUCUACCCAUAUACAUACAUGAAUGACCCUACCAUUUUUUUACUAUAACCCCGCAGUUAUUACAGAUUAUUACAAACCCGAAUGAAUAAAAAAAAGUACAUCAGAAAGCCAAAAUAAUCCCAGGCAAGGAGAGCCUGACUCAGACUUCUGUCAGAAGCAUGAAGUAAACCAACUCCCAAGAUCAAAUUUCCAAAGCCUUUCUCUUAUUUGGGAUGUAUCAAAGUUUCCUAAGAAUCUCAAACGGAUUCCGAGCAGUGCUUACACCCAAAUAUAUUGCAAAAUUGGAUUAUGGUGUAAUGCGGAAAGGCCAGUCCUCAAAUGUCCAAGUUUAGAGAGAAACUCAAGGUUCUCAAGGCAGGGCUAAUAAGAGGGGACAGAACUUAGGGUCUACGAGUAAGUGAAAGUGUAAUAGAAGGGGAAAAGGCAAGCUGGUGGUCAUGCCCAACAAUUUUGAGGUGCUGGCACACCCCUGACCAUCUAGUUAGUCUAAAUUGAAGAGUUAAGACAUGUUGAAGGUCAGGUUAAGCCAUGGACAGCAAUUUGGAUGCUGCCAUGCUAUAACUUAACUCAUCACACAUAGGGGAAUGGGGUAUGGGAUUCAUAACAGAAACAGAAGACAAAGGAAGAUGGGCAAAGGGCAUGAUCAGCAAUGAAACAUGCUGACACACCUUUUACUUAGGGUCAAAGUUUAGUUCAUGGACAACAAAUCAAAUUGCCAUGCCCUAAAUCCCCAUUUAUAAACAUAUAGAGGGUCAAGGGUAGGGAUCAAGCAUUUACAGGAAAGUAAAGCAAACACAAAAUAUCAACAUGUCAAAUUCUGCAGGUAACAGACAUAGAUAUAAAGACUUGUAAAUAAACACAUUGGAGUGAUACUGCGAAUAAAAAUUGGGACAUACCAGUUUCAGGGACGUAAAUGAAUGAAAGCAGAAAUUUUAUAAGCCAAAUUUGCAAGCAAUAUAAAAGAUCUCAGAAAAGAGCAGAGAAGAGCAUAUGUAAUAGUAUGCAAUUCGAAAUGUUCAGUAAGUGAUCUUUUGAAAGUAUAGAAGGGUCGUGCCCUUUUAUAGUGCAGUAGCAAGUAAGAAAAGGUAAGAAAAUAACAUUGAAAUCGAUCUCCUUUUAAUUAAGGGACUCUGAUUUCAAACGAGUAAAGACAAUUAAGGAAAGAGUUGAUCAUAACAUUUCCCCAAGCAGUACAAUAAAGGGUAAAUACAUAAAAGAUAUUUAAGGCAAAAGUCUAGUGGUAUUUGGUUUGUGAAAAAAAUAAGGAAAGGGAAUCAAUCAAACAACCAGAAAAAUCAAAGUUGAAAGCCUUUUUUGAAUGAAUCGGGUGAAAAAAGUGGUAAAAGAAAGUUCAAUUAGAGAAAAAUCAAUAACAAUCAAGUAAACAACAUUAAAGGAAUUCGGAAUCAAUUAGCAGUUGGCAAAAUCUUUUGAAAGAAAAAUUCGUAUAUAUAAAGCACAUGGACAUUUCAAACAAGAAAGAGUUGUUAUGCUAAUUAGAAAAGAAUAGCAAGAAAGUUUCAAAAUCAUAAGCAAAAAAGGAUUCUAAUUUAAUUCAUAGACUCAAAAUGAGUCUGAGAGAGUCAAGGAUUCGGAGUAGAGCCCUAGUCCAAACACACAAUUAAACUUGUGUAAAUGCCUAUAUGAACAUAAUUGUGUAGUAUGUGUAAACUUGUGUUGGGUUGUCUUAAUGUGCUCUCGUUUUUCAGGCACUAUGGCACCAUCUCGAAAAUUCCAUGUCACAGGUGCCUCCUCUAGCAGCCAAGCCAGCUCAUCCAGGUCACGCAGGGCAGCCCUUGCCCGGCCCUUUAAUAGUAAAAAAUUUGUCUCUGCCAAAGCUCAGGACUGCUUUACGGAUAAGGCCUCUAAAAAGCCAAUUCCGGAGAGGAGAAUUGACAUAGGAUCGCUCCAGCUACACUACCCUCUCAUAUACAGUGAGCUGGUAAGGCGAGGGUUGCAAACUUUCAUUGAUGAGCUUGGCAAAGGCAAUGUAAUAGUGGUUAGACAAUAUUACGCCAAUGUGAAGGAACAUGUCGAUGGUGUAGUCAUGGUGCGUCGAAAGGCGGUGAAUUCCUUUGUGGAGGCUAUAUAGACGGCGUACCAGCUCCCCCUCCCGUGGAUCCAUAUGAUAACUCUUAUGAGGGGUAUGGCUGAGCACACACAUAAUGGGAAAGGUUCUUGAAACAAUCUGUGUACCCGGGAAUGAGGUGAUCUGGAGGAAGUAUGGUGAGAAAUUUCACUCCUCGGUACUAAUCUUUGAAAGGAAGAUCUAGUUGUAUAUUAUCAACAAUAGUUUGAUCCUGUCCUUCAACACUACGGAAGUGAAUGGCCCCCGAGCAGCCUUGAUUUGGUGCUUCAUCAAUGAUCACAACUUUGACGUGGCCAAAGUGAUUCAUAAGGAGAUGUUUAUCCGCUAUCCAGUCAAAAGGUAUGGAUUUUUUUUCCCUUCUUUGUUCACUAAACUUUGCAAGCUCGGGUGCCAGAAAACUAGCAAUGGAUGGGCUGGUGCCAAAAGAUCACAAGUUCCGGGCUAACAAGGUAACCAAGGGUAAGGAGCCAGUGGCAGCAAGUGGAGAGGAUGUAGUGGCUUUGAUGACUCGGAGGAAGAUGAGGCCGAGCAGGAGGACGUAGGGGUCGCACAUCAGGCCCAUGAGCAAAGUGCAGUAGCUGCAACACCAUCUAGGACUGCCACAUCUUCUGGAGCUGCACGGGUGUCCCGUUUCACCAUUUUGGAGCAAGAGAUGGCUGGAUUGCGUACUUCAGUCAUUGAUUUGGGUACCCAAGUUGACGCGGUGGCUGACCGGCAGGUGAAGUCAAAAAAUAAAUUCUUACGCUGGCUGAGAGUUCUGGGUCGUGCGUGUAAUGUGAACUCAGACAUCGUCUCUGACUAGGAGUGAUAUGUCAGGGAAGUUCCUUUACCUCACUGUUCUUUAAACUUUUAUGCCAUGAGGACAUGUUUACAUUUUAAGUGUGAGGUGGGGGAUACUUCAAUGUAUAUAUGUAUAUGUAGCAAUUUGACUGGUUGAUGUUUCUUUGUUUCUCUUUGAUUAUUUUUGGUGUCUUGAGUAAUAGUUUCAUUGGGUAAUUUUAAAUCAGGUAAUUGACUUGUCCCAACGACGGAUCUAUUUCAGCAGGGUUCUUGAGGGACUAAGUUGAGAAAAAAAAAGAAGGGGAAUAUGAAGACUCUUCCUGAUGACGCAUCCAUUAGAAAAUUUUCUUGAGGGAAGUAAGUCUAUAGAAAAGACCAAAAAGAUUUUUUAUUUUCUUUUUUUUAGGUAUUGUAGUAACUCCCCCUUGGUUUUUCUUUGGGCUACAGUUCUUUUCCAAGGGUUUAGCUUGAAUUGUAUGUAGGUAGUUUUUGUUAGUUUGAUUUUAUUAGUUUUUCGUUAUGAUUAAUGUGCUACGAGUUGAAAUCGAAAUAGAAACACUUAGCGUUGAUACACCUGAACACGGUAGACACUAGAGUGUAACGCUGAGUCUUAGUGGUUGAUUUUUGCUAAAGUGCCUUAAAUUGUAUGUUUGUCACUGACUUGAAUACUAAGAAAUAGUGUCUUGAUAAACCAAUCUGGAGUGAGUCAUAUGCCAUAUGUGUGUGAGUUAUACUAUAUUACAUGAUUCACAAUUGAUUCCUAGAACUUUCCCUGUGUGUUUGCAAACGAAAUAGUAGUUUCAUUCAGUAUUAGAAGUAAUAUAGGCAUUUCUUUAUUGAGCCAGACAUAUAAAGUUACCCACCUAACUGUAAUAUAUCGUAUUCAAUCACGUUGAGCCAUAUAAGCAUGUUUAUUUAGCAACCACAUUGCAAACCUUACCCAAUUGUUUGAAUGGACAUCUGUUUGAACCCUUUUACCUCCCAUAAGCACUUGAAUGGUAUUGAAAUUAUGCAAAAAAGAAAGUGUGGGGUGGUGGUUUGGUUUUUGAAUGAAAUCGUUGAAAUAGAGAAAAGGUGCAGUGUUAGGAGAAGUAAAAGAAUAAGCACCGCCAUCAAAACAAAGAGUAAAUGUAGUAAUCGAGAAGUGAUGGGUUGUUACAAUUGCACCUAGUGAAUGGGGAUGUUGUAAAUAAAAAGUGGCAGAGUGUGUGGUUGACAUAAGUACAGUUUUGAAGGUUAAUGUAAUUGUAUUAAAAGUGUUUAGGUAGGUUAGUCACUAUAUCCACAUAUAUCCUACCCGUCCUUAGCUUACAUUAUAAUCAAGUGAAGUCCUAUUGAUCUUAGACUGAGUGAGAUCGAUUAGUAGAGUAGUAUACUACGGGCAAGUCUAUGGUGCAUCUUUGUGGCAUGUGAAUGUUCUUGAAACUGAGUGAAUUUUGUCUAUCUAAGUUCUUAAUUGUUUUAAAUACCAUUAUACAUGGAACUACUCUCUUGUGUGAUGUGAGGACAUGUGAUUCACGAAGGAAAGGCAAGUCUUGACUUCUAUGUAGAGUACUUUGAGUAAGUAUAAAUAUUGCAUGGCACGUGAGAGCCGAAUUUUUAGGCAAAUAUUGUUCACUACUACAUGUAACUGAUGUGAUUUGUUCUUGGUGUGAUGCGUUAGGGAAUAAUGCUUAGUGAAGGAACCUAUAUAGAGUGUGGUGGAUGCUUGAGGACUAGCAAUGAUUUAAGUGUAGGGUGUUGAUACUAGGCUAGAUUUAUGUAAUUUGGCAAUUGUUUAUGUCCUAGCUUGAUUAUGAGAAUAUAGUUAAAUAAUGAUAAAUUGGCUCUAAUUGUGAAUUUCACACGUUGCAAGAGUAAGUAACACGUAUGAGGAAUUAAAGAUGUGUUUGGAGCAAAAUUGAAGCAAGAAAAGCCCCUAGUAUGAGUAGUUAAAUAUUUAAUCUAAGGUUUUGACGGAACCUAUUGAAGGAUGAACUUCUUGUUAUGUUAACAUAGUUUGCUUGGUUUAAUCUCUAUUUGUCGAACUAUAUUUUUGUUGUAGUUAAUUGAUAGGAUCCUCAAUUAGCUGUGCAUAUUUAGUGUGCAUAACUCGGGAGAGAGUGCAUAUUUAGGUAAUUGUUGGACAACACCACCCUCAAAGUAUAUGAGGGAUCAAUAACUGAGGGUUUAAAGGUGAGAUUAAGGAUAAUGAAGCUUUGGUUGCAAUCUAAAGUGAUAAACAAAGCCAGCUAGCGUAGAAGAGUUUGUUUAGUAAAUUAUCGUGAUUACUCGGGAAAGAUUUACGGCAAUAAGAGUGCUCAUAUUUGAUAGAGAUGAUUAGGCAAUUCUAUAUGAAACAUAACCAGAAGAGAUUCCACCUAUAGGAAAAAUCAUAACCGUAGAAACUUUUCUUAAUUGUUUACAACUUAAUCAUAGUUAGUUUUCAGUUGCUUAUUUACAUUCAUUUUUAGUUAGUAGAAACAUCAACUGUUAUUCACAAAGUUUGGAAGUUGAUUCCGUGGAAUUAGUAAGUCUAACGAGAGUAUUUGUAGGUUAAUUCCUUGUGGGUUAGACUCUAGGAUAAACAUUCAGAUUAUAUUUACAACGUCCGCGUGUUCUUUUAAUAAGGCAUAGUUGGGCGUAAUCACCAGACUUGUUAGCUUCACCACCAGCAUUGAUACUACGUAAUCGCCCAUUAAGGCUUAAGCAAAUGAGAACGAUGUUAGGUCUCCAUUGAGAUUGAUCUCUGUUAGGUUCUAUCCCCGAUACCUUAGCGGGAACUAGUGUUGAUAUCCCUAAGAAGGACUUAUGCCCGAUCACCAAGAAAGGGAAGAAAAGGUGGAUGAGAGGCCUCCUCCUAACCAAAAGAGGACCUUGAUGUUUGUCGAAAUAGAAGUCAACACGAACUUAUUCGGGCAUUAAUCGACACCGGUGCUACCAAAAACUACUUAGUCUCAACUCAUGUGAAGCGCCUCGGUCUAGUGGUACAAAAGAGCAAGGGUCAUGUCAAGGCUAUCAAUCCACCACCCCAACCAGUGGGUGGAAUAGCCAAAGAAGUGUCCAUGAAGUUUGGACCUUGUCACACCUCCUUUUUUACACAUCCUAGAAAUAUAUAAGGGAGUUUUUCUAAUUAUAGUGGCAUUAUCCAAAAUGGAAUUAUCUAUUCAAUUUAAAGUCGCCACUUGGGAUAGUUUAUUUGGUGUCCCAAGUUACCGAUUUACUUUAAAUUCCAAAUCGAGGAAUUUUUGACUUUCCUUUUGAAGUCCGGGAAUCAGAAAUUCUGAAUAAGGAAUUUUACUAACCCGAGGGAAGGUGUUAGGUACCUCCAGAUUUAGUGGUUCUAUCACGGUCGCAUUAAACUACUAUAAAUGGCCUAUUAUCUUAUUUUAAUACAUGUUUUAACCUAUGGUUCAAUUUUAGCUCUAUAACCGCUUUUAUUUAAUUAUUGUUACAUAUUACAAAUCAUGUCACAGGAACCGUACCCACGAUUUGUAACAUAAUUAAUUUUAAAGAUUAAUUUAUUUUCGGGUCACAUAAAUGUACCCCGAAUUUUAGUAAUUAGGGGUCACAACUACAUCGUGGAAACUAAGGCGGUAUCCAGUUCCGGUUCAGGGUCUAUUUGGGUCUGCGGUUCCGGUUCUGGCGGUUCCGGUUCUGGCGGUUCCGAUUCUGCGGUUUUGGCGGUUCUGGCGGUUCCGAUUCUGGCGGUUCCGGAGUCGGAACCGCUAGCAUAUGGUUCCGAAACCGUCCGAUUCCUGUUCUGGCGGUUCCGACUUAAUUUUUUUUUUUAAAUCAAUAUCUUGUAUAGUAUUUAUUAGUAUAUUGUAGAAUAUAAUUUUAUAUGGUGUACUAUGUUAUUAAUUAUAGUAUAUAUUGUGUUUGGUAAUUAGUAUAUAUUNNNNNNNNNNNNNNNNNNNNNNNNNNNNNNNNNNNNNNNNNNNNNNNNNNNNNNNNNNNNNNNNNNNNNNNNNNNNNNNNNNNNNNNNNNNNNNNNNNNNNNNNNNNNNNNNNNNNNNNNNNNNNNNNNNNNNNNNNNNNNNNNNNNNNNNNNNNNNNNNNNNNNNNNNNNNNNNNNNNNNNNNNNNNNNNNNNNNNNNNNNNNNNNNNNNNNNNNNNNNNNNNNNNNNNNNNNNNNNNNNNNNNNNNNNNNNNNNNNNNNNNNNNNNNNNNNNNNNNNNNNNNNNNNNNNNNNNNNNNNNNNNNNNNNNNNNNNNNNNNNNNNNNNNNNNNNNNNNNNNNNNNNNNNNNNNNNNNNNNNNNNNNNNNNNNNNNNNNNNNNNNNNNNNNNNNNNNNNNNNNNNNNNNNNNNNNNNNNNNNNNNNNNNNNNNNNNNNNNNNNNNNNNNNNNNNNNNNNNNNNNNNNNNNNNNNNNNNNNNNNNNNNNNNNNNNNNNNNNNNNNNNNNNNNNNNNNNNNNNNNNNNNNNNNNNNNNNNNNNNNNNNNNNNNNNNNNNNNNNNNNNNNNNNNNNNNNNNNNNNNNNNNNNNNNNNNNNNNNNNNNNNNNNNNNNNNNNNNNNNNNNNNNNNNNNNNNNNNNNNNNNNNNNNNNNNNNNNNNNNNNNNNNNNNNNNNNNNNNNNNNNNNNNNNNNNNNNNNNNNNNNNNNNNNNNNNNNNNNNNNNNNNNNNNNNNNNNNNNNNNNNNNNNNNNNNNNNNNNNNNNNNNNNNNNNNNNNNNNNNNNNNNNNNNNNNNNNNNNNNNNNNNNNNNNNNNNNNNNNNNNNNNNNNNNNNNNNNNNNNNNNNNNNNNNNNNNNNNNNNNNNNNNNNNNNNNNNNNNNNNNNNNNNNNNNNNNNNNNNNNNNNNNNNNNNNNNNNNNNNNNNNNNNNNNNNNNNNNNNNNNNNNNNNNNNNNNNNNNNNNNNNNNNNNNNNNNNNNNNNNNNNNNNNNNNNNNNNNNNNNNNNNNNNNNNNNNNNNNNNNNNNNNNNNNNNNNNNNNNNNNNNNNNNNNNNNNNNNNNNNNNNNNNNNNNNNNNNNNNNNNNNNNNNNNNNNNNNNNNNNNNNNNNNNNNNNNNNNNNNNNNNNNNNNNNNNNNNNNNNNNNNNNNNNNNNNNNNNNNNNNNNNNNNNNNNNNNNNNNNNNNNNNNNNNNNNNNNNNNNNNNNNNNNNNNNNNNNNNNNNNNNNNNNNNNNNNNNNNNNNNNNNNNNNNNNNNNNNNNNNNNNNNNNNNNNNNNNNNNNNNNNNNNNNNNNNNNNNNNNNNNNNNNNNNNNNNNNNNNNNNNNNNNNNNNNNNNNNNNNNNNNNNNNNNNNNNNNNNNNNNNNNNNNNNNNNNNNNNNNNNNNNNNNNNNNNNNNNNNNNNNNNNNNNNNNNNNNNNNNNNNNNNNNNNNNNNNNNNNNNNNNNNNNNNNNNNNNNNNNNNNNNNNNNNNNNNNNNNNNNNNNNNNNNNNNNNNNNNNNNNNNNNNNNNNNNNNNNNNNNNNNNNNNNNNNNNNNNNNNNNNNNNNNNNNNNNNNNNNNNNNNNNNNNNNNNNNNNNNNNNNNNNNNNNNNNNNNNNNNNNNNNNNNNNNNNNNNNNNNNNNNNNNNNNNNNNNNNNNNNNNNNNNNNNNNNNNNNNNNNNNNNNNNNNNNNNNNNNNNNNNNNNNNNNNNNNNNNNNNNNNNNNNNNNNNNNNNNNNNNNNNNNNNNNNNNNNNNNNNNNNNNNNNNNNNNNNNNNNNNNNNNNNNNNNNNNNNNNNNNNNNNNNNNNNNNNNNNNNNNNNNNNNNNNNNNNNNNNNNNNNNNNNNNNNNNNNNNNNNNNNNNNNNNNNNNNNNNNNNNNNNNNNNNNNNNNNNNNNNNNNNNNNNNNNNNNNNNNNNNNNNNNNNNNNNNNNNNNNNNNNNNNNNNNNNNNNNNNNNNNNNNNNNNNNNNNNNNNNNNNNNNNNNNNNNNNNNNNNNNNNNNNNNNNNNNNNNNNNNNNNNNNNNNNNNNNNNNNNNNNNNNNNNNNNNNNNNNNNNNNNNNNNNNNNNNNNNNNNNNNNNNNNNNNNNNNNNNNNNNNNNNNNNNNNNNNNNNNNNNNNNNNNNNNNNNNNNNNNNNNNNNNNNNNNNNNNNNNNNNNNNNNNNNNNNNNNNNNNNNNNNNNNNNNNNNNNNNNNNNNNNNNNNNNNNNNNNNNNNNNNNNNNNNNNNNNNNNNNNNNNNNNNNNNNNNNNNNNNNNNNNNNNNNNNNNNNNNNNNNNNNNNNNNNNNNNNNNNNNNNNNNNNNNNNNNNNNNNNNNNNNNNNNNNNNNNNNNNNNNNNNNNNNNNNNNNNNNNNNNNNNNNNNNNNNNNNNNNNNNNNNNNNNNNNNNNNNNNNNNNNNNNNNNNNNNNNNNNNNNNNNNNNNNNNNNNNNNNNNNNNNNNNNNNNNNNNNNNNNNNNNNNNNNNNNNNNNNNNNNNNNNNNNNNNNNNNNNNNNNNNNNNNNNNNNNNNNNNNNNNNNNNNNNNNNNNNNNNNNNNNNNNNNNNNNNNNNNNNNNNNNNNNNNNNNNNNNNNNNNNNNNNNNNNNNNNNNNNNNNNNNNNNNNNNNNNNNNNNNNNNNNNNNNNNNNNNNNNNNNNNNNNNNNNNNNNNNNNNNNNNNNNNNNNNNNNNNNNNNNNNNNNNNNNNNNNNNNNNNNNNNNNNNNNNNNNNNNNNNNNNNNNNNNNNNNNNNNNNNNNNNNNNNNNNNNNNNNNNNNNNNNNNNNNNNNNNNNNNNNNNNNNNNNNNNNNNNNNNNNNNNNNNNNNNNNNNNNNNNNNNNNNNNNNNNNNNNNNNNNNNNNNNNNNNNNNNNNNNNNNNNNNNNNNNNNNNNNNNNNNNNNNNNNNNNNNNNNNNNNNNNNNNNNNNNNNNNNNNNNNNNNNNNNNNNNNNNNNNNNNNNNNNNNNNNNNNNNNNNNNNNNNNNNNNNNNNNNNNNNNNNNNNNNNNNNNNNNNNNNNNNNNNNNNNNNNNNNNNNNNNNNNNNNNNNNNNNNNNNNNNNNNNNNNNNNNNNNNNNNNNNNNNNNNNNNNNNNNNNNNNNNNNNNNNNNNNNNNNNNNNNNNNNNNNNNNNNNNNNNNNNNNNNNNNNNNNNNNNNNNNNNNNNNNNNNNNNNNNNNNNNNNNNNNNNNNNNNNNNNNNNNNNNNNNNNNNNNNNNNNNNNNNNNNNNNNNNNNNNNNNNNNNNNNNNNNNNNNNNNNNNNNNNNNNNNNNNNNNNNNNAUUAGGAUAAAGCAUAUUCAUAAUAUCAUCAUCUAUUCUAUCACCGACUGCUACAUCAUGUAGAAAAUCAACAUCGCUAAAUUGAAAACACGGGUGAUUUCUAUCAAGUAUUCCGAAGUUUUCAUUAGAAUUUCUAGGUUGGCUACUAGUUUCAACUUGUUUAUCUUUUCUAUGUCGGGGAGCCGGAGGAGGGGUAGUAUUUUGGCGACUACUUUCACCGGUUUUAUUUUUUCCUUUUCCGAACAUAUUUUUCAAUGAAAAUGACAUAUUAAUUAUAAUUAAGCAAAAUAACAACACACAAAAAUAUUCUAAUCACGUAAGAGUUGAAACGAGUUUACCGGAUUGACGAACAACUUCUUGAAAANNNNNNNNNNNNNNNNNNNNNNNNNNNNNNNNNNNNNNNNNNNNNNNNNNNNNNNNNNNNNNNNNNNNNNNNNNNNNNNNNNNNNNNNNNNNNNNNNNNNNNNNNNNNNNNNNNNNNNNNNNNNNNNNNNNNNNNNNNNNNNNNNNNNNNNNNNNNNNNNNNNNNNNNNNNNNNNNNNNNNNNNNNNNNNNNNNNNNNNNNNNNNNNNNNNNNNNNNNNNNNNGGGUAUUUAUAGUUGAGAAAUGGGAAAUUGUGUAAUUAUAUAAAGUUUGGGGUUAAAUUAAAGUUUGAGGGGUUAAAUGACUAUUUUUGAAAAUUCCAAACGGCUAAUUUUGAAAAAGAGCCGUUUGAAAUUUUUUUUAAAAAAAAAUUCUUUUUUUUUAAAUCCGGACCGUUGGGAACCGUUUGGAACCGGAUGGAACCGCCUGAACCGGUCCGGUUCCGGUUCCGCGGUUCUAGCGGGUGGAACCGCUCCAUCACGGUUCGGGGGAACCGCCAGACCCUGAACCGCGGAAUCGGAACCGCCAGAACCGCGGUUCCAGGUCCGGUUCCGGUUCCGAACCGGGCCACUUCCAGCCUUAACCAAUAUUGGGUUAUUCUUGGAGGUUUUAGGUUUUCUCAACUCCUCAGGGCCAAAGCACCUGCCCAACUGGGUCAAUCCAUGGGUCUCACAGAAUUCUUCUCUACCCUCUUUCCCUUUCCUUAACGGAAAACCGCACCUAUAGUUAUGACCAUUAAUUAAUUUACGCGCCAAAAGCAAACUACGAAAGGUCAAAGAUGUUUUCCAUACUAAGUUAAUAUUAAUGGGAGGGCCAUAGAUUAUGGAAAUCAAUUGUGGAUGAAGAUGUUAUGACUUAAUUAGCACAACAUUUAUAAAAAUUUGCUUAAAGAAUUAGAGCUAAAGUUCUUGGAAAAACAGUGCUAAUAUGUAGUAUAAGAAUAUGAACUUUAAGAUAUAAUUUCUAUGCCUCUAGAUAAUGUGUAUGAAGCGAUCCUUUUUCUUUUUGUAGUUGCUAACUGGAAAAGAACAUUGCAGAUUCUUAUGAUGUCUUUAUCUUAGAAAUCUGGCAUCACUUUUUCCAAGAAGAAAUCAAUUAAUUACAAAUAUUCUUAAUUGCUAGAAACUAAUACGUAAAGGAUAAAGUUAAUUUUUGACCAGGAAAAAAAGAAAGAUAUUGAAUGGCUUUUCGACGCAACUUUGAAAAAAAUAACUCUCUCGAUAAAGUUAUAACAAUUUAUUGCAACAACUCUCCUACAAAAUUUUGUAAUAAAAAGAUAAAAAAGCUAACAAUAUUUUUUGCUCUUUAGAAAAUUAGAUGGGAAUGUGCAAAACUGAACUAGUGACAGAACAAAUAAGAGAAACUGAAAGAUAGCAGACAGAUGAAGAAUUAGAAGGGAUGAUAUGAACAUCAUUUACAAAGCAUAUCAUUCCAUAAUCCCAACUCAUUUUGAAAAGAACACAUGAAAAAAGGGAAAGACAAUGAAUUCCAGAAACUAACACUUAAUCCACAAUUGAUCUAGUAGCUAAAUUCCAACAAAUUUCAAUCAACUUCAUGGAUUCACAAAGAGCAAAUGCAGAUUUAGAAUUAUUGAAUCAUGCUGAAAUAUAAGGGACAAAUCGAAAAAAGCUGCCAGCAAUAUAGUAAUCAAGGAAUAUAACUCAUAACACAAAAUUCAAGUUCAAUAGGAAUCAUCCAUCACCUUAAAAAGUAAUUUCAACUAAUUGAUUUCAUAAAUCAAAUAUGAACAUAAAGGCUUCAGUGUGUACCUAGAGCUCAGCAAAGUAAGCGAUAAAAUCGGCAGAAAACAGCACCAAUCCCAGCCAAAUAUGACUCAAAAAAUCCAGAAAUUAUCAAACAAAACACUAUAAAUCAGACCAGAUUUUAAAAUCCUUCAUGAUUCCUUUUUUUUCACUUUUUUUCUUGUUUUAGAAGCUGAAAUUUCAGACAUCAGAGCUUGAAGCUAAUAGGGUUCUGCUAUGGGGGUUCUCGGCUGAAGAAGAAGAUAGAAAGGGGGAAAAUGCCGAUGCUCCUCUCCCUUGCGCCACUGCUUGUUUUUAGAGGAGAAGGUCCUCUUUUCGUUUCUUGAGUGAGGAAUUUGAUUCUUUAGUAAUGAUGGAGAGAUGAGGAGGAUGAAAGCAUGUGGAUGGAGGAAGAAAAAGGAAACAAAAAGAAGAGGGUCUCCAGAUGCGCCGUUUCUUCUUCUUUUCCAAGGAGGAGCUCCUGAGUUUUUUUAGGUCUGAGAUAGAAAUGAGCGUGUAUUCUAUUUUAAGUCUUAGGAAUCUAUUAAAUGUGAAGGGAAACGAAUCGGACAAGCGGGUUGGGGAUUGGGCCAAGGGAAGUUUUGGAUCAGAUUUAGGCAGGGUGAAAAUUGACCCAAUUUCAAAAGUCAAACCAUUUACCAAUUCUUUCUUUUAUUUUCUAAUUUUUCUUUUUCUUUUAAUUAAAAUACUACAAAUUAAAAAUCCUAAAUUAUUUAAAAGUAUAAAAUUAAACUAAUUACCUAAUUAUAAAAAUUAUGAACAAUACUUAAUUCUAAAUUAAAAGUGGAAAAUCAAUAAACCAAAAUUAAAAGACAAAAAUGUAAAAAUGAGUUUAAUUUGUGAUUUUUAAAUUUUUCUAAAGCAAAUAAUUAUAGAUUAAUUCUAACAAUGUAAAUAAAUCCUAAAUGCAAUGCAUUAUAUUUUUUAGAUUUUUUCAUGAUUUAAAUAAAAAUUAAACAUGCACAGAAAUGCAAACAAUUGAUUAAAAUCUACAAAAAUUCCUAAAAAUGGUAAAUAAUUAAAAAAAUCUAUUUUCUUGAAAUUCCGUAUGAGUAAUUCAUGUGAGACAAAAAUCACAUGCUCACAGCAGUCCCUCUUUGCUCGGAGACACGAAGGGUUUUCAGGCAAUGAUAGUGAGCAAUAUGAGGGAUUUUUGCCCGUUUAAAACUCCAUGAGAAGCAUUUUUGAAAAUAGCCUGACCGAACCUUGCUUUACAAGUUGCCUACAUAUCCUUGGCUAUAAAGGAAUUAAGUGAGUGUAGUUCUGGAAGUUUUGAUAGUUGGGACUACCGAGAAGCUGUGAUUUCGUUGUUGUUGCUGCUGUUUCUGCUUGCUGAGCUCCUUAUUACACCAUAAUAGAAAAUAAAAAGCUAAACUAGCUAAGCCUAUCAACUACGAGUUACAAGAUUCCUAUCUAUAAAUCUUGAAGCUUGAUCUUGAGUCUUGACUGGCUAUUGCUGUAGACUCCCAUCUGAAUCUUGAUGCUCGUUAGCUGUAACCACUGGUUCAUUCUUCAACUUUGUAUCAAGGCGGGACAUGCGAAGCCUGUGAUUUCAAUCAUAUCUUGGCUCAUCCGCGUCUUUCUCCGUUUCAGCAUUGUGAGUUCACUCUUUUGUUGUCUUUUUCUUUUAUUUAUUCUGGAUUACGACUCAUUCUUUUGGUCAUCUUGAAUCUUGUGCCUCGAGGUCAGACCUGCUCAGACACCAAAACAAACAAAUAAAAGAAAUUUUUCUGCACCAAUUUUCACAAGAAAAAUUUCGUAAGUUAUUUGCAACUAAGAUCCAAAACUUUUUUUCUUUUUUUUUAAAGCGAUAAAAUAAGAAUUGUGUGUCUUUAGAAGGAAAUAUUAGGGAAUGGAGCUCUAUAUCUAAAAUUCUCAACUAGGGAAUGGAUGCCCUAUGUUUGCAAAAAAGCGACUAAGGAAUGGAGGUCCUAUGUCUAAAAAUCUAAACACAGGGAUUGGAGCCCUAAUAUUGGCAAAAAGCGACUAGGGAAUGGAGGCCCUAUGUCUAAAAAUUACAACUCACGUAUUGGAGCCCUGAUGUUGGCAAAAAAAAGGAGAAUAGGAAAUAGAAGCCUUAUGUCUAAAAAUCUCAACUUAGGGAUUGGAGCCUUAACGUUGGCAAAAAAAAGGCAACUAGGGAAUAAAGCUCAUGUGCCAAAAUCAUAACUCAGGGAUUAGAGCCCUAAUGUUGGCAAAAAGGUGACUAGGAAAUGGAGGCCCUAUGUCUAAAAAUCUCAAAUCAAGGAUUGAAGUCCUAAUGUUGGCAAAAAUGGCGACUAGGGAAUGGAGGCCCUAUGUCUAAAAAUCUCAACUCUGGGAUUGGAGCCCUAAUGUUGGCAAAAGGCGACUAGGGAAUGGAGGCCCUGUGUCUAAAAAUCUCAACUCAGGGGUUGGAGCCCUGAUGUUGGCAAAAAAAGGACGACUAAGGAAUGGAAGCCCUAUGUCUAAAAAUCUCAACGUAGUGAUUGGAGUGCUAAUAUUGAAGAAAAAAAGGCAACUAGGGAAUGAAUAUGUCUAAAAAUCUCAACUCAGAAAUUUGAGCCCUAAUUUGGCAAAAAGACGACUAGGGAAUGGAGGCCAUAUGUCUAAAAAUCUCAAAUCAGGAAUUGAAGCCCUAAUGUUGGCAAAAAAGGCGACAAUGGAAUAACUUAGGAUUGGAGCCCUAAUGUUGGCAAAAAGGCAACUAGGAAAUGGAGGUCCUAUGUCUAAAAAUCUUAACUCAAGGAUUGGAUCCCUAAUAUUGACAAAAAGGCGACUAGGGAAUGGAGGCCCUAUGUCUAAAAUCUCAACUGAAGGAAUGGAGCCUUAAUAUUGGUAAAAUGGCGACAAGGGAAUAGAGGUCCUAUGUCUAAAAAUCUCAACUUAGGGAUGGGAGCCCUAAUGUUGGGAAAAAAGGCGACUAGGGAAUAAAUGCCCUAUGUCUAAAAACCUCAACUCAGGAAUUGGAGCCUAACCUUGGCAAAAAAAAGUGAAUAGGGAAUGGAGACCCUAUGUCUAAAAAUCUCAACUAAGGGAUUGGAGUCCUACUAUUGGCAAAAGGCGACUAGGGAAUGGAGGCACUAUGUCUAAAAAUCUCAACUCAUGGAUUGGAGCCUUAAUGGAAAUUGAGACUACUGAAUUAUGUACCUAUGCUAAAAUGAACCAAGAGGGAUUAUUUUUUUUUGUUUUUUUGUUUCGGAACAAAAUUCAAUUUUAAUUUUUUUUUUCUUUUGAGAAAAUCAUUCUUUUAAACAAAUUCCCCUAACGCUUUUUUAAAAAAAAAUCAAGACAUCUUUUUUUAAAGAAAUUAUUGUCCUAAGAGAAAAUUUAUCAGACUAGGUUUUAAUCAUAUGAGAAAGAUUCAUCAUACCAAGAUUUCUAUCCUAGGAGAAAGUUCACCAGACUAGGUUCCCUUUUUUUGUUAUCUUAGGAGAAAAAUUCAUCAGACUAAGAUUUCUAUCCUAGGAGAAAGUUCACCAGACUAGGUUUUCUAUCUUAGGAGAAAUAUUAAUCAGACUAAGAUUUUAAUCCUAGGAGAAAGUUCAUCAGACUAGAUCUUCUAUCUUAGGAGAAAAAUUCAUCAGACUAAGAUUUUGAUCCUAGGAGAAAGUUCAUCAGACUAAAAUUUUGAUCCUAGAAGAAAGUUUAUCAAACUAUGUCCAUUUUUGUUAUCUUAAUAAAAAAAUUCAUCAGACUAAGAUUUCUAUCCUAGGAGAAAGUUCAUCAGACUAGGUCUUUUAUUUUAGGAAAAAAAAUCAUCAGACUAAGAUUUGAUUCUAGGAGAAAGUUCAUCAUACUAGAUUUUCUAUCUUAGUAGAAAGAUUCAUCAGACUAAGAUUUUGAUCAUAGGAGAAAAUUCAUCAGACUAGGUCCCUUUUUUGUUAUCUUAGGAGAAAGAUUCAUCAGACUAAGAUUUCUAUUGGAAGGAAAAUCUAUCAGAUUAGGACUUUUUAUCCUAGGAGAAAAAUGUGACGACCAAAUGGCAAAAUUUUAUGCACGCGAGCAAGAUAGAAAAAGAUAAAAUUUGAGAAACUUUCCUUUGUCGGCUCUUCUCUUCCUUUUAUUUCAAUUUUUUCUUUUUUUUUCUAUUUUCUUUUCUUUUUCUCUUUUCAUUUCCCUUUAUUUUGAACCACUUUCCUUGCACUGCUUUAUUCCUAUUUCAAACAAAGAAAAUUUUAUCAGUUUUGAAAGUGGUGGUCGAUUUGUGGCCUUGAGUCCUGAGCAGCUUGCCAUUUGCUUAAUCGGUUUGAGUUGGUUUCAACGAGACCUUUGCUCUAUAUCAACCUUGAUUAUUUCACACCUAGUACCAUUUGUAUUUGUGGCUUAAUCAGCCAUACCCCAACUAGAGAUCCUUUCUCAGGGACCUUUUCUAAUAUCUUGAAUGGCUUCGCUUUUGGAGCAAUUUGUCUGUUAGAGAGAAUCACCAGUUAUCUUUACUUGCGCAAAGUAGGCUGAUAAGAGUCUUUUGGGGAAGCUUUACAUGAAUCCUCAAGGCACAUUGAUAGUAACAACCAAGUGUGCAGGCCAAAUUUACUAUAUGCAACUGAAAAACUGGUAACAGAUUUUGAAAUCUUUUCUUGCUUGUUUGACAAGGACUGACUCGGAGUGCAGGACAUAAUGAUGCAAAGAAACAAGUAUUAACAAGAAAUGCCUUGGUCGGGAAGGACAUGGGAAGAGUUAUUACGAUCACUUUAAACUAUUAUAAUUGGCCUAUUAUCUGACUUUAAUACAUGUUUUAGCCUAUUGUUCAAUUUUAGCUUUAUAACCGCUUUUAUUUAAUUAUUGUUACAUAUUGCAAAUCAUGUCACGCGAACCGUACCCACGAUUUGCAACAUGCUUAAUUUAAAGAUUAAAUUGUUUUCAGGUCACAUAAAUGUACUCCCGAAUUUUAGUAAUUAGGAAUCAAAGCUACUUAACGAAAACCGUACCCGUAGUUAUGAUAAUUAAUUAAUUCACGUGUCUAAAGAAAACUACGAAAGGUUAAAGGUGUUUUCUAUACUAAGUUAAUAUUAAUGAAAGGGCCAUAUUAUGGAAAUCAAUUGUGGAUGAAGAUGUUAUGACUUAAUUAACACAAAAUUUAUAAAAAUCUGCUUAAAGAAUUAGAGCUAAAGUUCUUGGGAAAACAGUGCUAAUAUGUAAUAUACGAAUAUCAACUUUAAGACAUAAUUUCUAUGCCUCCAGAUAAUGUGACAAAGCAAUCCUUUUUCUUUUUGUAGUUGCUAACUGGAAAGGAACAUUGCAAAUUCUUACGAUGUCUUUAACUUAGAAAUCUGACAUCACUUUUUUCAAGAAGAGAUCAAUUAAUUACAAAUAUUCUUAAUCUACUAAAAACUAAUAUGUAAAAGAUAAAAUUAAUUUUUUGAUCAGGAAAGAAAGAAAGAUAUUGAAUGGCUUUUCGGCGUAACUUUGAAAAAAAAUAGCUCUCUUGGUAAAGUCAUAACAAUUUAUUGCAACAACUCUCCUACAAAAAUUUUGUAAUAAAAAGAUAAAAGAGUUAACAAUAUUUUUUGCUCUUUAGAAAAUUAGAUGGAAAUGUGCUGAACUGAACUAGUGACAAAACAAUUAAGAGAAACUGAAAGAUAGCAGACAGAUGAAGAAUUAGAGGGGAUGAUAUGAACACUAUUUACAAAGCAUAUCGUUCCACAAUCCCAACUCAUUUUGAAAAGAACACAUGAAACAAAAAGGGAAAGACAAUGAAUUCCAGAAACUAAAACUUAUGCCAAAAUUGAUCUAGUAGCUAAAUACCAACAAAUUUCAAUCAACUUCAUAGAUUCGUAAAGAGCAAACAGAGAAUUAGCAUUAUUGAAUCAUGCUGAAACAUAAGAGAUAAAUCAGAAGAAGCUGCCAGCAAUGUAGUAAUCAAGGAAUAUAACUCAUAACACAAAAUUCAAGUUCAACAGAAAUCAUCCAUCACCUUCAAAAGUAAUUUCAACUAAUUGAUUUCAUAAGUCAAAUAUGAACAUAAAGUCUUUAGUGUGUGUACCUAGAGCUUAGCAAAGUCAGUGAUAAAAUCGGCAGAAAACAACACCAAUCCCAGCCAAAAUCGACUCGAAAAAUCCAGAAAUUAUCAAACGAAACACAAUAUAAGUCGGAUCAGAUUUUAAAAUCCUUCAUGAUUCCUUUUUUUUAUUUUUUUUCUUGUUAUUGAAGCUGAAAUUUCAGACAUCAGAGCUUGAAGCUUAUAAGGUUCUGCUAUGGGGGUUCUCGGCUGAAGAAGAAGAUAGAAAGGGGGAAAAUGUCGUUGCUCCUCUCUCUUGCACCACUGCUUGUUUUUAGAGGAGAAGGUCCUCUUUUCGUUUCUUGAGUGAGGAAUUUGAUUCUCUGGUUUUGAUGGAGAGAUGAGGAGGAUGAAGGCGUGUGGAUAGAGGAAGAAAAAGGAACGGAAAAAGCGCUGUUUCUUCUUCUUUUAUCUUUUCUUUAGGUCUCAGAUGGAAGGGAGCGUGUAUCCUAUUUUAGGUCUUAGGGAUCUAUUUAAUGUGAAGGAAAACGGAUCGGGCAUGCGGAUUUGGGCUUCGAUCAAGGGAAGUUUUGGAUGAAAUCUGGGCUGGGUGGAAAUUGACCCAAUUUCACAAGACAACCCAUUUUUCCAUUUUUUCUUUUAUUUUUUAAUUUUUCCUUUUCUUUUAAUUAAAAUUCUACAAAUUAAAAAUUCUAAAUUAUCCAAAUGUGUGAAAAUUAACUAAUUAGCUAAUUAUAAAAAUUAUAAACAAUACUUACUUCUAAAUUAAAAGUGAAAAAGCAAUAAACAAAAUUAAAAGACAAAAAUAUAAAAAUGAGCUAUUUUUGUGAUUUUCAAACUUCUAUAAAAUAAAUAAGUACUGAUUAAUUCUAACAAUGUAAAUAAAUCCUAAAUGCAAUGCAUGAUAUUUUUGGUAUUUUUUCAUGAUUUAAAUAAAAAUUAAACAUGCAUAAAAAUGCAAACAAUUAAUAAAAAUCUACAAAAAUUCCUAAAAAAGGUAAAUAAUUAAGAAAAAUCUAUUUUUUGAAAUUAUGUAGGAGUAAUUCAUGUGAGGCAAAAAUCACGUGCCCAUAGACCUUAUGAAAGAAAAAUCAACCUACACGUCGCGAUCAUAUAUGACUUCGAACUUAUAGUGGGAUUAGAAUUCUGAGGCAAACCAACACUAUACCCGCACCAUAUGCCAACAUGCUCCUGAUGAUGGAAGAAAACGGGGCCAAGCUCGCAUCAUAUCGUGCAUGCCCAUAAAGAUGGCCGCUGAAAAUAUCUCAUCCAUGCAGUUUAAGAAGGGAGUCAAAAGACAUGAACCUAUGGUUCCAACUACCCUUUGCAACAAGAACCAAAAGUCAUAUCAUCGACCUCAGAUGACUGAUAACGCUCCUCAGUGUGGGAAGACUCGUCAAGAAGAGCAAAAGGACAAGUCAGACUGCUAAUCACAAACGGGACUUUUGGAGCCACUACAUGCCCCCAGAAAGACCUUGGGAAAGUGUUUCCCUUAACUUCAUCACAAGAUUGCCCAAAGUCGAAAACCUUGCAUCCAUCUUGGUUGUAAUAGAUUGAUUUUCUAAUUAUGCAACCUUUAUAGCAGCCCCACAAACCAUAUUAGCAGAAGAUACAGCUCGGCUCUUCUUCUCGCAUAUUGUCAAAUAUUGGGGCCUGGCCAAAGACAUCAUUAGUGGCCUUGGCUCAUGCUUCACUAGCAACUUCUGGACAUAUCUCUUUAAGUGCUUCAAGUCAAAAUUGAGUCACAACUCAAGCUUCCAUCCACCAUCAAAUGACCAGACGAGACAGUUCUAUGACAUGCUGGACGAAUAUCUUCGUCACUUUGCAACCGGAUAACAACAGCACAGGGUGAAGUUUUUUGAUGCUGCUCGACUGUGUUUCAAUUCUCAACAGCAUAGGGUGAAGUUUUUGGAUGCUGCUCGACUGUGUUUCAAUUUUCAAAAGAGCCCCAAUACAAACAAAAGUGCUUUUGAAAUUAUUACCGGACAACAACCGCUUCUCCCGCAAAUGGUGAAUGCAUCAACCACACUGAAAUCUCCUCGAGCUACCAACCUCUCAAGGGAAUUGGAACGCAAUUUGGAGAUAGUGUGGAGCUAUCUCGUUAGAGCCCAAGAGCAGGUGAAAAGGUUCACUGAUCAGAAUCUUUGCUUUGUCCAACACCAAGCAGGAGACAAAGUGAUGCUAAACAUCCCAAGGCGGUACUUGUUCGCAGAGAGGACCCAUGACCCCUGCCUACUACAAAAACACAUUGGACCCUUGUCCAUUGAAAGCACAUUAGGAAAGCCAUAUACCAGGUUGUCAUCCCAGCCUGGUGGAAGAUCCAUCCAAUCUUCCAUGUCAGUCGCCUGAGAUCUCUUCGGAAAUACAGGGAACAUCAUUCACAAAGCCAACUCACAAGACAGAGUGGAACAGACCUCACGGCCAACAAGAGCCUGAUCGAUCAUCAUCUUGCAGGUAAGGCUCCGAGGACGUCGCUAACUCAGAUGGGGGAGAAUGUCAUGGGCGGCUUUCUACCAUGCCCCAUGACCCAUUUGACGCACCCCAUGGCAUAUUGGCAAGCCUCCCAACGCCCAGCGCAAUGGUCGGCACCGUGGUCUCGGCGGCGCCAAGUGACAAGCGCGCAUGUGCUUCUGUCGCCCCACCGAUAGCCCAUGCCAGCACCCACCGACCGGUAGAUGCCAACAGCGCCAUGUGCACAGACAAUGCCGAGCGCAUAGUUCAUGAUGAUGCCAACAACGCCGCACACACGGACAAUGCCGCGCGCGGAGACCGUGAUGCCUUGCCAGCAGCCAGCAGCAUGCGGGCUCCAAAUAGUGCCGCGCGCCUACAACAUCGCGCGCACAAACCCUGAUGCGAAAGACAAACUUGCUGCCACGGGCCUGUUUUCUGCCUUGUAGAAAACUAAGUCCUUUUCAUUGAAAAUAUAGAGUAGUUUUAUUUCAUGUACUUCCAUGUUUCUCUAGCUUAGUUAAGUCUAGUCUUAUAACUUUGGUUUACUUUUUUAAGCACUAUUAAUGAGAUCAAGCAAUUUCUAGCAAGCAAAUAUUUCUCUGUACUGGUGUCUCUCCCCCUCUACAGUGCAUAACCUUUUGUAAUAGCUUUCAUUAAUGCAAUCAAGCUUCCAUUCUUAAUUCUCAUUUUCGCAAUUGCUCUUGACAUUGGUUUUCUAGUACAGCACUGACAAACUCGUCUAGCAUACGGCGGGAAACUCACUUGGCGGACAACAAUCGUAGUGACAUCGGUUGCUUAGUCUUACGUCGCCCUUCUAAGGAACCUCAUGAAGGCGCUGCGUAACAGGCCACACGCUUGGGCUGCAUAAAUACAUAUUAUUUCUUUUGCUCAAAUCAAGAUAAUGAUGCAAUUUGGGAAGAGAAAGAAAGGUCCAGGACACAUGAUCACAUAAAUUAGGUGCAAGUCACUGCCUAUAAUACUAAUUUCAGCAACAGAAAGUCCUGCUCUUGAAGUUAACAAGCACAUGAUAUGGACACCUCCUUAUUAAUGGUAAAGGCAAGAUUCCACAAAGCAAAAAACUUCCCUGUCCUCUUCAGUCCAUGGACAACUACUUUAAGCCAUUGUUUUUGAAAUAGAGUCAUAAACUGCCUGAGUGCUAAAACAAACAUCCUUUGCUUCACUCAAGUCCUUUCAAACUAAUGGAAUCGUUUGCGCAACAAUCAUCAAGAAAGAUCAUAUAUAAAGGUCCUGAAACUGAAUUUCGAUUUUCCAGUCUCUCGGAGUCUAGCUUAUAGACAUGACCUAUAUUACGUGGAUCCUUCAUUUACCUUGAACUACCCAUGCCAAUCAGGUGCGACGUGAGUGAAUAUGCUCAUAAACACAUAGCCUAGGUCAUAACUACUUCAUAAGCAGCUUAUGCAACAACGAGAGAGAAACAUUCAGCUGUCCAUUCUGGAAAACCUGUUGGCUCCAUUUACUUAUUUUGCUUUUUCUUUAUCUCAACCAGUCUAUACAACUUUCUUUUUUCAGUUGAGAUUAGAAGCUGUCAAAUUGUUACUGUUCUCUCAUAACAGCAGAUUUACUACUAGAGUUAUGGCAUACAUUAAUGCAUCAGCAACAAAAAACUUAUGCCCUGCCCAAAGUAAUACUACAAGCAAUGCACAUAAUGGCAAGAAAAACUGAAACAACACAAUCAGUGGUCUCCAGAAUAAGUAUUGAUCAAAAACUGGCUUUCAUUCUAAACUGUUCAAUGCUGCAGAUAUAUAAAUACUUAUCACUCAAAAGUAGGAAGGUGGAACAAACAUCUUUGACUAUUAGCUUAACUACCGUUAAAGGAAACAGCGGCAGAGAGUGUCAAAACAUAAGAAGUAAACAUACAAAAAAGUUAAGGGGAUUCAACAUACCACGCGCGUGUAUAACUAUAUAUAUAUAUAUAUAUAUAUAUAUAAAAGGGGGAAAAUGUCGUUGCUCCUCUCUCUUGCACCACUGCUUGUUUUUAGAGGAGAAGGUCCUCUUUUCGUUUCUUGAGUGAGGAAUUUGAUUCUCUGGUUUUGAUGGAGAGAUGAGGAGGAUGAAGGCGUGUGGAUAGAGGAAGAAAAAGGAACGGAAAAAGCGCUGUUUCUUCUUCUUUUAUCUUUUCUUUAGGUCUCAGAUGGAAGGGAGCGUGU